UCUCGUCCUGUUGCAAUACAACUCCAAAAGCUUCCACAAGCUGAAUACGCAUACUGUGUAAAUCGCGCCGAUUUCACGGCAUGGAAGUCCUGCGAAAAUCAACUCGACUUCUUCCCUUCUUGGUUAAAAACUCGAUGACUAAACUCCAGGUCGCGCAGAGUAUCCAGUACCUCCGCACGUUUCACAUCUCCGUGCCAAAUGAUCUCAGAGGCCACUGAGCGUCGAUUCCUUCCUGAGGGCAAUCUAUCCGUCUGCGCUGGCUCCACACCCCCCUUGCUUCUUUCUCUCCACAUUCUCAACGCUGCGAUGCAACACUUCGCACCCACCUACGCUUUGAGCGCAGUCCCUGUUGCCCGACCAUCUCGAAAAACUAGCCUCCUAUUGAAGCUCACAACUCACUUCACAUCACAUGAGUUGUACUCUUCUCUCACAUAACCAAAACGGUGACUUGCAGCUCGGCUGCAAACCGCAACCCUUCAUUCCAUUCUCUUCGCCAUACAAUGCGGAUUCCAAAAAAAUAGAGCCACCAUCACUCCCCUCAUCAAGGAUUGCGAUGCACUGGGAUUGUUCAAGAAUUCCCUCCAUUCAUCUUCCAAAAUGAACACCAUCCUACUAAACAGAGGAACUAGAAGCCUCGCGCGUACAACGUCAGAAUCCAACAGCAUGAAUGGCAAACACAGAUCCCAGCCACUCGACCCCAAGUGACGGUCCCCACCCUAAGCUGUGAUGGGAGUCCACUGGAAAGGUGAGAAAAUAAACAGACACAACCAAAACCAAUGAAAUGAAACAUAUUCUACUCUGCAUCGCCGGCAGACGGAUCAUGUGCCGCUUGUCGCACAAACAGUCCACGUACUCGCGGUCUUUGUUCCGCAAGCUUUUUCCUGCUUUGAUAGCGCACCUGAAUACAACACAUCACCACAGCUUUAUCGUCAGUGCACCAUCCCACCGCAAUACCUCUCCUACCUACCACACAUCCUCUUUUCUCACCACAUACACUCGCUCCAUGGUGCCCGUCAGAUGCGACCGCGGCCCAAAUGCAACUCGCCUGAACCUGAACCGCCAAACAACCAAGCUGCCGAUACUCCGGUAUAUUCCAUGUGCCAACGUCCAUCCAACUCAUCACCACACGGAAUCUCAAGAAAAGGCAUGCAAAGCCGUACCUUCUUCUCAAAGCACCGCUCCUUUCUCUUCUGCCUGAACUUGUUCAAGGCAGCCUCUCGUCUGGCAAAACGUAUCUGUUCCGUGCACAACCCGUUGCCCCCGCUCACCCCAUCCAUUGCUGGAUGCGUCCCACCCACUCCAUUAUUCCCGCUGUUGGCGUUCGCCAUCGGGGUCACGACAAGUCCGUUCUGUCCAUUGUUCACGCCCGUAUUGCUUCCCGAAGCGCUUCCGUUCAUGGACCCGUUCCCGUUCCCCGUGCUUCCGUACCCGUUGCUGCUCCCGCUUUGACCAUCCACCCCGGUCGACCCACACCGUGGAGCCCCCGACAUGGGAGUGAUCACCGACUGUUGCUGCUCGUGUUGCACUCCUGCAUUUCCAGAUGGUUGCCCGCCGUCCCCGUGGUGGUGGUGCGUGUGCUGGUGGCUCGGUCCAGCUUGGGAGUGAUGCCCAGAACCGGGAUUCUGUUCUUGAAAUGCGGGUGUUUGACUGUAUACGUCCACCCUCUCUCCCAUGUGUCGGGCCGAUGCUGCCAUCCACGCGCUCGCGUGCGCAUAAUACAUCGGGUGCAUGGCCGGACCAUACGCUCCACCCAUGCCAUCGUAAGCCAGCAUCCCAGGCGGUGGGAUUGGAAUCGCCAUCGGCACUCCAGGUGCUAUCAUUGCCUCCUCCGCGCUCUGCCUUGCACUGCCGUACCCAUCCGCUCCGCCGCCGUCCUGCCCUCCAGCUGCUUCCGCGCUCUGGGGAUGCAGAGGAGGGGGCGUCGUUCCCUCCGCGCUCCCUUUCGACGACCCACAACGCUCCAUUCCCAUCCCCAGACGAAGAGAUCCUCCGGACGUGCCGCCAGACAUGCCGUACACUCCGUAUCCACCAGACAUCGGAUACCCGCCCACAGGAAGUGAAUUCCCGGGCUGGUGACAUUGUUGUAUGAUGGUUCCUCCGCUGCCAUACCUGAAACGGGUUGCCACAACACUGUGCAAUACCCGUCACUUCAAAGCGUCCAGAACAAACAAACACAAACACCUCCCGCUCAUGCAAUCCACCAAGCUCUCACCAUCGGCCAAGCUCAACAUCGCACUUCACUAACUGCACGCCCAGCAAUGCCCAAAACUACAGCUCUCAUCAGUGCAACCGUAAUUUGUCUGAACUGCACCUAGAGAAGGCCGACCCUCCCGAGUGCCGCAGGGGUUGACGCUCUUCUGUAUCUCCAUCGUUGUCCACGGCCGAUCGAGGCCGUUUCAAACUCAACUCCAGCAUGGAACCGAAGUCUGACCCGGAGUGGUCUUUCGGACUGCUCCUCCCCCGCUGAUCCAGUUCUCCGUCAUCGUUCUCACUCCCUUCAGCUUGCUCUGCACCCUGCGUCUGUGGCUGACAAGCUAUACCAUUUAUCAGGUCCACGGCCUUCAGAGAAGACUCCUCGGUAGUACCAUCUUUUCCGCUGGUUGAUGGACUCUCGACGUUGUCUUCUCCGGGUGAUGGCCCUACAUCUUGCAUCACACACGCAUCAUCGUCGUCUUGUUGCCGCCCAACAUCCGGCUGCUGAUCCAGCUUUGCGGUAUUACAAGUAGACCGACGAGUUGCCAUCUCCAAGUCAUGCCCCAUCUCUUCAUCUGCCAAACCUACCACAUGUAAGCAUCCCAAGAUCCUCACACCUCUACUCACAGCACAAGGCACAGCCACUAGAUCAUGAGAACAUUCACACAACCUCAGUUUCAAGUAAUUGACUACGACGGGAACUCUACCCACUUCAAAUUGCGCGCCCACUCUAAUUUGUGAGACAAACACUUCCAAACUACCGACAAGCUCAAGCAUGAAAAACCAGCAAUCCAUCUGCCCCAACUUCAGCGCCCAAAUCAUGCACUACAUGUUACACCAGACAAAACCAUUCUCAGAUCACCUCACACUUCCUGAAACACGCCUGGACAUCCAUUACCACCGCGCCAGGUUAUCCCAAAUAUUUCAUCCCCAUAUCCCGUCCCUCGCCAGGUAUGCAACAACUGACCCUUGACACUAAUCAUUCCAAACCCCGCAACUCACCCAGGUUGGCACCCGUCUCUUGAGAAGUCGCUUGCCCCUCCUCGUCUCCAUCUGCAGCUGCCGUUACUGCGUUGUUCAUUGGCACCAGUACGGGUAGUGUGCGAGCCUGCACCCAUUGCUCUCGAAGUCAGAUAAUCCUCUUGCACACAACCGGCUGUGGAAACUCGCUUUCCGCAAACCGACCGAGCCUAAAAGACAAUCAGUAUCCUCCGCGACGACAACGGCAUGCGUGCGUUCACAUAACGGCGUCACUUACUUGAUUACCACUGCCAUUGUCACUCCCACCCUGAGCAUUCAACCGGCUGCUCCCAUUGUCACUACCGUCGCUGCUGCCGUUCCCAUCAUUGCUUCCACUGGGAUUGUCAUCCGCCUCAACUCCACGACUCUGCGGCCUGGCUACUUCGCCAGUCUGGCUGCCACUCCCGCUUUUGCUUCCACUCGACUGUUCAAAUCCACAUGUGACAGGUCACGCACCGUCCGUACAAUCUCAGCAGCCCAUAAGGACCCUUCACUGAACCCACAUUCUUUCGAGACAUACAACCACACUAGUUGAGCAAAUGUAAGCAAUCGGAACCAUCACUUACGCUGUGGCACUUCCUCCACACGUGUUGCCAUAGAUUCCUCAACUCGUUCUUCCUCACAGGUUUUACGAGAUAGUCGCACGCUCCUUUCGAAAGGCAGCGGAACACAAUGUCCAGGCUGUCGUAGGACGACAUGACUGCAGACAACACAUAGCUCAGUUCACCUGAACGCAUGAGAACAUCUUGAGUUGAACAUGAAACCCACUCACGUGCCCGAGAUACAGCGCGCCCGGGCUGGCAUGCGAAACCAUGAGACACUUGUUGACAUGAGGUGACUUAACCUCCGCUGACGCGCUGGGCAGCAUAAUGCCGAGGUGAGAGGGGAUUGAGACUUACUGACAAUAGGCACUCUUCUGCAAGCCUCCCGUUUCAUCAUCUUCGACAGAAGCCCAACUCCGGACAGACGUGGCAUCACCACGUCAGUCAAAACCAAGUCGAAAUUGCUGUUCGCGUCUUCCAGCAGCCCCCAGGCAAUCGACCCAUUCGCAACCGCAGUGACUGGGACAGGCACAAACCUUCCAGUUCAGGUCUAGACUCCACAUCAAAAAACCAACGACGACAUGCUACCAUUAGGACAGUUUCGACCAUCCUAGUUGAGCCAGCGGAGUGCAACUCCAUGUACCUCUACACCGUUCCUCUCUUAAAAUUUCACACUCACAGGUAAUUUUCAUAAAAUUGGCAACCGUAUAAUGACUGCGACGAGUAAGAGCACCUCCCUGUGACCUUCUCCUAUAAUUGCCAUGCAUCUGUUCCAAUAUGAUUGUACAAACAAACACAGUGUCAAGUUCUAGAUCCACUAGAGUGAGGCAUAGUUGUUAUAAGACUAUUUCAAUUACACAAUUUAGUUUUUUCAUUUAUUCAUGUUUUUUUUAUUUGAUCAAUGUUUUGUGUUUUGUAUAACUAGCGCGCAUACGCAUCACACACGUCUACUGGAAUCAGGAAGAAUAACGACCUUCAUAGUCACAGUUACGAAGUAGAGCUCCCACCACGUGCCUUGUUGCGUCGUCAUACUCCACCAGUAAAAUUCUCAGACUCCGUUUCAGUAGGAAGCUUUCCCAGCCAACCCCACCCUGGGUUUUUGCAGCCACAUCACCCCCAUGCUGCUGCUGCUCUUUCGUCCGAGCUAUUCCCUGUGACCUCGCCUUGUCGCGCGCAACAGCAGCCACAGCGUCUCCUUCUUCAUAGUGAUCUUCGGCGCUACCGUCUCUGCGUCCAUCGUCGUCCGACUCCGAUGUUCGCAGCACGUCGUUCCCUGGGAACUGGUGAUCCAACUCUCUCCUUAUCUGCUCUGCAAUGUCCUUAAGAUCUUCCCGUGUCUUCAGAACAGAAACUGCUGAACGGCCGGCCACGUUGCGCCCCUUCUCCAGCCUCGCGCCGUUCUCACUGUCCUCUGCGACUUUACUACCAACCUGCUCUCUACCCCUAUCUACUUCCUUGUGCGCCUUGUACCCACCCUUAAUCCUCCAUUCUGCACCCACCGGAGCUUCCACAUUGAGCUCAGCGCAUGCGGUCCCCCCAGCCAACAGCGGCCGUAGAGGCCUCGACUCCGGCUCAGCCUUACACGAAUCCCCAGUCAUAAAGUGAACUCCACUCCUCCUACACCUGCUGUUUGGUUACACGGCCCUCCACCUGCUCCUCCACAAGCUCUACCCUUCAGAUCCCUGCCCAACGCUCAAUCUAUAUCUCGGAACUCCGGGGGGUCUCCGUCGCAGUUCGCAAGACAUUCGCUACCACUCGUGACGAAAUCGUAUGACCUCUUGGGCACUCUCAACUGUCCACACAACCAAGUCCACACGGCACCUCCAUGUUAACACUUCAUGCCACACUUGCUCUACACAUAUACCAUCGUGCAUAUACUCAUUAUCAUACAACGGCGCCUCAACACAGGUCGUACAACUCUAUAAGAUGCUCCAGACAUGUCAAAUGGUUCACGCAUGCUUCAUUUGGUCUACUGCCCCAGCGUCCACAAGUUCCAGAUACAUAAGUUACACAAGCGACGCAAUCUCGGGCCUCAACUUUGAAGAUCACAUCCCAGGAUACACAUAGAUGCACGAAAAGCUCGCCUUGAAACAUCAGAUGGUCGUUCUGACCUGUGCCCCGCCAGCAAAACACUCGCUCACCGCUCCCACUUCUUCGAAAUUACAAAGAUACCCACUCGGAAAUCGUGAAUCACACCAUCGUGCUACGGAAAUGCUAUCAUAUUUGGCUUUGGGAAUCUAAGGCCCAAAACAGCAUACCUCACAGAAGCACCGACGAAUGCAGUUCACAGUUAAUCAAACAACAUGGACAUAUGAAAAAUUAGAUAGACGUCAGCGAACACGAGCGGGCUCUCCACCACACACGCAUACACCCUACUCGCGCUGAUCACUAAAACCGCUGUCCCAAAGUGCGGCAACACCCCGAGCCGCACAGACAGCGUCGAAUUAUGCCCUGCCCAACACCACUUUCGCUGCGUCGGACAGAAUCUGAAACGGAGAACCUCGGCACAACAACGGAUGCCGCGCGGCACACUCAAAUCUCAACCGAUUCGACCCUGGUUUCGACGAUGCUAAAGUCAGCUAAGCACAAGCACUCGAGAGAGCAUCACACUGCAACGAAGGGAAAACCUAAUCACGGACGACAAACGGAAAAUUGUGCAGGAGAGCUCGGCUAUGGCGGCAACGCGGGGAGCAGGAGGGCAGAGCAGGCAGACCUCAGAAACGAGCGAGGGCGGACGGAAGUGGUUAUAGGAUGUGAUCACGUGGCACGCUGGAGUGCGCAAAUUUGAUUGUGAACCUAUAGCCGCAUCCAUAGGGAGGAGCAGAUACAGAUUUACCCCCAGUCGCCUAACUCCGCCCUUGAGGAGGCGAAAUAUCUGCCCCGGCCCUCGGCUCCUCAGAGCCCAGCAAUUGAUUUGCCCAGCUGGCCCCGCUGGGACACGCUGGGCCAAUGGAGCUGGUCCCCUUCUGGUCCGAGCUGGCAGUCGGUACUUCCCGUUCUCCCCCUUCCCCGUUUAUUUACAUCCAACGUCAGAUGCGGCCAUCGCUGAUGAUUGGGACCUGGACCGGAAGAACUAUCCGAUGAACGAACAGAGAGAAAUACAGGCGAUUUAUCAUCCCAAUCCCCGGCCCCGGGCAGCUUGUUAUUUCAGUGGACUGUUGAUGCAAAGGGCAGUGAGUUCUAAAAUUGGGUCGUUGGCUCAUCACAGGACCAUGGAGUUUGAGUUCAAUAUUGGGGGCAUGCACACCUGUCAACAUGUUGCCAUGCGGUGAAGCGCAUUUUUUUUUAAUAAUAACUCAGGGUUGUGGUUAAUAUCUUGAAAAUAGAAUUUUUCAACAAAACAUGAAGAAACUCACUGUUCACAAACACACUUACAAUUUUGCUUGUGCAGUAAAUAAGACGCUGAGUGAAUACAUCCAUCAUCAGCUUUUAAAGGAUUUUGCAGUUGUAAAGUCAUUGCAAAAUUGUGCGGAAGUACUUGAACAACUAAUUCAAUGUCCACGGUGAGCAACUUUUCAUUCGUAGUGCCCCCAUCUGUCAUCGUGGUUGCGUGUAGGGCCUUACGUUGGUGAUUAUGGAGCCACUGGUAAUUAACAAAGAACCUAUAAUUAAUAUUUAAGAAAAAUUAUAUGUAUGAGUGUUUGCAGUAAAAGGUCUAUGUUCGUGUAGACUCCACCGCGAUAUUUACUCAUCUGCUAACUCGUACCUAAGCAUUGUGAAAUUUGGGACUAUAUCGCUGCUACGAGAGUCGAACCUGAGCGACACGGUGUGUACGCGCGGAAUUUGAUGAUUUGGGUGCAUGAAAGCUACAAAGCAAGGUCUCAUGAUCAUCCCCGCACUCCGUUGAGGUUUGAGUAGUCGGAAUUCGUUUGCGCAUUGUCGUUGCGUAGGGCAAUCGAUUUUGGAGCUGGAGAAGUGGACCAAAUUGUCAAAAUUGCAUAAUUCCUUGGAGGUUGUAACACUCCUCUGACGGGACGAAUCUGUUUAUCGUACAUUCUCCUUCCUAGUAACCCUGAGCGUGUUGACAAGAUUCAGGAAGCAUCACCACCGUCACACAACACAAGCAGUAGUCAGAAAGGGAAUUGUCGGUGGUUGUCGGGGGCCAGAUUUACAUCAGCAUGUGACAAGAGGUUGUGCAUGCGUUGCAAGAAGCAGGAGCCAGAAGCUUCGUUGCAGAAAGCUUCAGGUGAUUUAGCAGGGGUUUGGUGCCUUGCGAUCGAUUCGCAAGGUCAGAACACUGUAGGAGAGUAAGUUCCUUUGGGGAAGAGGUUUCCGAUGUUUCUGGGUCUGACAGUGGCCACUAUGGGGAAUUGCACAAUUAACACAGGUGCACUGAAAUCGUAUUGCGAUCAAGUCCAAAAACCUAUGCAAGGAUAGCAACGGUAGUCUCAGGAGUGAAAGGACGCUGGAGUCAGCAGGUGGUGCUUGAAUUUGCAGGCUCAGGGACUUGGUGGAGGUGCGUUUACGAGCACCUGUGAGGGCUCUGCUCAAAAGACUUGUGAUUUGGGUGACAUCCCAAAUCAGGGCCUGAAGGGAAGUUCCAAAAUUCCAGUGAGGUCUUUAUGACUCUUUGAUCACAAGUCACUGUAACAGGGUGACUGGUUUAGCAGGUCACCAACGGCUCACGCGGCAUAGUGGUGAUGUGGCAAGGUUGACGUGGACAGAUGUGAUGGAUGAAGGAUGCGAAUGCUCAUAACCUUAUGUAUUGUAUUUUAUACACCGUAUGCUCAAUUUUGAAAUUAGGAUAGAAAGACAGUUUAGGGCUUUUAGAUUGGAAAAUUUAAAAGAGGCAAGAAAGAGUUCUUGGGGGAGGCAAAUAGGACAUACAAGGCAUACAAAGGGUGCAUAAAGGACAUUAAAAUUAGAUGUGUGGAUGUUGUAUUAUGGCAAAGAAUUGAGCGUUUUUUUUAUUUUUUUAUUUUUUUAUUCUUUAUUUUCCAAUAGGUCUCCAAAACUUAAUUUAUUGAUGCAUGUAGCAUCUAGCAAGAUCUUCUGCAGUGAAUGGGGGACCAGUGUAAGCAGGAAUUGUUUUGGCAUAGAAUCAUGAUUGAAUUUAGAUUUAAAGAGAAUUUAAAAUAAUUAAGCAAGACAUUACCUGUUUUUUUUAAUUAUAAAGUUAAAGAGAGGAUCUAACUAUGUUAUAAUGUUGAAGAGCAAGGACCAACAUUGAAAUUGUAAAAAUGAUCAAAGAAGCAAAAAAUACAAUUGUAGAUGUAUUGGUUUUGUCAAAACCUAGUAUCAACUGAUUACAAAUAACAUGCAAAGGUGCAUAGGGAAUUGACUUAAAAUAGAACAUAAUUAUAUGAAGUAAAAAUAGCAAAAUGUUCUGGACAAAUUUGAUGGUUGUGAUAAUUUCGUUAAAUAUUACACAAAAAUUUAACCAAAUAAAGAGUCCAUUGAUUGAAAUUCGCAAACAUACCAAAUUUCUUAAAUAAUAAUUUACAGUGAAUGGAACAUGAAAUGUACGUAUAUAUAUACGGUCCAUACUACAACAUAUAUAAAAAAGAUAUUACAUAUAUAUAUAUAUAUAUAUAUAUAUAAAGUUUGCAUUUUAAAAAUAUUCAUUAGAAAUACCAAAUUAAUAUUUGUAGCUUAAAUUAUACAGACUGUUUUGAUUUUAAUUUUAUCUAAUAUAAUAAUUUAUAGAAAUACAUAGAUACAUUAAAAAAACACACCCUACAAUAGAUUCGUGAUUUUUUUUGAUUUAUUAGGUUUGCAUUUACAAAGUCACAAAUUAGAUAUAAAAAAAUUGUAUUUUAUUUUAUAUUUCAAAAUCUUUAGAAACUAGAAUUUUAUUUCUUAGACGUGGUGGAUGAUUUUAGAUAGAAAAAAAAAAAAAAAAAAUAACAGAACAAUACCAAUAGUGUACAUCACUUUAUUCUUAAAAUUAAGAAUUUAGAAAAUUUUAAAAAAUUAAUUUUAUAGAUUUAAAAAUAAAUAUAUUAAAGUUUAUUAAAUUUAAAAAACUCUGUUUAAAAAAAACCAACCACAUAUUGCUAAAACACUUAUUAAAAAAGGCUUAAAAAUUGUAAUUGAAUUGUACAAUGACUAUUCUCUACUGUAAAGCGUGGCUUUAAAAUGUUCUAUUCACUUCAACUGUACCAUAGUUUGAUGGAUCUAUUUAUAGUAAGUUGUACAUUUAUUUUUUGGAUAUUUUAGACAAAAAACCAAUAUCAGAAUUUUCGAAAUGAUAUAUAAUUGCAAUUUAUUACCACAAAGUUGCAUAGAAAUUAGAAUUUUAUCAAAGAUAUACUUAAGAAUAAAAUAAUAAAUUAGUACCAAUAAAAUAAAAAUAAAAAUAACGAACCCUGAAUAGAAAUUAUGUUUUUAAGACUCCUUAGAAUAUUUUGAAAUCUCUCUAUGUAAAUGUAACACAAAAGGAAGCAUGGAGAAUGUACACUAAAACAAAACACAAGUGACUACUUCUUGUGAGAUAUUACAACUUCAAAGAAUUUAAAUACUAGGUGAUUGCAAAAAUAUUAAAAUUAUAAUACACAUUAAAAAAAUAGUUAGAAUAUUUUAUUAAUUUAUUUCGUAUUUUUCAAAAGAUUAACAAAAUAUUAUCAAAAAGUAUUAUUUUCUAUUAUAUCUUCUUACAAUUAAAAUAUAUUUUUUAACCACUCUUCAAAAUAAGCCAAAAAACAAAAACCAGAUAAUAUUAAUUUCCACUAUUUCCUCAAAAGAAAAGAUAAUAGGUACCAAUUUUUGAAUAAAAUAAUGCACCAGUAACUACCAAGAUCUUUUACAACCAUAUAUAUAUAUAUAUAUAUACACACACAUACAUACUUGAAUUACACACACACACACACACACACACAUAUAUAUAUAUAUAUAUAUAUAUGUAUAUAUUCAGUGUUUUAAAUGAAAUAAUUUGACAAAAAAUGCAAAUAAAAAUUGAAUCAAAAUGAUACAAAAAUAUGUGAAAAACUACAGAUCAAUAAAAACAUAUAUAUAAAAGAUGGAAAUUGGAUUAUUUUUAAUUAAUAUUCAUUUUUUAUAAUCAUAAUAUAGAUUUUACCAAAAUAAUAAUAAUUUUAUUAGUAGUAAAUAGAAAUAAUACUCUUUGAGGUUGAUAUUUUAAUAAUAUUUGUAUACAAAUUUACAAGUAACAAGAACUAAGAAAAAAAAAUCUUCCUAAAAGAAUUUUUAUCCUUUUUAAUAUUUUUAGUUUUUAUAGAUCUUUUGUAUCAAGAUUUAUAUUAAAUCUUGGUGACGUAUUUUACUUUUAAAAUGAUCUAAUAAUAAUUAAAAAGAAAGUUUCAUAAUUUUUAUCAAACAAUGACUGACAGAAAGUUUCAUUCUAUAUUUAAAUAAAAUACACAUCAGAUAAUUUUUAUAAAACAUUUUCAUCUAUAGGAUUGAAAACACCAUCAAUCUUAAAGAAAAACUAAAACAUAUAAAAAAUAUUUUAAAUUUUUUGUUGGUGCUAUUCUUUAAAAACCUAAUAUUAUGAUUUAAAACUUUUAGUAUGUAAAAACUAUGACCAAUAUGGGCUUUUGUAGAAAUAAUUGUAAAUCAAUAAUCUGGUUGACAAAGGUUUGUCUAAUGAAACAAAACACACUUUAUUUACACUACUGUGAUUACUUGGUAUUAUAAAUUCUUAUCUUUGUAUGUUAAAUCAACUUUUACUGUAAUAUUAACACUAAAUAUUUUCCUUCUAAUAUUAACACCUUUGAUCAAAGCACCUAAGCCUAAAUAUAUUUUAAUAUGAUUCUUCACAAAUUUAUGUUUCUUUGUAAUAUAUAUAUAUAUAUAUAUAUAUAUAUAUAUAUAUAUAUUUACAUAAAUUCACAAAUUAAUUAUUUUAUGAAUCAACUGAUUGUUAAAAAAUUAUUUAAUUUGGUAUCAUUCAAUAGAUUUAUUGAAGAUGUAUGUGUAAUUUAUGAAGGUAAAUAAAUUUCAUAUAAAUUAUAUAUAUAUAUAUCUAUAUAUAUAUAUAUAUAUAUAUAUAUAUAUAUAUAUUUAAAAAAAUAGUUUUAAAAAAUAGUAUAUAUUCUCAAAAAAUGAUAUUAAAAAAAAAAAAAAACUUAUGUGUUAAUUCCACUAUUAUAAUUAAGUUGUGAUUGAGCACUAUUUUGUUUUUAAAUUUUUUGAUAAAUAUAUUAAGUAAUACUUGUUAAAUGAUGUCUCUAGCUGAUUUUAAUAUUUACUAUCAAUGUAACUUAUUAGUAUAAAAUAGAAUUUUAAGAUUUAAAUUUAGAUACAUUAAUUAUAUAUUGCUUCUCACACUCAAAUGUAGAUAUUGUUAAAAAUGUAUAUUAAUUAUCUUCUAUAAUAAAAUAAAAAAAUUAACAUCUUUUAAAAUCUUUAGAGUGUAAAACCAGUUUUUAUAAAUUUUAAAAAAAUUAUGUAGCCUUACAAAAAAAAUUGUAGAAUUUUAAAAUUUAUGAUUUUAUUUAUUUAUUUAUUUAUUUAUUUUAAAAUUCUAAGAACUUUCUACAAUCCUUUAAAAUCUUCUAUAGUCCUUUGUAGCUUUUUCAAAUCUUAUCCAUUUUUCUAAAAUUUUCUAUUAAAUGUUUUAGUAUCCAAAAGUUUCUUAAAAUGUUUUCAGACUUCUAAGAUAUUGGAUUCAUUUCCAAAUUUUGAGACAAGAUGCGCUUAGUCUUUCCAAUAGAAGUUUAAAGCAACUCAACUAUUCUCUUUUUAUUACUCUCAUAUCUAAUAGUAAAUCUAAUUUUAUAUUUUUUAUAUUUUAGUUUGCUUUUUUAAGUUUCUCUUCUUUAAGUCUUUAUGAAACAUAAGAAAAAAAAACUUACCUUCAAAGUUAUUCUGGGCUGAUCUUGUUUGAUGUGAUUAAACUUUAAAAAGUUUGUGGCUAAAAGUAAUGUAUGCAUUAUCUUUGAGAUAAUUUUCAAAACUCUAAUUUUUUUCAUUCUACAUAAAAUUAUGAUUUUAUUAUAAUAUCUUAAAAUAUAAAAUUACUAUAUUUUAAAAAAAUAUAUAUCAUAAGAUUUUAUUGAUUAAUUUUGAUUUGUAUAUUUUAAUUUUAAAAAUAUAAAAUUAUUAUAUUUUAAAAAUAUAUAUAUCAUAAGAUUUUAUUGAUUAAUUUUGAUUUGUAUAUUUUAAUUUUAAAAAUAUAAAUUAAUUUUUUAUAUGUAGUAAAAAAAUAAAGUAAAUUUUAUGUAAUAUGAUUUUAAGCAUAAAUAGAAUUAUAUACAUAUAUUUUGUAAAGUAUCCAUCAAAUAUUUUUAAUAUAUAUAAACAUAUUAUUUUAUUUAUAUUAAAUAUUAUAUUUUAUCUUUAUAUUAUUGAAGUACAUCUAAAAAUAAUUUCGAUUCAUGAAAUUUUAAAAUUUUAUAACAUAUAUAUAUAUAUAUAUAUAUAUAUAUAUAUAUUUUUAAUGAUUUUUAUUUACUUCAUUUUUGAGCUUUUGAAGUUUAUCUUUUAAAAAAAUUCAAAGCUUAUCAAAUUAUCAUUUUUAUUGAUAUGAUUGUUGCAAAAUUAAUUUAUUAUUUUUAUUAGAAGAUUUUAUUAGCUUUACUUCUAUUAGUUUUUGUCAUAUAUAUAUAUAUAUAUAUAUAUAUAUAUAUAUAUAUACCUAGAUAAGAAGUGUUAGAUAAAAGAUACAUAUAUGUAGAUUUAAUAAUAUCUUGUUGAAAAGCUUUUUAGAAGCUUUAUAGGUACAAGUUUAUAUUUAGAUGUGUUUGUAGUUGAUUGGUAGGUUAGAAACUUAGCCAAACAAUUGGACAUGUAUUGCACAUAUUGACGACUUGUCAUACAAGUUGGCUAUGUGGUGCACAUAGAAAAAACUUAUCUUAUAAGUUAGACAUAUUUUAGAAGUUCUAUAGAAUAUCACCACAUAGUUCUUAGUUAGAUAGUACAUAUAGAGGCAAAAAUGAAGUCUUCUUUAUUCUUGUCAAUGCCUUUCUUAUUUCUAAACUUAUUUUAAAAGACUCUAGUUUUCUUGACUUUGGCAAUAACUAUUCUAGUUCAAUAUUAUAUCAUCAUUGAGUGAUUAUCUACUUUUUAUAAGUGAUAUAAGAAUGUAUUGACCUUUGAUUUUUUGAAAUUUAUGUCCUUGAGAGUUCGAUAAGAAUACUAAUUUAUUGUUCUUAUUUUGUUCUAGAAGUGAGUGGAUUACCCCCAUUUCUUUUGUUGUGUUUUAAAGAUUGCGGACUAUCCACUUUUUAAACUAAUAUUUUUUUUUAUUUUCUAAUCUUGAUUCUUUUCUUAAAAAAAAUAAAAUACUUUUUUUUGUUAAAAAAAUUAGUUUAUAUCAAAGUUUAUAAAUUAUCUUCCAUUAAUUUGACUUAUAGAUUUAUUAAAGAUGUUUAUAUAGAUAUAGAAAGAAAAAUUAUAGAUAUUAUACUUAGCAAAAGUAAGAAUAGAUUUAUAACUAUUGUAGAUCUUCAUAAGCUUUUCAAUAUUCAUAAGGUAGAAAUUUUAUGUAUUAAAAAUAUCAACUAUAAAUAUAUUAUUUUUACAUCUUUAAAAAAAUUAAUAAUAAAAUUUAAAGUCUAUGCUAAAAGAUUAUAUUAUUGAAAAAAGUAAAUAAAUUAAGUUUAUAAUUGAAUCCAAGAAGUCUUACUACCAAAAAUAUAAGAAAAGAAAUGAUAAGUAUACCAAAGAAGUUUGAUAGAACAAGAUCAAAAUUUCAAGGAUUUCCAUAAGUUAAGAUUUAUUUACAAUUAUUGUGAUAAUAUGAGUAAGUAGAAGUAGAUAAAAGUAAUGAAAUUUGAUAAUAACUUAUACAAAAACUUUUUAGAAGCUUUAUAGAUACAACUUUGACUUUUUGUAUGUCUAUAGGUAAUUGAUAGGGUAAAAACUUGACCAACAAGCUGGCUACAUGUUACAUAUGUUGGUGACUUGUGGUAUAAAGUAGACAUGUGGUAUACAUAUAGAAAACUUGGCUUAUAAGUUGGAUACAUGUUCUAUGAGUUGGACACAUAUUGGAGGUCUUAUAGAAUAUUGCCACGUAGCUUUUAGUUAGAGAAUAUAUAUAAAAAUAAUAAUGAGACCUUCUUCAUUUUUGUCAAUUCUUUUUUAUUUUUAGUCUAAUUUCAAGAAUCUUUAGUUUUUUUGACUUUUAGUAAUAGCCAUUCUAAUUUCUUUUAAAUAUAUAUCUUUAGUUAUUUUUUUUCUAUCAUCUUUUUUUGGAAAAUAUUUCACUUGUUUAUUUAUAUUCAUUGAAUAUUUUUCCUUAAUAGCUUCAUUCCUCCUAAUAUCUUGAUGGAUUUACUCAAGUUAGAUUCAUAAAAGUAUUUUUAUUUAAAAUUUCUUUCUCUUGGUUUGUAUCCUUGAUGAAAAAAGAUUUAUAAUUCUUGAAAGUAUUUUUGGCUAUAUUUAGAAAAAAUGAUCUAAAAAAGAUAAUAAUGAUCAAACUCCUAUUUUAAAAAUAAAAAUUAUGUUUAGCUACUAUAUAUAUUACUGAAUUCUAAAACAUUGUUUGUGAUGUGGAUUAAAAUGACAUAAUCUUUAUCAAUCAAUUUUGAUAUGAGUUGAAAAAUAAUGUCCAAGACUUAUUGUUAAUAAUGCAAAAAUUAUAUUCAUUCAAAUAAUUUAUUACUUAAGCCAUUGCAUGCAAUAAUUAAAUUUUUAAAAGAUGUCAAGAAGAAAGUUUUUAUUGAAGAAGUAGAAUUUAAGUUAUAGCAAAAAUUUCUAAGUUUUCAAAAACUCAUUCAUCAAAGCCAAAAUCUAUUCAAAUUGAUAGUAUAUUUUAAACCUCUCACAUAGUAAGAAAAAAUUUAAUAAUGUCAAAAAGAUUUAUUUCUAUAUUGUGAAAAAUCUAAGCACAGUACUCAAUAUAGUCCAAAAAAAUAACAAAAUCAUAAAAUGAAAAAUAUAGUUGCCAAAGAAGACUUUGUAUUAGAAAACAAGUUUCUCUAACUAUAAUAAGGAUUGUGCGGCUGAGAUCUUGUAUAACAUCUAGCAAAGAUCAUUUUUUUUUUUUUCAAAUAUUUUACUUUGCUAUACAAUAGAUGUUUUUUAGGACCAAAAAAUUGCAAAGUUCAUACCUUGUUAGAUUUAAAAGCUUCAACUUAUUUUUAUAGAUAUAAAUUUUUUAAAAAUAUAUAAAAUAUAUUUAGUGAAAAAAACUAAGCUUAUGCAUGUAAAAAUCAUAUUGGUUGUUAGUGGUCUUUUUAAGAUAUUAUCUAUGAAACUAUUCUUUUAUAUGUAAUAAUUAUUGAUUAUAAUAUCUUAGUAAUAUUUAAUAUUAUUAGAUCUUUUAUUAAUCUAAUUAUUUUAAGAUUAUUAUAGCUAAAGAAAUUAAAUUCUUAAAUUGAUUAGAUUUCUUAUAAUCUUGAUUUCUUCCAUAGCCUAAUAUAGACCUAUAUUAAAAAUUAAAAAUUUAAUACAUCUAAAUCUUUAUUUGAUAGAUUGAUAUAAGAACAUUCAUGCAUGCUACAAAAGUAGGUGUAUUUUAUGCUAUUUAUGCUACAUCCAUUUUUGAUGGUGAAAAGACUUCAAGUGAUUUUCUAAGAGAGUAUCAAGAUUAAUAAGAUUUUUUUGAAAAGAAGAAUAUAAAUAUUCUUUUAGAGUAUUAUCCUUAUGAUUGCUCAAUUAAUCUUGAAGAAGGAGCUCAACUACCAUUUAGGCUAAUCUAUAGCUUAUUUUAAAAUAAAUUGGUUGCAUUCAAAGAAUACAUUUAUAAGAACCUAUCUAAGAAUUUUACAUGCCAUUUUAAAUCUCAAAUAAAAACUCCUAUUUUGUUUGUAAAGAUAAAAGUUAAAUCACUAUGGAUAUAUGUGGAUUAUUAAGAACUAAACAAAAUUACUAUAAAAAAUAGAUAACUUUUAUUUUUGAUUUCAAGUCAUUUUAAUUAAUUGAAUUAAGUAAAGAUUUAUAUCAAAAUAGAUCUACAAAGAGCAUACUAUAUAGUAUGCAUCAAAGAAAGAAAGAAAUAAAAGACUAUUUUUUGAAUCAAGUAUGAGCAUUUCAAAUAUAAUGUCAUGCUUUUUGGACUCAUAAAUACACAAGCUAUUUUUCAACAUCUUACGAAUGAUGUAUUUAAAUGAUUUUAUUAUCUAUUAUCUAGAUGAAAUUUUAAUCUACUCCAAGUAUACAAAAAAAUAUGAAUUUCAUAUUUGUAGUAUAUUACAAAAACUUAAAAAUAUAGGACUAUAUGGCAAGAUAGAAAAGUAUGUAUUUCACACAAAUAAAGUUGAUUUCAUAAGAGAUAUCAUUUCAAAUGAUAGCUUAAUAAUGGAUCUAAAGAAAUUUCAAACUAUUAUAGAUUAGGACAUUUUAAAAAUAAUAAAAAACAUAUCAUAUUUUUUAAGAUUUAUUAUUGAAUCUUUGAGAAGAAUUUUUUUAAAAUUGUAGCUCUAUUUUUAUAUUUGACUUAUCAAGAUAAACUUAAGUAGAAUAAAAAAGCUAAAGCAGUAUUUGAAGCUUCAAAGAUAAAUAUUAUUUGUAUAUUAAUCUUGUAUUGCGUUGACUUUUUUUAAAUAUUUUUUAUAAAAAUUAACACAUUUGAAUUUUCUUUGAGUGCUAUAUUGUCACAAAUGAAAGUAGAUGACAAACUUCAUUUUAAUGAUUUUUAUUCAAGAAGAAUUUUAGUAACCAAGAUCAACUAUAAGAUUCAUAAUAUUUUUUUUUUACAAUUUUAGAUUCAUUUAUAUAUAUAUAUAUAUAAAUAUAUAUUUUUAAUUAUAUAUAUAUAUAUAAAUAUAUAUUUAAAAUUAUAUAUAUAUAUAAUAAUUAUAUUAGAAGAAUUAAUAUAUAAAUGGAAUUUUUUAUUUAUAAGGUAAAAAAACAACUAAGCUUUUUCUUGAUAAUAUUUAUUAUUAUCAUGAAUUACCAAAGGAUUUUAUUUUGAAUAAAAGGAAUUAAUUUAAAUCAAGGUUUUGGAGAACCCUCUUCAAGAUUUUAAAAGUAGAUACAAAAUUAUAUUUGGCUUUUAAUCUUCAAAUUGAUAGAUAAAUAAAAUGGAUGAAUUAAGUUUUACAAUAAUAUUUAAGAUAUACCAUUAAUUACCAUUAAGAUGAUUAGACAACUCUUUUGUUAUUUGCAAAGUUUGUUAAUAACAAUACAAUAUAUUCUUUUAUUCAAUAAAAACUUUUUUAUACUAAUUAUAGUUAUUAUCUAUGAUUUGAUACUUUUAACUUUUCAAAAGUUGAUAAUCAUUCAAUAGAGAUUUGAUAAUUUGUUUAUCAAAGCCACAUAUAACAAUGAAGGUACAAUUUAAAGAAGCUCAAAAGUGACAAAAGAUUAAUGUAGAUGCUUAUUGCUAGGAACAACUUGAAUUCCAUGAAGGCAAUAAGAUUUGAUUAUUUUAUUGUAAUAUUAAGAUUAGUUGAUUUUGUGAUAAGUUUUAUUAUUGUAGACUUGGAAUAUUUUUUAUUUAUAAAUAAAUCAAUCUAAUUGUAUAUUAAUUAUAUCUAUAAAAAUUUAUGAAGAUCCAUCUUAUAUUAUGUGUCUCUUCAUAAGCCAUAUAAGACAUUGGACAUACUAAAAGAAGAAAAAUGGUUUUUCUUUUUAAGAAGAUGAAAAAUUAACAACCAAUUGAUUUAAGUUAAAAACUAUUGUAUAUUGAGUUAUGAAAAAAAACAUUAAAAUUAUCACAACCUUUAUAAUGAUGUAAUAGAAAUGAAGAAUCUCAAGAACAAUAUGUAUUUUUUUUAAAUAGAUAGAAAGAUUCAAUGUAUUUGGUAUAUCGAUGUCAUAAGAGACUCUUGAUGUUUGGUCAUAUUAUUGGAAGUAGAAACCACUCUUAAUGGUAUUUCAAAUAUUUUAUAAGAUAGAAGUUACACAUGCCUCAAUAAUAGUCAAAUAUCAAGGUAGUCUUUACAUCCUAAUAUGAAAUACUAUUGAUAGUUGAAACAACCUAUUAAUUUCCUUCAAAAGGAACAAAGAUUAAAGUAUGUAGCAAAUAAUUUUUUUCACAUCUUAGGCUUUCUCAACAUGUAAUUAUUUUUUAUUGUAGAACUUGUUCUUAGAAAAGAGAAGAAAAUAAUGCCAGAGACAUACAUAAUUAUCAAGAUAAGAAAUCUUAAGUAGAAAAUAAAUAAAGGUAGAUUAAAUAAUAUCUUAUAGAAAAUAUUUUUAAAAGCUUCAUAAAUGUAAAUUUGACUUUAAACAAAUUUGUAGUUGAUUAUAAGGUUAGAAACUUGAUUAACAAAUUGAACACAUAUUGCACAUGUUUGUAACUUGUGAUUCAAGUUGGUCAUGUGGUACACAUGGAAGAAACUUGCCUUGCAAUUUAGAUACGUGUCUUGUAAGUUAGACAUAUAUUGAAGGAUCUAUAAAAUGUCACCAUGUAGCUUCUAAUUACAUAGUAUAUAUGGAGAUAAGAAUAAAGCCUUUUGCAGUCUUAUUAAUGCCUUUUUUAUCUUUAAUUUUUUUUUCAGAGACUUUGAUUUUUUUUAUCUUUGACAAUAGUCAUUCUAGUUUAAUAUAUACCAUCUUCAAGUGACUAUAUAUUCCUUUUGAGUGAUACAAGAGUUUAUUAACCUUUGGUUCUUUAAAACUCAUGUCUUUGAUAUUUUUUUUAAAAAAAAUAAUAAAUAUAUAUAUUUAUAUAUUUUAAGUUUUUACCUAAUGAAUGUAUAUUUUUUUCUUCUCAUAUUGGAUAAAUCUAUUUUAUUUUUCUUAACAUAAAUAUUAAUUUUCUAUCACAAUACUAAUAAGCCUAAAAAAGAAUAUAUUAAAAUCUGAAAUAUGAAUUUAAAGACAAGAAAAAUUAUGAAUUUUAUUGAUAUAUAUAUAUAUAUAUAUAUAUAUAUAUAUAUUAAAUAAAACUAAUUUUAAUAAUAUUAUAGUAAUUUUUUUAAUUUUAUUAUUUUUAGCUUAGAUGUAUUUUAUGAAUAAUACCUAAUAGUUAGCAUGUAUUGUAAAAUAAAUUUAAAAACUUCAAUCACUUAAUCAAUAAAUUUAAGAAUUAAAUAAAUUUUUGAUGUAUCAAAUAUAUCAAACAUUUAAAUUUUGUAAAAACUACUUACUAUAAGAAAAGAUAAAAUAUUUUUUUGCUAUAAAAAUAGAAUUUUAUAAUCUUGUUAAUGGAAAAACAUUUAGAAUCUUGAAUUAAUUAGUAUCUAAUGUAUUAAUUUUUAAAAAUUAAUUUUAAAUAAUUAAAUUUCUAUAUAAAAAUUAAAUUAUAUAUAUAUAUUUAAUUAUUAAUAUUGAUUUUAUAAAAAAGUUAAAUUUUAGAUUUAGAUUUUUAAAUUUUUUUAAUGCAUUAUUUUAUAAUGUAUACAUUAAAAUUUUAAAAUCAAUAUAUAUAUAUAUAUAUUGAUUUUAGAAUGUAAUAUUUAUAAGACUGUAUUACACAAGCUACCAACAUAUGUAACACUUGGCUAACUUGUUAACAAAGUUUCUAAUCUUUAAAUAUGUGUAAGGUCAAAAUCAUAUCUAUAAAGCUUUUAGAAAGCUUCUUUAAAAGGUAUUAUGAAAUUAAUCUAUUUUUACUUACUUUUAUUUAAUCAUAUAGGUAAUUAUUGGAGUAAAUAUGUAUGUUUGUGGCAAUAGUUUAAAUGCAAGAUCAAAGAAUUUUGUUAGUAGAGCAAGUUCAUAAAGAGCUUGGACAUUUUGAUAUACACAUAGAAAUUUCUAUGUUAUGCAACCAAUAUUGGUAGACUAAUUGAUAUCAAGAGAUUGGUAAAUAUAUUUCUUAUUAUAAAGUGUGUAAUCAGAUGACCUUGACAUUUAGACUCAAUAUUAAAAAAAAAAAAAAAAAAAAAAAAAAAACUUUAAGAAAAUUAUGUCCAUAGAUAUAGAGAAUAUACAUAUUAUUCAACAUCAUGUUACUUUGAAAUAUGCUUGUAUUUUGAGUAGAGAUUAUCAACUUCAAUUAAGGAGAUUUUCUAAAAAAGAUAUAUAUAUCUAUAUAUAUAUAUAUAUAUAUAUAUAUUUAUUUAUUUGGAACAUGAGAUACUUACAACACUUAUUAUUAAGCCAAAGCUCAUAAUUCUUUGUAUCAAGGAUGUAUUGUCUAGUGGUAUUUUAUUACUUGAAGAGGACAAGAGAAUUAAGAGUAUUUGAAGAAUUGUUUACCUUAUCAUCUUCAUAUUGAUGAUUUUUUACAUCAUAGAUUCAUAGUUGUACAAAAUGGCCUCUUUUAUUUUGUGUGCAGUGAAAAGAAAGGAGCUACUACUAUAUUAUUGUGUGACAAGUGCCAACAUAGGUAGCAUGUAGUAUGCUUCACUUCACCUCGUUUGAUUCUUUCUUUACAAGAUUGGAUUUGUCCUUAUUUUGAGCAGCCUUCUAACUAUGCCUCAUCUAUUGACAAGUAUUUAUAACUCUUUCUUUCAGGUUUUUAACAUGCUUUUAUGAUUUCACUACCACAACAUUGAUUUUAUUAUACAUAGAUUUUGCAACAACAUUAUUGGGGGAUUCAUCUUUGACGAUGUAUAUGUUGUUAUUCUAUUUAAUUUCUAGGGCUUCUAAAUAGAUAAAAAAAGAUACAUGAGAGUGUAUUUGUUAUUUAUUGUUAAUUGAUUUUUAUUUGUAUAUUUGGUAAUGAUUUUUGUCACUCAAUCAGUUAUAUAUGAGAAUCUUUAUUUAUACAAAAAAUAUAUAAAAAUAUUAUAUUAUCCUGCUUUGAAUUAUCUCAUUUUAUUUAUUAUAUUAAGAUAAUAUUAUUUAUACUUUCAUAUAUUUAAAUAUAUAAGUUAGAUCUCAAAAUAAUAUUUUUUAAAUUAUUUUUAAUGAUUCAUACAAAUAUUAUUUUUUUAUUUAAUUUUUGACUUUUUAUUUUAUUCUUAAAAAUAUUUAAUAUAUAUAUGAGUAAUAAUUUAAUAUAAAUAUAUAAUUAAAAGAUUAAUAUUUUAAUAAUUUAAUAAACUAAUAUACUCUAAAUUUUUAAUUUUAUUUUAAAAUCUUAGUUUUAUAAUUUGAAUAAAAAUAUUUUAGAAUAUUUAUUUUAAAAUUUAUAUUUUAUAUGCUUGAUUAUAAUUUUUAAUUAAUAUUCUCAAAUUAUAUAACAUGAGAUUUGUUUUAACAAUUAUUAAUUUAACUAUCAAAGAGCAUCAAUUGCAAACUUUAGUAUCCAUAUCACAUAUAUGUUAAUGGUCUAGUAGUUUAGAAUGUGAUCAAAUUCUAUUAAAAAUUUGGUCAAGAUUUAGUAUUUGAUUCCAAAAACUUUUGGAUGGUGUUAUUUUCUAUCAAAUUCCAACCUAUAAUACAACUUAAUUGUACUAACUUAUGACAAAUUCAAUUGGUUAAAGACUUAACUUUAUGUAUAAAGAAUCUUAUACAAAUCUUUAGUUAUAAUCCAAAUUGCAUAUAAUAUUAUUUUAAAUAAAAUAUAAAAAAAUAAAUAUGAUAAAUUAAUAUAAAGAAAUAUAUGUAAAAUGCAAAGAAUUAUACUUAUAUCAAUAAAUAAAUAAUAAUAGUUGUAGUACAAGUAUGCAACAAAGAAAAAUUACUUUUUAUGUUCUUAGUCUUAUUUCAAGAGUCUCAAAUCCUCUUGUCUUUGGCAAUAGUCAUUCUAGUUUCAAUAUUGUGUUAUUUUUGAAUGAAUAUCUAUUCUUUUUGAAUGACACAAGAAUAUAUUGAGGUUUCAUUUGACUAUGAUAUUUGUCUUUAAUACAUAGUUAUAUUAUUUUAAUUUAUAUAUUACAUACCUAAAUUAUUAUGUAUAGUAUAUUUUUUAUAAUAUAAUACAUAUUGUAAUUUUUAUUUAAAGAAUCUUAACCAUUUCUUAAAAUAAAAAAUAAAUAUAUUUUAAAUUUUAUUUUAUAGUAUAUAGAAAUAAAAAUUAUGUAUCACAUAUUUUUAUAAUUUUUUAAUUAAAAAUAUAAUACAUAUAUAUAAAUUUAUUACUUAGAUUUUUUUGUAAUAAAAUAUUUUAUUUUUUAUCAUUUAUAUUGUACUUAAUACCUAUAGUAAUAAAAUAUCUUUGUAUUAUUUUAAGAUUUGUUGUUGUAAUUAUAUUAUAUUAUUUUUUAUAAAAUAUAAUUUAUAUUUAAAUAAAAUAUACAUGAUAUAUAUUAGAUAGAAUUACAAGGAAACUUAUAAUGGCUAUUAAAGUAGAACAAAGGAUUACAAUGAGGCUAGAAAUUGCUAAUUUGUUGACUUAAGUAAAUAACCAAAAUAAAGGCCUUCUUAUGUCUUUUUUUAUUGGUUGAUUUGGCAUCUAUAAAUUGAAUCAAAUUCAAUAAAUACAUCUAUGUCUUGAAUCAAUUUUUUGACUAACAUUCUAAAAUCUAUGCAAUUAAUUAAAAUAUCUUUAGUCUUUAAAUCUAUCUACAUUAACUAAAAAUUAAGAUCCCUCUACCUAAACUACCAAAGUCAAUAAAAUCUACACAUACAUAUAAAAAAAGUGGUUCUAAUUACAGCAUUAUAUGGCUUCAAGUGAAGUACAUGAACUUGAACUUUUGUUUAACAUUUUGUGAUUGAUUAGACUUAACAAAGUAUUGGAGCAAUAGGAGGAAUCAAGUAUAUUGAACAAAAAUAUGUUAUGAUUCUUAAAAUGAUUUAAUAGCACAACAUUGGUCUCUUUUGAGGACAUAUCUAGGAUAAUCCAUACGGUAAUUAAUGGACAUCUAUGAAUCAAAUAAACAAAUAAAUAGCCAUUGGCCCAAACAACAUGUGUUUGGAUUGGAGACUCACUUGUCUAUUGUGCAUUGACUUUGCAAGUUCAAGUAAACUAGUCAAAACAAUUGAUGCUAAAAUGCAUAUUUUUCCUAACUUGCACGUGCUUGCUUAUACAAACUCUACCUUUUUCAUUUUCAAACUUGAUAGUUUGGGAGAAGUUCUACACAUCCGGGAAAUGUUAACAUGUUCAGAAGUUGUAAAUCUGCCCAAAUUGUUAAAUUGAAUAAACACCCAUUUCAAAAAGUCAUCCCCUCCAUUGUUUCUCAGUGUUUGUUAAUGGCCAAUUAUGACCUUGGCCCAAACUUUCACCUUGUCACCUCCAACUUUCAGCCUCGGAUAUGAACUCAAGGUUUUCCAGGUUCUGCUCAGCCAGCGUUGGGGUUUACAGCGAGGUUUCAGUAUCGCUCAUUCACUUGCAGUACUUGGUGCUGCAUGUGAGUAACUUGCAGCCACAGCAGCACAAUCAUGCUGUUGGAAACAAAUGUCGACGAUCCUUUAGAAUUCAUCAAUGAAUGUUAGGAUUCUACGCGGACUAAAGUUGAAUAGAUUGUGAGGGUUGUGCCCUUUAAGAGAUAUCAGUUCUACCUAUGAAAUGACAGACCGUCAUUGCUACAUUCUGUGUGGUGGAAUUGUGACCUAGAUGGUUUGCACCCUGGUUGUGAUUUUGUGUUAACCGUGGUAUUCGUCUCUUACCAAUUUCGUGGUCGGUGAUAGGUCGGAACAUCCGCAUAGCUCUGGUUCAAAGAUGAUGUUCAUGGACUAAGGACUACAAGAGAUUGCAGGCGGAUUUCGUGGUCCUGGACCCUCCCGAUGCAAUUCUGCAGUUGCGAAACAACUAGACCAUGCUCCAGGAUGAUGCGAAGCUAGAGUUGAGAAAUGCUGGGGGAAACGUGGGGUUCCAAAUCAAUUUGUGCUCACUGCUGAUGCGACGUCGAUCCCAGCUUCCGUCUGCGAAGUUGGCCGUAAGCUCCAUUAGUGACAAAACCACUGGUAGCAGAUGGAUCCCCCAAGUCACAUCCAAUGUCUCCAAUUUAUGAUAAGUCGUGUUUGCGAACCAUGCCGGAGUUCUGGUCAAAAUUAUGGAGUUGGUGGAGAUGAUAGACUGGUGUAGAGGUCUUCCUUACCAGAUGUUCCGCGUGGGUGAUACUUUCAAAGGAUUAAUGCAGAAUUCUGGAACAGUUCCCAGACUACACUGAUCUGCAACAAGCCUUGCGUUCGAACGUUCCUGUUCAUCAUCAUCAGAAGAAGACUGCUUAUCGGGUCAGCGAAGGACACACCUACAGUUGCAAAAGCAGCCCAAUCGAUGCGAUGAACCAGACUGUGACUCCGCAAAGUGGGCCUCGCAAUCAAGAAUUUAGUUUCAAGGAGCUUCAAGGAUGGAUACGGAUUCAUGGGAAAAAUUCAACCCAACUUGUGAUUCCUUACAGAUGAGGAUAAAUUAUGUGUUUGUUGUUUACAGGUGACAAUCUAUCUAUUUCUUCUUAUUUUCACAUCUUGACGUUUGUAGUGCCUAUUAAGGUACUUUUUUUAUUCAUAAUUUGUUUCUUUACAUUUCUAAAAAUAAACUGAAUAACUGAUUUUUUUUUUUUUUUAAGUUGUUUUACAAUCAAUUUCUGAAAUUUGAUUAAGAUUUAAAUCUAGGUUUAAGUUCCAAUUUAUGAUAGUGAUUUAUAUUUUAAAUUAAGAUUUUACUUUAAGACUUUGUUUUGGGAUUUGAUAUGGUACAAUUAUCUUGCCUUCCAACACCUUAUUAGCUAGAUAGAAAAUUUCUAGUUACUUAAAACCUAUAGCCAAGAGGUCAAUACUAGAAAAAAUGGACACAUGUAAUAUUUUGUAAGCCAAAAUGUGUGUUGUAUUUCUAACAAGAGUUUCUUCAUCUUGUAUUAAAGUUAAAAUAUAAGACCUAAUUACCAAACCAACAUCUAUAAGGUUAAAUGAUAAGUUUCUUAUUUGGAUAUUAAUUGAAGCAAUUAUCUUCAUUAUGAUUAAAUUUACCACAAUGAAUAUACUUCAGCUUCUUCUUUUUAGAUUACUUUCAUGUCUAGCCAUUUUUUUUUUUUUUUUUUUUUUUUUGCUUUUAUUUUUUUUACAUGAUGUGUUUUCUUUUUUUUGGAACAAUUAUGAUCAUUCUUAUUGUGACUAGAUUCACCACACAACUAAUAAUGUAUAGUCUUUUUAACUUGGGUUUUAAUUAGUUACCUUGUAGAAAUAACAACCUUCUUGAAUUUAGGAAUAUUUGUCACUUAGGCAACCAUGUAAGCACCAUCAUGUUGAUAGAGAGUCCUUUCACACUUCUUGAUUUCAAUAAAUGUUUGUGCUAGCAUUACUUUGCUAUUAUUAUUAAAAAUAAUUCUUGGUGUGGCAAAUUCUAAAAAUCACUUGUCAAUCUCAGAUAAAAAGAUCUUAACAAGUUGAUUCUUAACAAAUAUGCCUCUUAAUUCUAUUGUAAACUAUAACAAAUGGGUAUACAUAAUAAAUGUUGUGUCUUUUUUUAUACCUAUAAAGUAUCAAAUAUAUUGUAUUUGAUCAUGCAUAAAGCCUCUAAAUUCACUCUCUAAAUGUUUAAUAAACAUUCAAAGUGGCUCAAAAGUUGGUAGCUUUCAUAUUAAAAACAAAGUCAUUUUCACAGCUUGAGCCAUUUGUAAUAAGAUAAGUAGAGUGUUGCUAUCUAAAGGCAAUUCCUAUGCUAAAAUCUUCUCUUUGGUAUCUUCAAGGAAUGUUUCACUUUCUUAUUUUGAUAAAUUUCUAUCUUUCACUGUAAAAAUUAAAUUAAAAAUAGCACCAUCUUUAGCUUCUAAAUUGCACUCUAUUUCUCACAAUUGAAGUAAGUAGUUCUUAUUCUAUCUCCUAUAUGUUAAGAAGGCCUUAUGCUUCAAAUAUUGUUGCAAUAAUUCAAAUGCAUAUCACUUAUUAAAAGUAAAUAAUUGUAAGGAUUUUUUUUAGUCCAAGUUUUAAAUUUGAGCUUUUAAUUUGGUAAGAAAAUACCUCUAACUUGUCUUUAAAACAAUCACUUAGAAUACUAUAAAGAUCAUUGUCUAUCUCACAAAUUAUACCAAUAUUCUAAAUCCAAAAUCUUUUAGUAGUAUCUAGUACUGAAAUAAGCUAAAAUGCCUUGUUGAUAUUUACCACUAGCUCAAAAUCCUUGAUAUGGUUAUUUUGUAAGUAAUUUGGUAAAAAUGAAUUAUAAUAUCUAUUCUUAGUUUGUGCUUUAAAAAAAAACUACUUUAAUACUUGUAACUAUUUAAUAGCUUAAAGACGUGCCUACUAUUGUAAUAUGUAUUAUCUUGUUGAGAAAACAUUAGAUAUCUAUUUAUAAAAGGUAAAUUAUAUUUGUAAUAAAAAAUAAAAAAAUAAAAAAACUAACAAUACUAAAAUAAUUUUAAACGAAUUUUAUUAAUACUUAAUAAUUUUAGUUAAAAAUUAAUUAAAUCCUUAAAAAAUCCUAAAAGAAUCAUUAGAUAAUUCAUAAAUAUCAUAAAAAAUUUAUAAAUAAUAUUAAAAUAAAUAUUUUAAAAACAAUUAAUUUUUUAUAAAGAAAUUAUUAAAAAAUCAUAACAAAGUAAUUCUAAGAAAAUCAUAAAGAAACUUCAAAGAAAUCCUAAAAAAUAAUCUUUAGAAAAGUUAUUAAGUUAUCUUAAUGAAAUUAUAAAAUUAAAAACAAUCACAAUAAUAAUAAAGUUUGGAAGUUGUUAAAGUCACAUCUAACAUUACUAUCUUAUGAUUAAUUCUAUCCAUCUCCAUCUUCAUGCCUUAUUGUCAUGGACAUAUGCAUGUAAGCCAGUAAUUACUUAUAUAAAUAGGUAGAAGUAAGUAGAAGUAGAUAAAAAUAAGUUAAUUCUAUAAUAUCUUUUAUAGAAGCUUCCUAGAAGCUUGAAAGACAUUGCUUUGACUUUAUAGAUGACUUUAAUUGACUUUUUGGUUUAGAAACGUGGUCAACAAGUUCGUCAUAUACCACACAUGUUGUUAGCUUGAAGACCAAGCUAACUAUGUGGCAUAUACAUAGAAAAACUUACUUUGUAAGUCAAGGCAUGUGUCUUAUAAAGUCAACACAUAUUGGAAGUCCUAUAGAACAUUGCCACAUAGCCCCUAGUUAGAUAGUAUAUAUAGAGACAAGAAUGAAGCCCUCUUCACUCUUGUCAACUCUUUUCUUACUUCUAGUCUAGUUUCAAGAGUCUCAAGUUUCCUUGUCUUUUAGAAAUAAGCCAUUCUAGUUUCUUUUAAAUAUAUGUACUUCCUUAUUCUUAUUUUGUCACUCUUUCUUUGAUAGAGAUUUCAUUGGUUUAUGCAUAAUCUUUUAAUUCAUAUCCUUGAUAGAUUGAUAAGAGUACACUUACAAUAUCAUAGCUUUGUCUUGUCUUUAUUAAGAGUGGAUUAUCCCUUUCUCAUGAUAAGACAUAAGCAUAUUAGAAGUUGCCGAUUACCUUCUUCUAAACUGAUAUUGUUCUUAGUAUUUUCUUUGUCCUGAAGUUCUUUCUUCUACUUAUCUUCAGUAAAAUUACAUAUUUUUCUGAGUGUUAUUAUAGCAAAGCUGGUUAAAAUGAAGAGUGCAAUGGCACAAAUGUAAGAACAAUUGAAGGAGUUGAUGCUUGCGAUGCAUCAACUUAGCUUACCACUACAAGGAUCAACAAUAAUGGCACAAAGUAAAGAUAUAGAGAUGAUUAGAGCUGCUUCAACAUCUACACCAAAUCAUGUCCCUCCACCCAUGGUAGAGCAUCCUUCAAGUGUUAGAGAACCAAGAGUUAUCUUAUCCAAGAAGUUUGAUGGUAUAAGAUCCAAAUUUUGAGGAUUUAUCAAUCAAGUAUAAGUUAGGAUUGAACUUUAACAUCAAAGCUAUUGGACUCUAGGAUCUUAAGUUAGAUCCAUUGGUAUACUUCUUUCAAAUUCAGCAUUAUUGUGGUUUUUAUAUUUUUUUGAAUAUUGAGAUCCAAUAUUGGAUAAUUUGAAGGCAUUUUUGGUGGAAUUUUGGUCCAUGUAUAGAGAACAUGAUGUAACUCGUGUUGCAACCAACAAGAUCCGUAUUUUGUGAUAAGACAAUUAAUUUGUAACAUUAUAUGCUUCCUAGUUUUAACAACUUGCAAUUGAUAUCAAGUAAGAUGAUGCUGCAUUUAUUAGCCAAUGUCUCUAUAGAUUAUAAUAUGAAGUAAAGAAAUUGAUGCUCAACUUAUCUAAUCCUCAAACAUUGAGUCAAGCAAUUGACUUUGUUGUAAAGUAUGACAAUUGAUUUUUUGAAUUUUUAUUUCAGAAUCGUACAAGUGGGCCUCAACGUUACUACAAUUCAAUGGCAAUACCAACAUCUCUUCAACACAUACAUUCACAAGUAGACGAUGUACAAAUUGAUGCGGUACAUUUUAAACCCCUUAUCAAGCAAGAAAAGACUCAUUGCUAUCAACAAGGAUUGUGUUUAUAUUGUAGAGAACCUAAACACAUUGCUCAAAAUUAUCCAAAGAAGCGACAAAACCACAAAAUGAGGAGCACAGCUAUCAAAAAAGACAAUGUGUUAGAAAAAAAAUUUGUCUAGCUACAAUAGGAACCGUGCGGCUAGAAUCUUAUAUAAUUUCUAAUGAAGGUCCUAUCCUCUCCUCAGAACCUCCUCCUUGUUUCAUAAUAGCUAUGCAUUUAGGACCUAAUAAUUAUAAAGCCUCUAUUUUGAUAGAUUCAAGAGCAUCAAAUUAUUUCUUAGAUGUAGAAUUUGUUAAAAGUCAUAAAAUAUCGUUAGUACAAAAAACUAAAUUUGUUCAUGUAGAAGUGAAAGAUAAUUGUCCAUUAUCUUUUAGAGAUGUUAUUUAUGAAAUACUUUCUAUAGAUGUAGCAAUAAAUGGUCAUAGUAGUUGUGUAAUCUUUAAUAUAAUUAGAUCUCCUUUUAAUCUAGUCAUUUUAGAUUUAUCGUGGUUAAAAAAGUAUAAUCCUUACAUAGAUUGGAUUUUUCGUACUCUUGACUUCUCUAAAAGUAUAACUAAGAGUGAAAUUAAUCGAGUAGAAAGUCAUAAGUCUAGGACAAUAAAACCUGUGUUUGUAGGUGUAAGAACUUUCAUGCAUGCUGUAAACAAAGGAUCAACUUGUGUUAUUUACGCCACACCUAUUUCUAAUGAUGCAAAGACUUCAAGUGGCAUUCCAAGCUAAUAUCAAGAGUUUUAAGAUGUAUUUGAGAAAAAGAAUGCAGGUUCUCUUUCAAAAAAUUGUUUCUAUGAUUGCUCAAUUGACCUACAAGAAAGAGCACAACCGCCAUUUGGAUUGAUAUAUAGUUUAUCACAAAAUGAAGUACAUGAACUCAAGGAAUAUAUUGAAAAGAAUUUGGCCAAGAAUUUUAUACGCCAUUCCAAAUCGCCAGUAGGAAUUCCAAUCUUAUUUGUAAAGAAGAAAGAUAGAUCAUUACAGAUGUGUAUUGAUUAUCGAGGAUUCAACAAGAUCACCAUCAAGAAUAGGUACCAUCUACCUUCAAUAUCCGGACUUUUUGAUCAACUAAAUGAAGCUAAGAUCUAUACAAAAAUAGAUCUAUGAGGAGCAUACAAUCUAGUACAUAUUAAAAAAGGCGAUGAAUAGAAGACUGCAUUUUGAACUAGGUAUGGAUAUUUUGAAUACAAUGUCAUGCCUUUUAGACUUACAAAUGUAUUAGCAGCUUUUCAAUAUCUAAUGAAUGAUGUUUUUUGAGAGUUUUUGGACGAUUUUGUUAUUUGUUAUAUUGAUGAUAUUUUGAUCUAUUCUAAGAACAAAGAUGAACAUGAACUUCAUGUCUGUUGUGUGUUACAAAAAUUAAGUGAUGCGAGACUCUAUGCCAAGAUAAAAAAGUGUGUAUUCCAUGCUACUCGAGUCAAAUUUUUAAGAUACAUCAUUUCAAAUGAUGGACUUAUGAUGGAUCUUAAGAAAGUUCAAACUAUUAUGGAUUGAAAAAUCCCAAAAACGGUAAGAGAUGUUCAAUAGUUUUUGGGCUUUACCAACUAUUAUCAAACCUUCAUCAAAGACUUCUCUCGAAUUGUAGCCUCACUUACAUGUUUGAAUUACAAAGAUAAACUUGAGUGGAGUAAAGAAGUUGAAGCAUCUUUUAAAACUUUGUAGUCGGCCUUUAUUUUUGCACCAAUCUUGUAUCACGUCAACUUUUCAUAAGGCAUUUUUUAUGGAAACAGAUACAUUAGAUUUUGCUUUGGAUGCUGUAUUAUCAUAAAUGGAAACAAAUGAUAAACUUCACCUAGUAGCUUCUCAUUUUAGAAGAUUUUCAACAACUAAGAUUAACUAUGAAAUCUACAACAAAGAACUUCUUGCAAUCAUGGAUUCAUUUCAAGAAUGGCAUCAUUAUUUAGAAGGCACUUCCAAUCCAGUCACCGUAUAUAUGGACCACAGGAAUUUGAAGUACUUCAUGUUAGCAUGUGUUUUGAAUUGUCUAUAAGUCUAUUGGAACAUGUCUUUAUCAAGAUUUGAUUUCAAGAAUACAUAUCGACUCGAAAAACAACAAGGUUUGUUAGAUGCCCUUUCUAGACGUACUUAUCUUGCACCAAAAGAUGGAGAUGCAUCUUUUGAUCAACAAAGAACAAUUCUCUUGAAGCGAGAGCAUUUUUGUCUUCGAGUAAUGAAAUCAACAUUGACUAUUAAUUCAACCCUUGUGAAAAAAAUCUAAUCAAGUAUGUCUUCUAAUCCUCUUGUUCACAAUAUUAAGAAUCCUUCUUCUAAGCCUUAAGAUACUUCUAAGUUUGAGUUCAAAAACAACCUACUCUAUUUUGAAGGUCAAUUGUAUGUUCCAAAAUGAGAAGCAUGAUUAUGUAUUCUUCAAGCAUGUCACAAUUUUCCAGCAGCAGGACAUUUUGGUUACAAAACUUUGGAGCUUAUAUCCAAAGAUUUUUAGUGGCCACAAAUGUGGAAGGGUAUGAAAGACUUUGUUCAGUCAUGCGACAUUUGUUCAAGAUCAAAAACUCCUUGUCAUCGACCUUAUAAACUUCUUCAACCAUUAUCCAUUCCAGAACAAUCAAGGUCAUCUGUUUCUAUGGAUUUCAUCACGGAUCUUCCAAUCUCAGGUUCUUAUGACUCUAUAUUUGUGAUAGUAGAUCGUUUUACCAAGAUGGCACAUUUUAUACCAUGUAUAAAAUCUAUCACAGGUGAAGAAAUAGCUAAGUUCUUUUUUGACAAUAUCUGUUGCUAUUAUGGAUUAUCUAAGGAUAUUAUAUUAGAUAGGAGAACUCAGUUUGUAUCAAGAUUUGGACAAAUUCUUUUCAAGUUUCUAAAAGAGGAUAUAAAACUAUUUUCAGCAUUCUUUCUUCAAACUGAUGGACAAACGGAGUGUGUUAAUUAAGUUUUGUAGCAAUAUUUAAGAUGUACCAUCAACUACCAACAAGAUGAUUGGACAACUCUUUUGCCACUAGCAAAAUUUACUUAUAAUAAUACGAUACAUUCUUCUACAAAACAAACAGCUUUCUUUGCCAAUUAUGGUUAUCAUCCACGACUUGAUACUUUUGACUUUUUAAAAGUUGAUUAUCUUAUGGCAAAAGAUUUGGGAAAUCAUUUGUCAGAGCUACAUGCAAUAAUGAAGGCGUUGUUAAAAGAAGCUCAAGAACAACAAAAGAUCAAUAUGGAUGUCUAUCAAAUGGAACAACUACCAUUCCACAUAGAUGACAAGGUAUGGUUACUUUGUCGCAAUAUCAAGACCACUCGUCCUUAUAACAAGUUGGACUAUCAUAGGCUUAGACUAUUUUUUUUUUAUUUCUGUAUAAAUUAAUCCAGUUGCAUAUCAUUUACACCUACUAGAGUCAAUGAAAAUCCAUCCAAUAUUCCACUUGUCUCUUCUUAAAUUAUAUAAGAUAGUCGACAUACCAAGAAGAAGACAAAUUCCACCUCUUCCUAUAGAAGUGGACAAUAAUCAAGAAUUCGAAGUGGAAGAAGUUCUAGAUUCAAGGAGAUGCCAAAAUAAAUUAGAAUAUCUUGUCCAUUGGCACGGAUAUUAUAUUAGUGAAAGCAAAUGGGAGCUAGUAAAGAAUCUUGCAAAUCCAACAAAGGCAGUGGAGGCUUUUUAUCGACAACAUCCAUCAAAAUUAAGAUGAAAAUCUUCUUUAUAAAAGAAAGAAAAUCUAAGCAAGAUAACAUUCUACUUUCAAUCCUUAUUUGUAGCUUCUAUAUAGUUGUGAAGCUGAGGAGAUAGAAAACCAACAACUAGUGGAUUCAACUAAAGAGCCUUUCUUUGCUAACCUAUUAGAGGAGAAAUUAUGAUUGUCACAACCUUCAAGAUGAUGCAAUCAAGAUGAAGAUCCUCAAGAACGACAUAUUUUUUCUCAAAUAGAUGGCGAGAUACAACGCGUUUGGUAUCAUGACCUUCGAAGAGACUCUCAAUGUUUGGUAAUUUUAUUAGAGAUAAGAACAACUCCUGACGGUGUUCAAAAUAUUUUAUUUGAAAGAAGUUAUGAAGGCCUCAACAACGAUCAGAUAACAGGAUGGAUUUCUUACGGUGGUAUAGGACACUAUCGAUGAUUGAAAGGCCCUAUCAAUCAUCUUCGAAGGGAACAAAGAUCUGAGUAUGUAACAAAUACAAUUUAUCGCAUCAUAGAUUUUUUCAACAUAUGAUGAUCGCUCUUCAUGAAACUCGUCCAUAAAAAGGGAGGUAAUGUCACGAACAUAUGCAUGUAAGCUAGUAAUUAAUUGUAUAAAUAGCUAGAAGUAAGUAGAAGUAAGUAAAAAUAAAUUAAUUCUAUAAUAUCUUUUAUAAAAGCUUUAUAGAUAUUAUUUUGACUUUAUAUGUGUCUUUAAUUGACUUUUUGAUUUAGAAACGUGGUCAACAAGUUGGUCAUGUACCACACAUGUUGUUAGCUUGAGGACCAAGCUAACUAUGUGGCCCACACAUAGAAAAACUUGCCUUGUAAGUCAAGGCAUGUGUCCUACAAAGUCAACACAUAUUAGAGGUCCUAUAGAACACCGCCACGUAGCCACUAGUUAGAUAGUAUAUAUAGAGACAAGAGUGAAGUCCUCUUUACUCUUGUCAACUCUUUUCUUGCUUUUAGUCUAAUUUCAAGAGUCUCAAGUUUCCUUGUCUUUUGGCAAUAAGCCAUUCUAGUUUCUUUUAAAUAUACGUACUUCUUUAUUCUUAUUUUGUCACUCUUUCUUUGAUACAUAUUUCAUUGGUUUAUGCAUCAUCUUUUAGUUCAUGUCCUUGACACUUAUUUCAUGUCCCAUAUCCCAUAUUUUUUUGUCACUAGUCCUUGUCUUCCAUUCCCUAUGCCUUGUUCCAUAUUUUUUUAAAUUAAUCAUCAUAUAAUUUGGAGGAUGUGGCUUUAACAACUCCCUAAAGUUAUAAAGAAAUCUAAAUGAAUUCCUAUGUAAAUCCUAGAAAUACCCUAAUUAAAUCUUAAAUCAAUCCAAACCAAAUCCUAAACAAAUCAUAACAAAUUCUAAGUAAAUCUUAAUUAAAUCCUAAUGAAAAUCUAAGUAAAUCUUAAUAAAAUUCUUAAAAGUUUCUAACAAAUCUUAAUGAUACUCUUAAGAUAUCCUACAAAUGCUAAUCAAAAUCUAAGUAAUCCUAUCUAAUCUAAAGACAAACUUAAAACUUCAACAUCUAUUCAUUAAGCCAUAAAUGGAUAAAUAAACAUUGAUAUUUUUUUAAUUUUUAUUUUUUUCAUUCAUCAUUUUUUAUUUAACCAAAGUGAGCUUCUUUACUAAAGGUUUUCAAAAAAUAAAUUUAAAAAUGACAUUUUCUAUUCAGAACUUUUAUGUAAAAUUGUUUGCUUUGGAAGCAUACAAAAUCCAUUCACCCAAGGAAGCUAAUGAUGUUAUUGGUUUGUCAAUUGAAGGUCAUCUAGAGCACAUAAUUGGCAUUCACUUAAUGCUAUCAUUUUUUUUUACACACAACACAUCUUUACAGCAUGAUACUUGAUUGGAAAUUGUCUCAUCUCGUAUUACAUUUUAUUUGUUUCCUGAAGAGGGUAUUCCUUACUGUACCUCGAACUAUGUUCCCACCACCUAAUGUACUAAGGAAGCGUCAAAAUAAUCCUCCGAGGUUCUAUCAUAUUUCGUACAAGAAAUAAGGCGAUAUAAUAUAAUUAGUUUAAUCUGACAUUAUUCUAACGAUUCCGACUGUUUCUUGUUCAAAUCCUAUCAGUUUCUUCCCCAUUUUACUCAUCACCUCAACCAGAUUUGUCAAUCAACCAAACAUACAUAUCUGGCUGAAACCAAAAUGGGUAGUGCUGUUUGUAAUAGUUAUUUCAGGUUGUCUCGAACCGUUUUAGACUAACAAGCACUUACCAUUUGUGUGCAUAUUUUGCUAGCAUACUUAAGACAUUGGGAGACGAUUUGGAUGAGGUCCCACAAGUUAACAGGUAACAGCUGAUAAUCAUAGGCAUAUUGGUCCUCAGAGCCCAGCCCAAGUGCAAGACUCCAAACGGACCCCUAUGACCCGCUUAAGUAGGUCUCCUGAGGUGGCAUUCAUACAGAACAGUCUGAUGCUCAUCCAUCUGGUAUGGGGCCAUUACUAAGCAAAGCUUUGGCUACUCAAUACGAGCUUUUAGCACUAUUUUACACUUGUAUGCCUUAAGUGUGACCUGAUAAGGUCAAGAAGACCAGUAUUUAAUCACUUGCAGCAUUCUCUUUUCAGUCUGUUCAUCAAUUAUGCAUAAACAAGACACUUACUCUCUACAGCAGAGAGGUACAAGAUAGCGACAGCUGAUCAAUACAUCGAAACCCAAGAAUAAGGUAGGGAACCACAAAAGAGUCCAGACUGUCAGUCGAAGACAUCCUUAGUGGCAGAGUGGCACCCGUGUUGACUCCAAAGGUCUCAUUUGAGAUGAUCCUUGUGCAUUUACUGGAUUUCAGCUCGAUGCGAGUGGACACCCUGAAACCCGCUUAGUCUUAACCAAACGAAUAAGAGAGCAGCCCAGCGGCGCACCCUGACACUGCAAGACCACUGAUCUCAUGCGACAAGCAGUGUGAUCAUCUUCCGUAUAGCGUAACCAACCAACAAUGUCGGUUUACACCGCCAAGACCAGCCAGCUCAUUUCGAACCUGGAGCCGGUACCAUUCUAUUAAAGGAUCUGUACAGUAAAUGGUAUCAUGGCAGCCAUCACAGUAGUCAGGCAUGACGUCGAUUACGGACAACAUACGCACUCAGUUUGUUAAUUCCUCGUUGAGAUUCAUUUCCGCCGAAGGCAUUGCGGUCCAAACCUGACCUAAAAAUAAAUGCAAUCUUACCUUCAUAAUCCACCACCUACGUCUUCCUACUACCUGUAAUCUCCAAUGGGGGUAUCUCUUUCUCCAGCAUGAACGACCCCGUGAAAACCAUCAUGUUUAGGUCUGAGUGAAACUGCUUCACCUGAACCACCACGCAUCCCACAUUUACUACACAGACACAUAGUACCUCGCAUCAACUUAACCCCACGUCACUCGUUCCCAAAAACCAAGAACCAAAACCAUCACCGAGGUAUGAACUCGUUGACAUUUUCCUCGUGCUCGAUCUCACUGAGCCGUCAACUCGGCCAUCACGGACGCCUAACCCGCCUGCUUACAUCGCACAUCAUCCAUGUCACCGCAACAUGCAUAUCCACAACUCAAACUCGGGACAAGCUAGAUACACACCUGCCCUUCCGCCAUGCGCCUGAACCCAAAUUUGUUAAGCCAGAUACCCUCCGCACCCUCUGCUGCAGGAAGUGCCAACCGCUCCACCCGAAGCACACCUAACAAUCUCUCGAUCGACAAUAGCAGCGCUUUGCAGUGGCCCUGCACCAUCACAAACCAAGCACCGGUCAACCAACACGACGGCUGCGCCACUUGCGCCAUGCCACAACCAGCACAACUCUCCACCCUCCACCUCACACCGUCACAGACCCGCCAAAAGAUAGAGCACAUGUGAUCAGUGGGUCCUGAACUAAUACGAAGUCCACCUCCACAAACCCCGAAACGCGCGAUACCAACUACCCACCUGGCCUUGAUGUGAGGGGUUGGUUGCCAACAGUGGAAGUUCUGCAAGCUGCCUCCCAAACACGCGGAUGAGAGCCGUCGACACCACCCUAUUGCUGCAGUAUUAAAACCCCACAUAACAAUCAGCACACGUGCAUGGACUUCCAUGUCCCCAACACACUUAUAUACAGUUAAACAAACCCGACCAAGUCAAACACCGUUAUCCAAUUAGCGAUGUCGGAAAAUGAUUCAUCGCGACGCUUUCCCUUACAAUCAAACACAUUGCAAAUUAGAAAGACGACACCGGUACAACUUACUCGUACUUCAAGACGACGCAGUAAAUGCCUCCAAAAUCCUGAUCUCGUAAGCUUCGCCUGAACCACCAGUCCCAAAAAAAUGUGAGAACACUGCUUGCACCAUCGUGCAUAGCAAUAAAAACUGCCCGUCAACUACAGAUCCCAGUGCUUCGUCCAAAACCAAUUGAAUCGUCCACUCCACUCAACAUGAAAAACAAAGCAUACCUGUACACCAUAAGAGGAAUCAAAUCCCCUCCUGACACACCAUCCGCAAUGGGAUCAAAGCAUUCCUAUCACAUGAACACCACGCAUUCACUGUCCGCACCACAUGCAACCAGAGUUCACUCAUCUUUAUCCCUUCAUCCACGUUGCUUUACCUCCACUACUGGCUACACCCACAAAAAUUACUUCCCCACACGUAGCUAGUCCUGGAUGUAUGUAAUCCACUACAAUCAACUCUUAUUCCUGGUAUCGCUCUACUUUCGUUCUUGCUCCACGUCAAUAAACUUCCAGUCCUUGUGUAACUAUCCGUAACGCCGACACGAACGCCGGACAGUCCAAAGCUUACCAACAAUAGAAAGAUCGAUUCUCCGCAAGGAUGGCUAUCCCAUACCGUGCGUACAGGAAAGCCUGGGUCAGACAGGUUACGUACCGAAAAUAUUUGUACUGCUUCUGCCAGUGCUUUACCAUUCGACGGGUCUCCACCCCUACCAUGCAGCAGUUGCCAUUCGAAACCUGAGCAGCUAGACUCUGUUGCAUCCUCCGAUCUCUCUAGUCGAGCCUGGUUAGUUCUCAACACUUUGCUGAUGAUGCUAUCAGCCAACGGCUCGGGUCCAUUCGACACAAGUAAGCUUAAUAUGCUGUGAAUAUGCUUGCAGUCUUGUCCACAGAACCACUCGCCCUCUGGCAGCUCCUGAAAAAUCUCACGUAUCACCAUUCGGAUAUAAGUUCUCAUCUCCACUAUUCCUUGUGACUCACAACCUCUAUCACAGUCUCGUAGCCGAACAGUAGCCACGCAUCGAAACACAACCUCACCCCACCCGAGAAGACCCAAAAACCCCGUAACAGAGCAAGACUGCACCUCCACGGCAGGCCAAACUACAUUCCCAAUGUAACCAACAUAGACUCUCAUAAUCAUUGUAAUCGCAAAGAAACAUGUGGUCCCUGUGCUGCGAUGAAUUACCAAUUCCCCCAAUCUUCUACAAGCCCUUCAAGCACCAGUGCAGCUAACUAUAAGUACUACCCUUACUCCAUUGUCACAUGCAUCCUGCCCCGUCCUCAAUUGACACACACAAGUGAACAAUGGAUUCAGGCAGCCACAGGAACAAACACAAUCGAUAUACAUGCACCCCACGCCACCUUUUCCUAAGGCGCCGUACCAAUUUCUAAAGUUCCCGCACAUACUCUGCCACUAGUCUCCCCGCCAAUCAUUUGCUCAGCAAGACUUUUACCUUAAGAUCUUCAAGACCAUGCUUCUUCAAGCACCCGACAUGAUACUCCCGCUCGCACUGAAUAACAUCCAACAACACCGUUCUAAUGAGCAUGAAGACAGAUCAUCACGAAAUAAUCAGCACAACCUGACGCUUCGCCCUUAAUGUCGCCAGCACUCACCUGAUCACAGAGUAAAGUUGUUUUAGGUCCAAAUCCUGUUUUCGCAAAGUCCCCCGAUCUGCCACCACACAAACAGCAUCUAAAUUAGAUUAUGAUCCAUCACACUUGCACAUGACCUACAUCGUAUUCUAAGCCAUCGAAUAAAGGCUCUGGAAGAGAGAGAGAGAGAGAGAGAGAGAGAGAGAGAGAGAGAGAGAGAGAGAGAGAGAGAGAGAGAGAGAGAGAGAGAGAGAGCAAAUCCAUAAGACAGAAGACAAAAACAAAUUAUCUCCCACGACUGAAAACAAACCGCGUCAGAAGGAUGAUUUCAGUCUUCACAAUGCUAAGGUGAGAAACCAUCGCACAUAAUCACAAAAUGCAACCCCUAAACUCGCCUCCUUUGCAAAACUGAAGAGAACAACCGAGCAUGCGCCCAGUUCCUACAAAACUAAACCACAGAGUUGCAUCAAGUCAUCAUACUAACACCGCCAUACUUACUUGCAAAACACACAACCACCCAGAACAAUCGCUUCAGGAACUUGCAACAGCCGUGAGCACCGCCCAAUCAUGCGAUCCUUUGUAAGUAGAGUCUUGGCAGCUCCCUUAGAACGGCGUUUCGUCAUUGACCGCCGCCGGUCCUUUGUCCCACCGAAUCGUUGCUCUUGACAGUCGGGACAGAAAAACUCCCCGAACGAAGACGAAUCCGUUGAACCCAAACAAUCUGCCAAAAACCGUCCCCAACCCAGUCACAUAAAAUCCACCAGAAAUCCCUUAAAAACAAUAAAACAAUAAAUAAAUCCGUCUUCCACCUACAUCGUCAAACUCGUUCCCCAACAAAACAACCACGACUUCCGCCACGUGGUUCACGCCGGGUACAACCGUACCUUGAUGGUAUGCAUUUGGACACCCCGUGCACAACUGAAGAUCCCCACUGUCCCCGCACUCGACACACUGAUCCAAAUGCUCAAUCUUGGCAGGAGUGACGCCUUCCUGCUUCACGUUCUGUUCCACUACCAGAGACUGGGCAGCAUCGUGAAGAGACCGACCAUCUGCCAGAUAUAUGCUAGUGUACCUGUUCGCACCAAUCCCAACGACGAGUCAACGCUUAGUGAACGACUACCAAAGAUUAUCAACACUUCGCACCUCAUCACGGAGUGCGGUUGGCACCAAAACAUGAUAAAUUGCACGAAUGCUGGCGGAGGCCUACAUCAUCAUGUGACAAACUAUAGACAUCGAAAUAGUUCAGCAUCAAGAAAUCUUGAACUCCACAGCUAAUAAAUGAAAACGGUUCCAUUUGAACUGCCUCUAGCCUCCAGGGAUAACUUCCAAUGCUCCUAAAGAAAACGACAACGAAAGACACCCUUUAUAACCAUCGAACAUCACUGCAAGAAGCCACAUAUUUAGGUCGAACACUUGACUCCGACAAGCAAGAAGUAUGAGUAGGUCGUAUCCAUACACACUCGCAUUCAGAUACUUACGGGUUUCUUCGAGAUCCCCAUCCGGCAUGCUGCUCGAAUAAGGAGCAACUAAUCUGCAUUGCAACUCCCAACUUUGUCAAAAAAACAAAACAAAACAAAACCAAAAAGCAAACCACCCAUGAGCGACUAAGCUACGACCGGGAUACAGUAUUUUCUCAAUACAUCCGACUCCAACUCACUCGUACAUACUUCCACACACCAUGUUAUCCAUCAAUAUGAGCGAUUUUCUGUACCAUCCCUACAAGCCAGGCCGUAAAAAAACCCGCCAUAGAGGGAGAAACCGUACCACUUGUUGACAACAGCUGCACAAUAUUCCUGCACCUUUCUUCACUCCAGCUAAAGAUUUCUGCAAAACACCGCAUCAACAUGAGCGACGAUCACGACUGCCCAUGAAUCACUCCACACAUAAACUCGCUCGGUGGACAUGAACCUCCGCCGAAGAAGAAAAUAAAUAAAUUAAUUAAAAAAUAAACUCAAUUCAACACCCAAUACACACAGAACAAACUCCAAGUGGCAAUGCCUCUGAGACAUUCUUAUUUCUAACCAAAAGGACAAGUGUCAAACCUGGCCCUUCACAUAGUACCCGACUUCCGUAUCAUCUUCUAGACCUCCUGGAAGAAACAGAGCUUUGUGUAAAUUUGCUCCACUUGAUUCUCUACUCAGAACUGGAGGACUCGCCGUUUCCUUUUCCCUCGGGGUACGGUCCAAUCUGCAAUAACGGCAUCCAGUUCAAGACGAUAACUAAACUCACCGAAUUCCUUCCACAGAACGAACAGCCCUGGACGUAUACACGCUUGUAAUAUCCAAUGCAUAUCAUGCAAUACCUCAGAACCACCACCACCAUCAUGCCCACUUCUACAUCGAACACACUAGCUGCCUGACAUAAAGUAGAAUCCAAACGAUCUAUAACUGGCAUCUUAAAGUCUACUCUAACCACAUCCUGCAUCAGGUUGUAUCGCCCGCCCCGGCUCACAGAAUCCACUCAGCUCUUGCGGACAAACCUCGGCAUACUAGCUCUGGCAUCGCUUCCCCUUGCCUUCACCUCAGGAGUGAACCUUGCUUUCGUAUCCGACGGCAUUUUUGGUUUCGUAUCUCCUUGGGGCGUCCUCGGUUUCACGUCCACCGGCACCCUAGGUUUCGUGUCGAGUAACGACUUCGGCUGAGGGAGCUUCUUCAACGCAGGUUGGAUCGCUAUUAAAGGGUGCUCCAGACUACUGAUUUGCACUUUCACACCUCCAACUUCACCAAUGGCAGACUUCAGCACAUCCAUUAUGUUCAUCUUCUGCUUGUUUGCAUUCCACCCGAUCUCCAGUAUGUCCUUCAAACAUUUUCCGUUCUCAAGAAAGAUGAAGUCGCUGGGGUGCCGUGCUGAACUGCCAGCAUGCUUCUCGAAUGCAGACACGUUCACGACCUUCAACUCAACCCAACCCAACCGGCGUCAGCCCUCGUGUGACUAAAAGGAAAGCUACACGUACCACAUUACCAUCCACUCCCUAGUGCUCCGCCUGGCACAAACCCUUCAAAUAGACCCCACAUGCCUACGCCAGGAAGACAGUCGAGUGUUACCUGCACGCCUUUGCAGCUGCUGCAGUCGCAAAGUACUCCCCCUUCUUGUAUGAUACCCGUCAGCAUGAUCUGCAUCCAGCCAUAUAUCAGCGGAUCAGCAAAACCACAACACCAAAGUUGCUCCCGGACAAAUUCGCAACCCCAUCAUACUAACACACCGUCCUGUAGGUUGACUGCACCAUCAACCCUACGAUGCCCUACAGCUCCACCAUCUCAAGCUACACUAAGCCCCUUCCUCGCAACGAUGCAGUGAACCAUGAUUGUACAGAACACAAAGCAUCACACAAACCGGAUCCAACCGCCACCUCCAUAUCUUUACAUACGCAAUUAUGCAAUGAUACCAGCUGUCGGCACAUUAGGGCUGCUGCAAACAACGUACAUGCCCACCACGCCCCAUAUAUCGCACGUGAUGCCCAUCCAGCAACCCAGACUGGAGCAGAAGUUUCGCAGACGCCGGAGCCUCUUUCAACAAAACCUCCUUCACCACGAAGCCCCUCGCGCCAUUCAAUGUUGGAGAUUGUCUCAUGCUCACAUCCCCUUGCCCUUUCAAUUUCAAUCGCGACUGCACACACCCCACACAAUGCCACAACAGCAUGUCAGCUCUCCAAACGACAUCUCACAUUUCCAUCCGCACCAUAACUCACUAACCAAGCCCAACCACCCAACCACCCAACCGCCCAAAGCCAUAUCUUCAAUGGUACCACACCAACCUUCAACCCAGGUGACCGCGACUGUGCCGAUGUCGCAGCCGAUGGCGUCGCGACAUCCGAAUCUUGCCUAUCCAUGCUAUCACCCCGUUUCUCACUACCUGAAUGCUGAGGAAACUCCAGAUCCUUGCUGGAAGCCACCGCCGCCCCAGCAGAGCCACCAAGUUCCUGGUUACCCAAACUGUCUUCUCUCGCUGGGUCGCUGCUCAAAUCCUCACUGUCCACCGCACUCUCAACAAAGCCGUUGGUUCCUCCACUGUGUUCCGGCAGCAGAACCACGGGCUCAAACAGCUCCGUGCACUUAUCCUCUUCAACGGUUCCAUUCGUUAGGCCCUUCCCCCCAUUACCGUCCUGUUCGCGCCCAUCCAAGCCAUCGUCCGACAAAGGGUUCGAUGUCGCGUCAUUGCGACUCCCUGCCACUUCGAAUGCAAGGCCUUCCAUAAUAACCUCAACCAUCUUCAUUUCUAGAGCUUUCGAUGCGUCUGCUUUCUCCAUCUGCAACUCAUCCACCUCACUAAUCCCACUGUUGUUGUUCGCACCUUCAUCAUCCGCAGUCUCGCGUUGAUCUGCACCAUCGGCAACGACCGACUCCCCUAGGCCAUUGCACGUUUGAGCAAUCUGCGAACCCACUGACACGGGUGUCGUUCGUGCCUCCGAUACACACACUUCAUCCGCCACAGUCGAUGAGCAACCUACAACAUGACCUCCACCCUUGGUCUUUCCGGAUCCAUCCCCGCUCGGACUCGACUGCAGCACACCACCAUCCCCAGCCGUAUCUGGCACAAACUCCUCCGCAUCCAUUACAACAUCUAUUCCUUCUUCUGCGGCCACGUUUGAAAUCACAUGUUCCUCUAUCCCCAUGUCCACAUGCCCAUUCUGCAAAAUCACCAUGCAUUCCUCCUUCACAACGUCGUCUUCGACUUGCGUCGGCAAGUGAGAAUCAAGGAUUCCGUUCAUUGCAUCCAUGCCUUUCAACUCCAACUCCGCAGAAUUCGACGUAGCCAGCUCUCCGUCACAGUUGACCGUAUCCACACUGGAGUCCGCAGAAGCCGAGAUAACCCCCACAUUCUGCAAAUCCGAAUUCCCUUCAGCAGCUUCGCAAACCCUCGACGCAUCGCCAUCCACGAUUAUACCCGUUUCCGCAGACAGAGCGGGAACGCUAGUGCAAGCACUGAUGGAACCAGAAAUUGUCCUGGGUGAACCCGGUACUGCCUGGCCGUCCGACACUUUGCACCUUGAAAACCACCGAUUCACUUUCAGACACUCGCAAGCCUCGUGCUCGUACUACACAGUACCAACAAACUAUACCACUCCCAAAUUCAAAGAUACGUUGACAUCAAUUUCACACCAUCUCGCUCCUCUUAAACACACAGGACGACAAUUCAGUCCCACUAAAGUCACACAGAAGUAAGUGGCAAGCUCCCGAUUCCCAACGUCCACAGGUGACCCCUACUCGCCACGGCGUCACCGACCGACUAAUUCCUAACAGAACACAUCCACCUACGCAGCACAGCCAAGACACGACGCAACGCGCAAGCUACUCCGAACGAAGCUACUACCAAGGGUAUGUGAGCAACUCACCCCCCUCCCGGUUCUCCCCAAGCCGUGUCGAUCAGCAUUGCAUCUCCAACAGAAGAAUUCAAUAGUACAGAAUUCACUUCCACGUCUGAAGAUCCUCUAACGGCAAGCUUUUUCGCCGGGCUACGCAACUCCUUCAAUCCUUCAUCAAACGCCCUCUUUUUCGUGCUUACUAUCUCGCUUUCAUCCUCCAGGUGCAAGCUGUUGGGAUCCCCGAUCCUAUCACCAGCGAGAGCGCUGGUAGUUGCUGUCAUUAGCCCAUUCUCAACUUCGCAAGCACCCGACAGACCAACGUCCCCCACUCUAUCAGCCACCUCGUGGCCAUUGUUCGCCAAAAUCUCCAUUGCAGCGGACUAUCUACUUGGCAUUAAAGAGGGAAUCGAGAUCGGUUUCUUCACAGGCACUACCUCACCCACUCAUAGCUCCAGCAUACAAAACACCACCACUCCGCCAAAUAAUUGAACCGACUGUAAACACAAACAUGUCACGCGGAGGUCAGCAAACCGAAUUCUGCGACUCCAAGGAACCGUUGCGGACUGCAUGCAAAGAAAUCGAGAGUCGACUUGUUGAGAACCACUUUUCAGCACGAAGCAACCCACGGAUUGAAAUUCAAACGAGAACUCCAGACCCGGCCAGUGUGAGCGGGACUUCGAUGUAGGUCACGAACGAAGGUCCCGUUGCAGAAGCGAAAAGAGUAAGACUCGAAACGGUGCAUGCUGAACAUGAGACACAUGUUCGACCUGCUACGCAUGCCAUGUCCCAUCACCGGGCGGACCAUACGAUAGAUUCGAACUACAAACUUCGCUCAGACUAUUCCCAGUCCAUCGUAACAAGUAUCGUCAUUCUUUACACCCCAAAUUCAUUUUCAUGCGACCAUGAGACGGUCUGCAAAGAGCAGCACCUUGCCAACUCUACAUAGAGAGCUCAACUACAAACGACGGACCAGAGAACUGCGACAAAGAAACCGGUCUAGGACUGUGGAACCAGAUAUGACCAACACUGUGGAGGCAAUCUUGUAAUCAAUGAGGGAAGUUGAGCUGUAAGACCUGACAAAAUUUCUGAUAUUCGGGCGAACAGAGUCUAGUUGGAACAAACUACUACUGCAAGUGGGUCGGGCACUCAUGUGCCACGCCUGGAAAACUAAACGAAGAGCAAAAUGCUUUUGUGAUCUAAGAGAAAAUCGCAAACCAUGGCUAUCUUUCCCGCUCGGACCACACCCGAGUAACAACCUGUCGCAGGCAGAUGCCGAGCUCCUUUCUUGAAAAUGCUGCACUUUCCAAAUAUGUUCUACACCGGAAAAAAGAUGCCGGAGUAGACGUGAAAUCAUCGUGUCGAGUCCUAAAGAAACUACCUCAGCAUCUACAUUGCCAAAACAACUUCCCUUCCAGACUCCCUGCCUAGACAACAGUCCGGAAAAAAGCGCAGAACGGAUGCCAGCGACAUAGAACACGCAAAGUCUCUUGAAGUUGAUGGGAAUGAAGUUUUCAAGUUUUAGGUCGGAUGCACACAACGUUAAAACAAACCCUAAAUCCCACAAAAUGCGAGGCAUCGAACCAAGCGUCAUGUAAUUGAGCCCCGAGGCCAUAUGACUAAUAGAGAGAGAGAAAGAUGAGGCCACAGCGAUGGAGAAUAAUGUGAGAAUCCAAAAACUUCUCCAAAACCAGAACCAUACCACGACGCACCUCAAGCCUGAUACUUCCUCAACCCUCGCAAUGAACCACCACCACAUGCCCUAACCAUAGCACCACCAAAAUAAAAAUAUAUAACGGCGGCGAACAGAUCACGCCCCGACAUCAGCUCCCGCCAAGCGAAACGCAAGGGUUUUACGACGCAUAAAACUUCCCCAAAGCCUCAAAACUGCCCACGAAAACUACACUAACCCUAAAGCAACUCACUUGACCUCCCCAGGGACCCAUGGGAGCUCACCCUACCAGGCAAGGAUAGGUGAAUAAAGUCCGAAUGAGAUUUGGCGCAACUCUGCGGGACGAAGCUGUUGUUGCCCGCCAUGGACACUCUCACAUGUCACAGCAGACGACGACGAUUAUGGGCCCUCUUUCUUCCACCGCUUCCGAUCGAUAUCGGAUGAUAAACUCCGUCGGACGUACGAGCACAAAUUCGUUUCACAGCCCAGUCUUGUGCAAAGGUGAACAAAAGCUUCAUUCGAAAGGAGGCGAGCUUUUUAUGGUGGACGGAAAAGCAGAGAAUUGGAUGGAUGAAACUUGAAGUAGACGAAGAUUCCUGCGGUUCAUCCAAUUUAGAUUUGGACUGGGUACGUUGCUACAUUUGUGGAGAAGCCUCCAGUCAUUUGCCUAAUUAUGGAUGUAAUACUCCUAUUUUUAUUCCAUGCUUGCUUGAAUAUUUUCCAAAUUCAACUUCUAAACAAUGCAUUCCCAUUCCUAUUUGCUAAAGCUAUAUGAACAAUCCAAUGUUAAAGCUUGAUUGUUUCUAACAUAAAUAAUGAUAUAAUGUGAAAUAUUCAUCAUCAUGCGAAUCCUUUUGUAUUGUUUAUACUCUGAUUUCUUCAAAUAAAGUAAACCAUACGAAAAAGUACACAUAUAGAGUACUGCAAUGAAAUGUUAAUAAUCAGCAUUCUGUGGAAUUACAAUCAGUUCCAAGUAAAUUUAAUAAAAUCAUGUUAUCUUUUGUACUGUUCUAUUUUACACACAGGAUACUUCUUGAGCUGAAAUGUAUUGCUUUAAGUGUAUGCAUAUUGCAAAGAAAACAAUAAUUAUUUACGUCUUUUAACUAAACAUUAAAUAAAGUUUUUGACAUUUCAUGAAGGGAAAAAAGGGGGGGGGGCAACGUACUGGUUUGUGAAUGUUGUAUUUAAAUUUUUAGUUUCUGAUCAUAAUUUUACAUUCUCGUAUCAGUGACAGUUUCAAACGUAGAAUACUAAAUAAAUUAAAUGUUUGCAUCAAUAGGUCAGAGCAUGCUGUAUAUAUAAUUACUGCACUUUUCGAAAAGAAACAAAAUUGCGACUUAAAAGUUGCAUUAAAAAAAUAAUAAAAAAUCAUAUUCCAUAAAACAGAUAAAAUUUCAAUCAUAAAACAGAAACAAAACAUAUGUGUGGUUGAUAUUAGAUAAAUUUAUUUUAAAAAAGUAUUUUUGUGUAGUUUAAAAGAUAUAAGAAAAAUUCUUUAAUGCAGUACAUUUUAUUUUCUAAAAACAUUUAAUAAAAUAUUAUUGUAAUCCAUCCUUUUUGCAAUUUUGAUUGCAACUUAUCAAAUUCCAUUAUGUGUUUUUUUUAAUGAAUUUUCUUGGAUGCAAAAGCAAAGCAAUAAAUGAUGAAAAAAUACAAGAGAAACAAAAUACCAAAUAAAAAACUAUUCUAAAUAUAAAACAAUAAACUUGUAAAACACUAGGAUUGCUGCAAAACUUAUGUAGUAAGAAAAAAAGUAUUUUAUUAUUUUUUAUUUACUUUUAGUAUGUUAAUAGCACUCCUUGUUGAUACUUGUAAUUCAUGUUUUAAAAUUAAUAGAUUAUUUUGAAAAAUAAAAUAAAAAACAAAAUUUCAAAAAACUUUUAAUAGAAUUUAGAAGAUAUAGAUAGCAAAUAAUAAUUUUAAAAGAUAUAUAUAUAUAUAUAUAUAUAUAUAUAUAUAUAUCCAUUCAGUUAACAAUGUAUUUUGAAACAAUCUAAGGAAUUUUUAAGAUCUACAUAAAGUAGUACAAAAUGUCUACAAAGUUAUACAAAAUUACAAAUGUUUUAAAUACUCUUUAAUACCAAUAUUUGUAGCAUGUUUGUUAUUAAAGAACAAUAGUUUUUUGUGGAAUUUAACAAAACAUUACACAAACAUUGAAAAAUCUUAAAAGUAUGUAUCAUGUUUUAAUCUCAAUACUAUUGAUGAAUAAAAUUAAUUAACUAAAAAUUAAUUAAAUCUUAGGUUUUAAAUUAUAUAAAGAUUCUAAAGGAUUUGUUUUCAACUUUCAAAUCCAUAAAUAAACCUCAUUAUAAAAUUUUAACUAAGAAAAUACCAAAAUUUAUGAUAUCAAUUAAAUUUUAGAAUAAAAUAAUUAAUACAUCUCAAACUAUUAACAAAAUAUAGAUAUAUUUUAAAUUAUCAAUAUUUUUUGUGAACUCAUGAUUUUGAAAUUAGUUUUGUUAGAAAUCUAAAAACAAAGCUUUGGACAACCAUCUUGAUGUAAUCUAAAGUACCAUCUACUUAAUUUGUAUGAUAGUCAAAGCUAUUAUAGAAGUUAUGUGCAUCAUAAGUAUAAACCUCAAGUAGAGUUAAAGAAAACAUAUUUUCAAACAUUAAAAAUAUAUAUAAUAAAAUGACCAUUACAAAAGUUAUAUUAAUAAAAAUUAUAUCUAUUUAUAAUUAUCUACAAAAACAAUUUGGUCAACUUUAGUCUUAAGUUUCUAUUGAGUAUGUAAUUUAUCUAAUCUUUAUGCUUUGUUCUUUAAAAGCCUGUAAUAAAUCACAUUCAAAAUAAAUAUAUUCUUACCACAACUUUAAACUUUAAUUUACAUAAAUUUAAUUAAAAAAGUUAAUAAAUUUAUUAUGAUUAUAAAAAACAUAUUUGACAAAUUAAGAAGAUUGAAGUUACUGACUUAAUUGAGGUAGAAAAAAAAUUCAUCUAUAUAGAAAGGGAUGAUAUUUCAAUACAAUACGUGUUAUCUUCUAAGACUAUGAUUUAUUUAAGAUCAUAGUAAUCAAGAAUUGGAGUUAAGCUACAAGAGAGAGUUUUAUUUUUAUUUUUUAUAAGAGUAUUAGGAAUUAAGUAGUAUUAUGAGUAAUUAAUUGCUUACAAGUUGAAAAAACAUUUGUUUAAGAAUAUUUUUUUUAUUUGAUUAAUAUGUAUGAUCCAUGGAAAAAUAUAUAGAAAAAUAUUUAAUGUAGUUGGAUUGAUAAUAAAUUAUUUUUAUGUAAUAUUAGGAUAAGCCAAGUCAAAUAUAAUAAGAAAAAACUAUCUCUAUGAGAUAAAAAAAUAUUUUAUACAAAAUGAAUAUUAUUUAGAUAAAGGUAUACAUUCAAAUUACAUUAAUGUUUUGAAGAAUAAUGUUUGGGAAGAAAAGUCAGAAAAAUAUUGACUUAUUUGAACAAAUCAUGAUUAGAUAAAUCCAUAAAAUAUAUGGAAUAUAAGACAUAAAUUAAUUAUAGAUGAUAAAGCAAAACUUAAAAUUGUCAAAACUUAAAAUCGUCAAAUUUAACGAUUUUAUAUAAAUAAGACAAAAUAUAACGAUUUUAUAAAUAAGACAAUAUAUUUAUAAAUUUUGUCUUGUUUAUAAAAUCGUUAUAUUUAUUAUGAUUAAAUUGAUUUCAUAUUAUUACAAUAAUAAAAAUAGAAUUUUAUAGUUUUUAUAGUCAUUAUUAUUAUUAUUAUUAUUAUUAUUAUUAUUAUUUAAUUAUCAAUUUUAAUAUUUUUAAAAUCUAUUGAAAUUUCAUCAAUUUAUUGUGAUGAAGCAAUAACAAAUUUGGUAUUGCAUAGCUGUUUUUUAUUUUUUAUACUUUUUUAUAACAUAUAUCUAUAAGAGAGUAUUUUCUAUGAUAUGUUAAGUAUGAUUUAUUAUAAAUGCAAAACUUAGUUAAGAAUUUUCUCCUAAAAUAUUUCAAUUAAAUAUUUUUAAAUAUUUUAUAUUAUUUUAAAAAUUAUAUUUAAUUUUCUUUUUAAGAAGUCUUUAAAACAAUCUUCUUAGAGUAAGUGAUUUGCAACCUCUUAGAUUAGAUAUUAAGUUUGCAGUAACAAUAUUUUACUAUUUUAGAAAUAUUUAAAUUUAAGACAAAAUAUUAGCUCAGUAGCACUUUGUUUAUAAUCUACAAGAUCAAAUUUUAAAUUUUAAAAGAAGAAUAAUCUAUUUUCUUCACUAAUUAUUAAUAUAAGAUAUUCUUUUUGUAAAAUGUGAAUGAUUUGCAAUCUAACAUUACAAAAAUAUUUUUCAUAAAACUUAGUAAUUUAUUCACUUUAAAAAAAAACUUAUUUUUUUUAAUAAAAUUUCAAUAUUACAAAAAAAUUAAGAAUAAAAAGAUGGUGGACUAUGAAAAUUAAAAUAUAUACAUAAAAAUCAAGAAAUAAGAUAAUAAAACAAAAAAUAGUGCAAUACUAGAAAAAUUUAAAGCUUUUAGUUGUUCCAAAACUUGUAUUAGCAAAAUUAAGGUUUUUCAUGUCUUGUCUCUUUAUUUAUAUUAUCAACAUCAAGAUUGUGUAGAAGCCUUUAAUAUAAUAUCUAACAACCAUAGAAUAUUGCAAACUACAUUUUUUGUAGAAAGAGAAGAAUAUGAAUCAUCUAUAAUAAUUAUGGCAAACUAUGGAAGGUAAGAAUAUUAUGGGCUGUUCUAAAGAAUUCCAAGAAACCUCUAGAAUUAUUAAUAAUUUUUUUUUAUAUAUAUAUAUAUAUUAAAAGGUGGUUAAAGCCACGUUUAUUUUCAUGUGUAAGACACUUAGUAUGAUUUAUCACUACCAAAAAAAAUCUUAAAUUUAAAUAUUCUAUAACAUGUUCUAAAACUAAGUUGUAGGGAUUUUGAUUAAUUAAUACUAACAUCUUAAUUUUUUUAGUUAUUAUAUUUUGUAUCAAAAUACUUUAAAAAUUUAUAUUUUUGAUUGGUACUAGUAUAUGUUAAAAGAAAUAAAUAAAUAACAAGUAUUAUCCAAGCUAUUUAAGAAAUAAUUUUAAUUUGUAAAUUACAAAUAUAUGAUGAUUCAAUAUGUUUUGAAAAAGAAAAGAAAAGAAAAGAAAAGAAAACUAAGAACCAAUUGAACUUAAUAAAAUGUGGUGCAACACUAUAUGAUUUAUCUCAAACCUUGUUGCUUAAGUAAGAACAAGCUAAUUUUACUACACAAUAAAAUUAUGAUUAAACUUCAACCACUCAAAAUUAGUGCCAAAUUCAAAUAGAUGAAUAAAACAACACACAAUCUGAAUUUUAAUAGUUCGACCGUCCGUAGAAACUAAAUUAUGUUUGUGUAAACCACAUUCUUGUAUUUGUAGAACUUGGAGUUGAUCGAAAUUUGAAUGGGAUGUUCAGUUGUGCGUCACACGUACGUUACAUUUGAUACAUACGAUAUACAUACUUACAGGUACAUACAUACCCCAUUGAAUACAUAUAUACGCCACCCGCUUUGGCUGAAUCACCCCGAGGUGGGAGGAGGUGGACCGAAUGAAGGUGGCCACAGCCCCCAGCACCUUCCGCAUUUGAUUUUGACAUGCUCGGAUGGCGUUUGGGAGCCAUGGAUUUUCCGUUCUCGCAAUCACAGUACCAAUGAUUCUUUGAGGUGGAUGGAUGAUCAGAUUCCAUUCCCAAGGUUUAAGAGAUGGGAUUUUUCGGUCGUUUUUUUAGGUUUUUUCAUGUCAAGUUUUUGAGCCGUCGAUUCUGGAUGCAAUGUUGGAAUUGGGAGGUGAAUGUUAUGUGUUGCGGAUAGCUGGGGGAGUGAAGCAGUAAAUGAAGAACCAAUGUCAUUGUUUAGGCAAGUGCGGGAUCCUUGUAUGGCUUUUUUUCCCCCCUCUCGUUUACUUAUUCUGAGCCCAGUCGUAUUCAGGAUCGCGCUGACACAGUGAGCUGCUUCUGGAGAGGAUUUGGUAGGUCUGGUUCUGGCGUGAUGUGAGUCCGAAGUACUCAACUUGAGAGUGAGGGCUGAGCAUAGAUAUCUUUUUUGCAAACCUGCCGUUGAUACAACCAAGUCUCUCUCUAACGUUAGAGUUGUUUGAACACGUUUUGCGGUUUCCGCCACAAUUCUCCAUUGCGACAGUCACCUCAUGAAACAGUCGGCAACAUCUUAUCAUUUCAUGAUGUAUUCAAGUGUUGAAUUACGAACCUUUGACUGAGGCUUUGUCUAACGAUCUCGUGACUUUUGGUCCGAUACAGGGUUGUUUGAUGAAGUUGCUUCAGUUAUUGAGAGUCGACAGUGUUCAGGUAUUUCCGUUGUGCAAGCAUUAAGGGAUACUUUGGCAAGCUGCCCGACUGGUAGAAGGGUUUAUAUUUUUAAUCGAAUUUGAGCCGUAUAUGAGAAAACAAGUAUUGUUCAUAGUCUCUUCAAUCCAUCGUCAUACGCUCUGGAAUGUGGGUUCGAUUUGUGGAGGAGCUGUACAAUGUGACCUCAAUUCUCUUUUAUGUAUCAUAUUAAAAUUCUGCAAAAGCAGGUUCAUUAUGUAAUUAGGUUAAGAAUUAGUUAUUUUUUUUCAUAUUAUAAAUUUCAGUUUUAAUUGCCGUUUUUUCCUUUGUUGUUAAGCCCUGACUAAAUAGUGUAACAUGGUAACUAAUCUGAAUGCGUGAAUUAUUUAGGAUGAUGGAGUUACCAAUCCUUUGCGCCGGCUCUAAUGCAUUCAGCUCAAUUUCAAACAGAGAGUGCGGUGGCUAUGGACGCGCCAUCUGCUGUGGCAUCGGACGCUCCCGGGUUCGUCUUCGACUCCACUUCCGGGCUCUACUACGAUGCCAGGUGCUGUAUCAAGUUUUGCUCGAAUAUUGUUGACUUUUUGAAGUGUUAACGAUGGAUUAUGGAUAGGUGUGGUGCUGAAUAACUUCAAGUAGCACUGGGUCACAACAGUCGUGGUCACUCUUCGUUAGUUACGUUAAAAGUGUCCUCUUAACAGGACAUCGAGAUGAUUUCUUUCUUAUAGUUGUACCUUUACUUGAGCAUGCUUACUGGUAAAGUAUUGGGCGGCCGCUCCCCCCACUGCUAUUUAGUGUCAUGUACCGUACAGGUAUUUUAUGCGGCCUCUUUCUCGUCGCACGCCUAUUUUAAUCGAUGGAUUUCCAUGUGGAUCCCAGAGAGUUUUUGGGCUCUAGUCGAAAAGAUGCCAAUGUUUGCAUUUUUCAGCUUGGUUUGGAGGGUUUUGUCGACUUCAAUCGUGUGCGAUUUGUAGUGUACUCUGAACAUGUGGAACAGAGUGAGAACACUUGGCUCAAUGAAAUAACUGAAGACUAGAAAGCAAUAUAACAUAAAAGAGCGAGGCGAUGUAUAGAUUUGUUUUACUGUUGACUUAGUCAUUAUGAAUGGAUUGAAUUUCGAGAAGUGGUUGUCAAAGAAGGGUUGUAGUUAGUUAUUAUGGAAGAGCGAUAGUUACUAUUAUGAUUCAGAUUCAUUUAGUUACCACUUUUUAGUUGGUAUUUCAAUUUUGGUAUUUGCUUCAAUGCAUUUGUAAUCAUAAUGAGGGAAAUAAAAAAGAAAAUGCAUCUGUGCAGCUCUGGUUUCUACUAUGAUGCGCAAGCUGGUUGGUACUACAAUACUCAUGAUGGACAGUAUUAUAUAUAUGAGAACGAGGCUUACGUGCCUUUAUCAGCGACGGUCCGUGAAGAAACUGUUCUUCGAGGUAGCUACCCUGUAAUUGUAUAGCUUAGGUGCCCAAUCUGAUUUAUGUUAUCGUUCACACUGCAAUAUAUGUUGGGAAGUAUUAUUGAUGUCCUAUUAAUUUAUAAAUCAGAAUCGCAUAUUACGAGUGAAUGCAACAGCUCUAUUUAACAAGCCGCUGUAUCGUCUAAUCUACAACCUUGGUCUUAGCUAUAAGCAAUUCUAGUUGUACCUGACCUGUGGAAUUUAAACAGCUGUUGAUGAUGAAUCAAAUCAGGCAUCGGUUCAAGGUGCUGGGCGUUUGUCAAAUCCUGAACAUCAUCUGAGUGAAGAAGCCAUUCCUAUACAGGGAACGACUUCUACAAGUAGAAAUUCAACAAUGUCUACACAUAUCGCUGGCUUCACAGCAGAUCAAGAAGCUACCAUUGAUGAAACGUCAUCCCACCUAGAUAAAGAUAGCACUAUGAAGGAUGCCGCAGCUGUAGCAUCGGACUCUGAAUGGCAAGUUCAAUCUUUUAGAUAUGCGCAGAAUGUGACUGAAGUCACAAGCGACUCUUCAAGCGGAUUGAUCCCUGGAACCGAAAUGUCUUCGCUAUCUAUGGGAACUGUACCAACUAAAAGCUUGGAUACUACUGAACAAGGAGAUGCUGGUAAUGAGCCAGUAGAAUCAAGACCAGCUUCCGUAUGGUAGGUCUCAUUGCGUGCUUUCAUUUCACGAAAAAUGGUUAAAGACUUCAUAUUACCAUAUGGACGUCGACUUUUCCUCUAUAAAAUUUGAGAACAUUAAACUUACAUUAUAGUUUGAUUCACUUUCAGGAUUGCAGAAACCCUCAACGAGUUGUACUCACAGAAUACGUUUGAGACACCUACCAACGGAGGAAAAUCUGGAGUAAGUGUUGAUCCUUCUUCACAGCAUUUGUACUACCUUCCAAAUUCUGGUGGAGAAGACCCAUAUGAAUACACCUACAUGAGUGGAGAUUAUAAUGAAGAUACCUGGCGAGAGCCACAACACCAACGUCGGCAACAUUGGGGCUACAGUGUUGCCGGGGAAUAUCCCGCAACAAUGGACAACGAGUUGUAUGAGGUGAGGGUUGGUGGUACACAGCGUGAAGAUAUGUGUUGUAUUUCGUUUUGUGUAACGUGAGGUUAUUAGUACUAUCUUUAUUUAUAAUUUUUUGUUUGCAGUCAGAUGAUCAGAGUGAAGAGCUAGAAGAAGGUGAAUGGAGACCUGAAGAAGAGGAAAAAGAAAAGUAUGUCUUCGCUGAUAUUGAUGAAGUAGAAGAAGGUGAAAUUCGCGAGAGUCCUAGUGAGGAACCAGGUAUACCCUCUUCUUUUCUCUAGUCUUUCCUCCUUUAUGGGUAGAUGGUUUUGUGUGGAGAUUGGACUUUGAUGUAGUGGCAAAUUUGAUGAGUAACAGAUUUUCGAUUCUCUUUGCUUACAGAAAGUUUAGGAAUGGAUGGAGAAGAUCGUGGCACUUUCGGUGGAGGAGAAGAUCCUGCAUACAGAGGGUCAUCUCCCAUACACACAGAAAACUAUCUGUAUGAGGAUGGUAAAAUUGCAGGAGCUGACUAUACUUACGUCACCCAUCUCUCUGAGAAUUUGCCUGGAAGUGAUGCAGAUUUAAUUACAACUGCAUCAGUCGUAACAGCAGAAGAACAGUGGCAAGCUCAGUAUCUUCCAGCAGCUAAGUUAAAGCCACGAACUUAUAGUGGUUCAAUGGAACUUUGGGACUGGAGUAUUGUAGAGCAGGAAAAAAAGGUUUCAAAAAAGAAAGUGAAGAAAAUCAUUCGUUUGGUGGGCCGGUUAGCACCAAAUGCUACUCAAGUUCAUCCAUCUCUACGUGGUUCAGGAGGUCUUAUUCGUACUACUCCAAUACUUGAAGCCGACCAUGAGUUUGUGAAGGUCUCAUCAGGUUCGUUAGACACUCAUUUCAGAUGACAUUUUUUCAGUUCAUUUGUUCUCUUAUUCUUGUAUUGUAUAAUCGUGUCCAUAAUUUGUCAAAAAUGUUUAUUGGAUGACAUAUUAUUUAGUAUAUUCUUACGAGUUGCCGUGGAAUAUUUUUGCUAAGAAUUUGUUCCGAGGGCUUCAGUUUCUAUUGGCAGCAGAGAUAAGCUGAGGAAACUAUUGUCAGACUUUUGUUAUAAGGUUUCGUAUGUUCUAAAUUCUUUUGAAUGGAACCUGUAUCAGUGUUUGUCUGGUAUUUAACUAGUUGCAAAGUUAUAUUUGUGCAGGGCGGAUUUACAAACUUCGACGGCCAAGCUCGAAACAUCUUGCAGUAUAUCCUGGCUGUGUUUCCUCCAAUCCAAGUCAAGAUUGGGGCCUCCCACUCAUAAAUACGAAUCCAGCAGAAAACUACAUCAGCCAUAGUUCCGGCACGCAUGAUGCUAUUUUAAGCACUGAUUCUGGACUUGGGAACGAUCAGUCUGCUGCACCUAAGAAGGUUAGAAUUGUUCUUCAUUUUGUACUGAAUAGUCUUCUCCUUGGUAAAUUUAUUUCAAAAAGAUUUUAAAGAUGUUCUCUACAGUAGAGCGCAGUUUCUAACUUCUUGAAUAUAGACAUCGACAUUCUCUGUCAUUAUGCCCUAGAGCUUCUGAAAUGUGUUUGUACUAUGGACAGAAGAACUCAAAGCUGAAAUUUAAAGGAGUCGAUGGGGAACCGCAACCUAAAUAUAGGGACAGGGCUGCAGAGAGAAGAACUUUACACAGGGGUUUCGGAAUAGGACCUGGUCAGAAGCUAGUAUCUGUACACGAGCUUGAGAAAGAGGAAGCAGAAGCUGCCACAGAGAUGCCAGCAGCCUUGGAAAAGGCCGCUUCAGCAAGGCGCAUAGGGAGGGAUAACAUCGGGAAACGGAUGUUGGAGGGUAUGGGGUGGAAAGAGGUUAGUUGUUUUUGUUCCACAGAUCAAUUAGUGCAAUUAUAUAGGCCGUUGAAAUCCGGAGAAGUUUUUGUAAUUAGGAAAUACAUCUAUUUUUAUCAUGCUCCUCUAUUCACGCAUAUCUUCUUUCCUCCCAGCUCUUUUUUAGGAGUUUUACAUAUACUGGAUGCUGCUCUUUUACAGGGACAAUCAUUGGGCUCUGGAGAAGGAGGUCUAGUAGAUCCCAUCUUAGCUUUGGGCAACACUGGUCGUACUGGCUUGGGUUGGAACUAGUGGCUUUUUCGCAUCUAUGAUUCUUGUUCGAAAUAUACCGAUGGCCUCAAGCUCAAAGAAGUCUUUGUUCCUCGUAUGUAGAAAAGAGGUCAGUGUCUCACCUGUACUGGAUGGGUAAAUUAGAAAGAUGUCAUCAACCCUUGUAGGCUUACCUGUAAUAGAUCCAACAAGCGUUUUAUGGUUCUAUUCGUGGAAUUGCAGGAAGUGACGCAAAAGAUGGUCAACAUGGGCACAUCGGCAUACAUUAAAACAUCCAAUAUGCAGCUCAUGUGCUUUCAAGUCUCUUUCGACUAUCUAUUCGAGCGUUUAGCUGUGUCAUUACAUUCUGGAAUCAAGUACACCGGCUUCAAAUCUUUUCAGCUCUUACUAUAAAUUGCAGAGAUGUCAAGAAUUGUUCUGAGUCUUCGUAAUAAUAUCAGCUCACAACGGUGAAGAGAUCCAUUUGGCAUGAUGUCUACGCAGAGAUAUCGCUGUCGGCAGCAUGGGGAGGUGAAACUGUGAAGCCUUUUACGUGUGUAUUGAUACAGGAUAUCCCUGUCCAUUCCAUUACGCUCCAGGAUAUCAAAUCGAUUGGUUGCGAUUGAGCCAGAGCUGUAAGUUUGUUGCUUUCCUUGCCUUGAGCAUUUUAAAACAUCUUAGUUUGCGGGUGGAUCAAGAAGUUCACUUUUGAUACAAAUUAACUGUGUGGUGAUCUGGGGAAUUGGAUAUUUCAAGCUUUAGUAACAGAACUGAAAAAUCUGCCCUAGGCAUAAGGUCUUUUCAGCUGCAGUGAGAUACCUUCUGCUGCAGCCUUCAUUGUUCAGUUAUGUCAUGGAAUUUUACCUGUCAAAAUGUUCCUAGCAUACUGAACGAAGUCUUGUUUUAGACUCUUACAUGGGAUUUCUUGACACACCUAAGGUAUGUGAUAAUGCCUUUUGUUUUCAACUCAAACAUUUACUCCUACACUAAGAGUUACUUCUCCACUUUCGAUUUGUUUAAUUCUUGCAAGCUUGAUAUUGCAACACGUGGUGGCUGAUUCAUCAAAUUGUGCACAUUGAGUAUGAUGGCAUCCAUUGCCAACAAAUCACCCAAUUAUUUACUGUUUGUCUCAGUUCUUAAAUUUUGCAUGAAAUCUGGUUGCCAUACAAUGGUUCCUACAAAUUAGUCAUGUCUUCACCUAUGAAGCAAUGGCAUUGACUAUGAUGAGUGUCACAUGUUCUGUUAUGUUUUGUUGGAAUCUUACAAGCAAUGUUUUCAUUUGUUAUCUUCUUAUGAAGUAAUGAUGGUGAAUUGGAAAAUUUUAUGAUUGAUUUACAUACACUAGCUAGUAAAUGUGUAUAAUUAUGAGUAUAUAAUUAUUUACAGUUCAUAUAGGUAUUAUAGCAUUUUAGGAAGAAUAUCAUGGCUUUGAAUUGAGUAUAAAUUCAUUGAUUUAAUUUUCAAUUUAUGAAUUUUUGUAAAUCCUAACUAAAAUUUAGACUUGACUUGUCCUUCAUGAAUUAUUCUAAUUAUUUGUAUAAAAUUUGGCCAAUUAAUUCAACACGAGAUUGUGCAUUGAAAGCAUUCAUUAAUUUAAAUAUUAUCUUUGCAAUUAAAACCAAGAUUUAGAGAUAAGUAAAGACUUAAUUUGUAUUUUUUGUAAAUAUUACUUUUGACACAAAUCUAAAUAGAAUACAAAGAAAAAAGCGUAAUUAUUAAAGUGUAUUAAGGUAAUCAAAGUUAUUUAUUGAUGGAACUUACAAAAAAUAGUGAAUAUUUAGGAGUUUAUAAAAGUAACAAUUAAUAUCUCAAUUUAUAUAUUCUAAUAUAUAAAAAUAUAAAAAUAAUUUAAGAAUUUUCUGAUCAUGUUUUUGUUAUUUGAACUUCCAAUGACUAAAAAAAUAUCUUGGCUAUAAGAUGAUUGCAUUGUUUAAAAACUAUAUUCAUUAUAUUACAUAUAGUGUAUGAAUUUAAACAAGGUUUUAAAGACAAACAAUGAUAGAUGUUCAUUUUAUCACAAAUAAUACUAUGACAACAUAAUUGGUACACAUAUAGUGUGUAUUUAAAGUGAUGGAGUAAUUAUUAGUAUUUGUAGAUAUAGAACAUCUUUGACAAAACAACUAAGACAUUUAGUUGUAGAUGGUGAAUUUAUUAAAAUUAAAGAAUGUCAAGAUCUAAAAAAGAUUGGGUCAUAUAGUAUUACACGUAAGAUAGAUGAUAAUUGAAAGUAGAGUGCAUGUACUUACUAUUGUUUUAUGUUAAAGUGUAAAAUUAACAAAUAGUCAUCAUUGUCUUUUUUUUUUUUUUUUUUUUUUUUUUUUUCAAAUAUCAAAUAUUUAUCUCCUUGCUUUAGGCUCUAUAUUAUUAACCUCUAUCUAUUUUAUAAAUUAAUGGCUAUAUUAAAAAAUCAAAUAAUGCUUAAUAGACAUAAUACUAGUAAAAGACAACAACAAGAAUAACUAUAUAUUAAUUUAGUAGAAUAACAAGGAUAAUUAUAUAUUAGUUUAGUAGUAGUAUAAUAAGUUAUAUACAAGUUGGUGGGAUAACAUCUUAUUAAUAUAAAACUAUUAAGUAGGAAAUUAAUUUAGUAAUGCAAAAAUAUUAAAAUUAAUUUGAUAGAUAAAUAUUUUACAUUAAUAGAAUAUUAAAAGUUUUUGGCCAAUCCAAGAGUCAAAAAAUUUAAUUAAUUGGUCAAAUUUUAUUUCAAUUAUUAAAUGAAUUUUUUAUUAAAAAAAUAUAUAAAAAUUAUAUAUAUACACAUGCACAUACACACACACACACACACACACACACACACACAUAUAAUAAUAAUAAUAAUAAUAAUAAUAAUAAUAAUUGUAUGGAUAAAAAUAUUUAAUAUAAGAUUACGAGUUGUUCAAAGUUUAGAAUUAGUUUAGAAUUAGUUUAGAAUUAGUUUAGAAUUAGUAUUUAAAUUUUGGAAUUUUAAGACAAUACCAAUCAAUAAUAAUUGUAAAAAAGAUGACAAUUAUCAAAAUAGCUAUCAAAUAAUAGUAGAUUUUUUCAAAGAAAAAUCAAUGAUAUAGAAAAAAAUAAAUUUAUCUAACAAUUAAAUCAAAUGACAAGAGCCAAACUUAAAUACAUGGCAAGAAGCCUAAAGGGCUCAUUGUAGUAAUUUAAAAUUCUAAAAUAACUAUUUUAAUUUAACUAUAGAAAGUUAAGAAUGAGUUGAUUGUUCCUUGAGUUAAAAUAGACUUCUAAUACCUUUAUGUGCUUUAAACACAUGUGUCAUGCUAUUAGUUACAAAAAACACAUGUUAAUUGGGUAUGUGAACACAACAAUAUAAUAUUUCAUAGCAUAUGAGUGGAAGUAAAAGAUGAGACAUAAUCCUCUUUCAACUCGAAUUGAGAUCAAUCUAUAAAGAGUUAUUGAAGAAUUGAGUUGUGUGCAAAAAACAAUGAAAGGAUAAGUUUGAUAUUUUCUUUAGAUAUUGUAAUGAAGAAGUUUAAUUUUACAAAAAUCAUAGAAAAAAAUUGCAAAAGAAGUACAUUGAAUUAUUUUGAUGCUUCAACAUCUCACAAUAGCAAGACUUGAAGUAAUGAUAUCAUUACUAAAGAUGAAAAUGUAACUAGUUGAAGGUGAUGGCAGUGAUUGCUCAUAUGAGAGAGUUGAAAGGAAAGAGCAAGAUGUAGUAUUUCAAAAUAGAUGCUUUAUAAGAAUAUAUUUUUGUAGUAAAGACAAAGAAGGGACACUUAGGAUUUUAUAAAUUUUAUAAAAUUUUAGCUUGAAUGAUGGUUCUGUAAAAAUAUUCUUAAAUCUAAAUAUAUAAUAGAAUAUUUCUUUUGAAAGAAGUAUUUUACAAAAAAAUUCAACAUUGAUUUUAAUGUAUUUGGUGCAUGUAUGAAAUAUAGAAGUAUGAGGAAGUUUAAUGGCUUUAAUAUUAUUACAAGAUAAAUAGAAAUCUUGUGAUAUAGAAAUAGAUAUUAUUUUAAAAUUAGAAUGGAUCAUUGAGUUAGUAAAAAAAAUCAAAAUUGAAGAGAUGGACGAAACUUGAAGUUCUUUGAAAAGAUAAGAAAGAUGGAAAACUUCUUGAACACCAUCAAAGAGAGCUUUGUAUUUAGAUUUGGUAGAUGAAUGCAAAAUGCUGUCUUGACAUUUAAUACUCUAAGAGAUGGGAGCAUCAAGAAGUUGAAUUAUGUAGACACCAAAAGGGUUCUAUAGACCUUUCAUUCAAUUAGGUCAACAAAACAUACAUAACCAAAGAUGAAUGCCUUAAUGAUGUUGGUAUAGAAUUGUAAUUAUCCAAGUCAAUGUUGUAGGAGUUAAACCACCAAAAUGUGUGAUAAAUAUGAAAGAAAGAACCUUCAAUCUUUAUCAAUAAAUAAGUCAUAGUUGAAUGAUUUCCUAUAAUGAGGACAAAUCUAAUUUCUUCAUUAAAGAGUUGAAAGAGGUAGUAUUAAGCAUGCCAUAUACUACCCACAUUACUAUUGAUCACAAAAAAACUUGAUAGCUUUUCCUUUCUUUUCUUCACAUACAAAACAAAGAAGACUACUUAAUACAAUUGCUAAUUGAGGAUGUACAAAAUCAUCAAUAAGAAGAUGACAAAUAACAAAAUUCUUUAAAUACUCAUGACAAUCUUAUCCAUCAUUGCCUUCAAGCAACAAAAUAUCAUUGAAUAAUACAUUGUUUAUAUGUAGAAUUAUAUGCCUUGUCUUAAUAUCAAAUAUUGUAGAUAAGUAAUGUUAUAUAUACUUAUAAUCUUUUUUAGAGAAUCUUUGUAAUUGCAAUCACUAAGCUCUAUUACACAUAUAAGUAUAUCACAAUAUUGAAAUAUAAAUAAGUUCAUUAUAGUCAUAGAUAAGUACUUUAUAAUCAUAGAUAAAUAUGAUAAUUUAAAGAAUUCUACUCAAACUUGUAGACACAGUGCCUAAGUACUAAUAUUAUCCACAUUUUCAGUUGGAACUAGCUAUUUAAGCAUUAAACUUGAUAAGAUUGGUUCCUAUCCAUACAACAAUUGAUAAAGACUAUAUGAUACCAAACAUAACUACUUAUUAAAGAAAUAUUCUAUUGCAAUAUAAAAUUACAAUCACAAUGAUUGUUAUGAAUUAAUCUAUCUUUUUAUAAACCAUCCUUGAUAGUCUAAUUUAUUAAAAUAAAAAAUAAGAUUAAAAAUAGAGUAAGUUAUCUUAUAAAAGAUAUUACUUUAGAUAAAUUUCUACUAGUCAAAGGAUUGUCUCUUAGUAUGUAGAAAGGCCAUCUUAUAAAUAAAAGAUAAGAUUAAGGAUUAAGAGACAAAAUCAAGAACAUAAAGAAUCAAUUAAAAAAUAUUCAAAGAUUAAAUAAGAAUAUAAAAUAUAUGCAAUAAAAUAUUUUUAUAAUACGUGAGAUGCCAAAAGAUCACAAGAACAUAAAAUAUAUGUUAAGACAUAUUUUAAUAAAAGAUAAGAUGCUAAAAGAUAUACUUGAUAUAUUCUUGAAUGGAUGUAUAAGUUAAAAGAUGGGAGUUAUUGAUAAUGGCAGCAACUACUAUCUAUAAGUAAUAGGUAUUGGAAGUAAGAAUUAUCUUAUUCCAAACUUCUCUUUGUAUGCAACUUUAUUGAUGCUACAUGUUGAGACUUUUAACUUGUAUUUUUUUAAAUAAGAAUAACUUGUUUAGCUAAACUAUUUGCCUCAGGAUGGUUUUUAGAGGUGGUGCAAUGAUCUAUUAAAGUUUUAGUAUAUAACGCUUUAAAAGUCUUAAGAAACUUCCUUCUUUGUUUUUUUAAAAUUUCAGCAAGUGCUCCAAAACAUGCCAACAAAUAAUAAUAUAAGCUAUAGCUGUUAAUUUUAAAGAAUUUUGAUAUUAAACUAUAAGUUUAAUUUAUUUGCUAAAUUACUUUAUUAUUACUAAUAUGUAUUUAGUUCUAUGUGAGGUGAUAAUAAGUAAUCUAAAAAAGUCCAAAGACCAAGAAUAGCCCAAAUCUAUGAUAUAUAAAGGCUCCAAGUAAGGUUGAUAAGGUAUUAAAGAUUAAUCUAACUUAAUAUUACACAAUUAAUAUUAAUAAACAUAGGUGACUAUUUGUUGAUAUAUAUAAAGUUUGACAUUAAAGUCAAGUAUGUAGCUAUAUGCUAUCUACAAAUUGCUUUAUAUUGCAAUUUCUAUGCAAUGGAGUUCUAAUUAAGUCCUUUUCUAAAGAACUUAGAUUAUGAGAAAACAUAUAUGCAUCCAAAUUAGUAAUGCUUAUCCAAUGCACAAUCUCAAAAUCAUAUUCUUGAAGUAACAAAGUCUAUCUAAUAAAUUUUCAAGUAAGCUUAUUUGAUUUUUUAAGCCACUUUAAAGAUUGGUGGUUGGUCACUAAUUUAAUUUAUUGUCCAUACAAGUAAAACCAAAAGCAAAUAAUGGGCCAAAAUGUUACAGAAGAUUCUCUCUUAUAAGAUAAUUAAUUGAAGAUUCUACAUUAUUAUUGCUUCUAGAAGUAAAUACAAUAACAUAUUCUUGUUCUAUAUCAUCUUUUUAUAUUAAAGUUUUUUUAGUCCUAUUCUCCAAUUUUUAUAUAAUCACUAAGGUCUAAUAGUAUCUAAACAUUGAAGCAUUAGAGUUGAGUCCAACUAUUUCUUCAAAGUAUCAAAUGCAUGUUAUUCAUGACUCCAAGUCUACGGAUCAUCUUUACUCAUGAAAAUAGUUAAAGGAUUAACAAUCAAGCUAAAGUUAUUAAUAAAUAUUUGAUAUUAAUUUUCUAUAUAUAUAUAUAUAUAUAUAUAUAUAUAUAUAUAUAUCAUAGAAAAGUAUUACUUAGUGCUAUUUUUUUUUACAAGGCAUCUAUUUUGGCUUGUUGCAUGUCAAGAUCUCCAAAAUUAAUCAUGUAGUCUAAAUAUGAUAAUCAUCUGUAGAAGAUUUAUACUCACUACAAUGCAAGUAUAAUCUCCAUUAUUAUCAUCACUCAAAUAUUACUUGUAAAUGCUUCAUAUGAUCUUAUGGGCUAAUAUUAAAAAUAAUAACAUCAUUAACAUAAUAUCUAAUAAAUGACAAGUUAAAUAACACUCAAAUUUUUACUCUCUAAAAUUAAGUUGUGGCAUUUUUGAGGCCAUACAAAAGAAACUUUCUAUGAAAGAUUUGAUCUUUGUCAUCUUUAUUAACUAUUUAAAUCAUACUAGUAUCAAAUGGCCAAUCAUCAAACAAUAUAGUCUUAUUUUUCACCAAUAGAAUACCACUUUAUAUCAAUACAACCUUUAACUACUAAUUUGUAGAAGAAAUAAUUCCUAUGUUUCUAACAUCUUCAUUUUUGGAUAAAUAAGGAACUUCAUUACCAUUAUAUAUAUAUAUAUAUAUAUAUAUAUAUAUAUAUAUAUAUAAGUAUAAUAAUAUUAUUAAAAUAUAGAGUAUCUUGUAAAAACAAAUCUUGUGAAUAAAUUUGCUGAAUAUUUUUUUUUUCCAAGUCUUUGGCCAAAGCAACAAAGACAAGUUGAGUUUGUAGUUCAUUAGUUGCAUGCUACUUUAAGCAAAAAAUGACUCUUAUUUCUCAAUCUUUAUAAGUUUAAAAAAAUAAUUUUAUUUAAUUAUAUUCCCUUUAACCUCAAAAGAAGAAAACGGUUAUGAAAAUAAUUUUAAAUAGGCAUGGGCUAAAAAUCCACACCAAAAUCUUGAGCUUCAUAGCUUGGCCUAAAAAGAAAUAAUAUUGAUUCUCUAUAAUAUCAUAAACAAUUGUAGUGUUAAUUAAAAAGUCCAAAGCAUACUUUCACUCAUUUGCAUUAGGUUCAUGAGUUGGAGAAUCAACAUUCCAAACUAUAUCAUGUCUUCUCUUUUAAAAUAAAAAUAAACUUAAAUUUUUUAGAAAUAUAAGAAAUACACUAUCAUGAUAUAACACGACUAAUGAAUGAAAGAAAGAAGAAAAUAUUAUAUUAUAGAAGAUUUCACUUAAAAAUAUUAUAGCACAUUAUCUUAGAAUAAAGUUAAUAGUUGAAAGAUAAUGAAACUAAAGAAUACUAUUGCUAUAUUUUUAAAAAAUAGGCUUCUACUUACUUUGUAGGAGCAUAAAUAAAAUAAAACAAAAUAGAUUGGAAAAUAAAAUGCUAUAGGCAUGUAGAAGAGUGAGUUAAGAAUAGAUUUUAAUAAAUUUACCUCAAAAAGUCAAAAAAUGAUAUCUAGAGAGGACCGGCUACUAACCUAGGUUGAAAUCAGACUCCAAGAUACAAAAUUGUGCACCUACAGUGACUUUGGAGUUCUUUAGUAAAUUGAAGAACAGAAUUUGAAAACAAACAUAAUAAGAUUUCUAUAUGCAUUGGUAUUUUGUGAUUUAAAUUUGUAAUGAUGUUGUAAGAGCUUUAUAAAGUCAAGGUUGUUUCGAAUGACUUGGAUUUUUGUAAAAUAAAAUAGAAUUAAUAUUUUAGACAAUAUCAAGAGUUUUUAGUAGAUCUGUGGAUGUAAUUUCAUGGAUUGGUGGAUAUAGUUGCUUGAUGUGUGUUGUGAAUUUAAAAUCACUCAAAUAGUUAGGUCAAAGUAUGUAAAUUUUUUUGUAGGUUGAGCUCUCAAAAAUUGAAAUAUGAAGAUCGAUGAAUAUUUUAAAGAUCUUUUGUAAUCUAUUGGUUGAAUUGAAGUGAUAUUUUUAUUUAUUUAUUUAUUUAUUUAUUUAUUUAUAUUUUUAUAGAGAAUAGAUUUGAUUUCUAAUAAUUUAAGUGAAAUUUGGAAGUAAAUCAAUAGUUCAAAUGAAAGAUAUUUGUACUAAAAAUUCAAUAUUUAAAUUGGAAUAGGAGGUCGGCCAUUUUUCAAUGGGAUUUUAGGGUUUUUCUUCCAUUUGAUUAGUGCAAUUAUCUUCAAAUUUUUUGUACUUAUUUUUAAUUAAGAGGUUGAAAGGCGUGUAAAUUUAUAAGUAAGAUCAAUAGUUUAAUCAAUAAAUAUUGGAGUUCUAAUCUGCUUUAGAAUUAAAUUCAGUUUAUUUAGGAUUUAGGAUUUAGGAUUUAAUUGUGAUUUGAUUUAGGAUUCAAUUAAGAUCUAUUAAAGUUUUAAUUAUGAUUAAAAUAAAAUUUUAUUAGGAUUUAUUUAAGAUUUCUUCAUAUAUCUUUUAUAAUUUUUUAAAAAUUUCUUUUAGAUUUGAUUAAAUCUUGAUUAGUAUUUUUAAUGUUUAAUUAAAAUUUAUUAAGAUUCUAUUAGAGUUUUAAAAAUCUUAUUGUUGCAAUUUUCCUUCUAUCUUCUACAACCAGAUAUCUAAUGCAGUUUCAAGCAAGACUUCACGUAAUAUGAUAAUACUACAAGGUGCCUUUAUUUUUUUGAUUUAUAUAAAAAGAGACUCAUUAGUCUUUGUGUCAAUGAAUGAAAAUUAAUUAUUAUUAAAGAUAUCAUCAACCUUGAAUCUAAGAGGUUGUUUGACUUUAUAAAGUACCAUUGUGAGUAUCUGAGGUAAGACCAAAUUUGUCAAAAUUCAACAAGGUCAUUGGAUAUAAAAGUUAUAAGCUUCAAAAUUUUGUAUAUAUUGGAGGACUAAGAAAUUAGUGAAUAUAUUGACUAAACUCCAAAAUAUGUAUUUGAGUGUCUUUCAAUGGAAGUACAAUCUCAAAAAUAUACCUAAAUAAUAUGAUUUGAUGUAUAAAUUGCUAUAAUAUAAGUUGCAUUGAAUCAAUAAAUAAACUAAAUUAGAGGUCAUUCAAACCUCAACUUGCACCAACAUAUUAUCAUGAUGCACUUAAUUUUAGUGCAUCAAAGUUAUUUGGAGGAUAAUUAAUUUCAUUGGUAGGAGAAGAAGAACAUAAAGCUCAUAUUUGUAAAUUUAAAUGAAAUUUAGAAUAAAAGAUUGUUGGCUUGAAUGGAUUAUUCAAGCUUGAGGAUAUUGUCUUUUAAGAUAGAUACCUAACUAUAUAGUAUUUCAAGGCAGAUAUUGAGAGAAGAUUAGGAUGAGGGUUUUGGAAUCAAGUAGUCUUUUUUUUUUUUUUUUUUUUUUUUUUUUUUUUUGCUAAAGUUUUUGAGAAGAGAGAUUAAAAAUUGAUUUGGAUUUUUUUAUGCCACUUCUUGCAUUUUUGUCUUUUUGAAUUGAUAUUUAGAAGAAAUCUAAAUCUAAUUUUGAGCUUUUCAAUAAGCCAUGGCAUACAAAAAAUGGAGCUAUUAAGAGGGAGAUCCAAUCAAAUUUGUAGGAAGAGGGUUGCUAGAGUUUUCAAGAAGGAAGAUUCAACAUUGAUUUGGAUUUUUCUAUGCCACUUUUUGAUUUUUUUUUUUUUGAUUUUUUUUGAUUUUUAUAUUGGUAUUUAAAGAACAUCUAGAUCUAAUUGUAAGCUUUUUAACAAGCUAUAGCAUGCAAAAAAUAGAGCCGUGAGGAAAGAGAUUCAAGCAAAUUUCUAAGAAGGAAAUCACUAGAAUUCUUGAGAAGGGAGAUUCAAUACUAAUUCGGAUUUUUCUAUGACACUUCUUGCAUUUUUAUCUUUUUGUAUUGAUAUUUGAAGGAAAGCUAGAUCUAGUUGUAAUAUUUCUAAUAAGCUAUAGUAUAUAAGAAAUUAAGUUGUGAAAAGGAUGAUCUAAGUAAAUUCGUGGGAGAGAGUUGCUAGAGUUUUUGGGCAGCAAAUUUCAAGAUUGAUUUGGGAUUUUCUAUGCCAUUUAUUAGAUUUAUUUAUUUGUUUAAAUUAUUUUCAAUGAGCUAAACUAUACCUAAAUUGAAUUAGUAAUAAGUGAGUUAUAAAUAUUUUAGUAAAAAGAGGUUUGGAUUUGAAAUUAGAGUUAAUAGUUUUGUGCAUCCUAGUACAAGAAAGAAAUUUAUCUAUAAAUUGUAUCUAGCCUUUAAGCUGCCUUUUAUAUUUGAUUUUAUUUGGGACAAAAUUGUGCAUUCUUGUAACCUACUUGUGAUCAAAGAUUCCAUAUUUUCAUGAAAAGGCUUGCCUUGAUAAAAAUUUGGUACUUCUACUAAAAGCAUCCUCAAAGCAAUUGGGAGUACAAAUAGAAUACAAUAGAAUUAUGGAACUAAGGUGCAAGCUUGGAGGAUGAGGAAGAGUUGAAGAAUCAAAAAGGGAGAAAUAAGAGAUUUUUGAUAUUCAAAGAUGAUAAGUGAUUUUGAAGAGGCUAGUGCAAGUGACACUAUGGAAGUAAGUGCUAAUAGUUUUUUCUUCAUUUUGAGCAUGUUCAUAGAGAGACAAAAAAAGGUACAAUCAAGUAGAAAGGAGGUGAUCAAGUAGAAAGGAGGUGAUCAAGAUAUUGUAAGGCAUAGUUAAUAAGUAUAGGAGAUGUGAUGGAAGGAGCAUCAUUAAGUUUUUUCAAGCAUAUGUUGAAGAAAUGGGAAUAUAUUAAGUCUCUAAGUUUCAAUAUAUCCUUAGUUUUGAAUUGGUAUGCAUUCUUGAAAUUAGAAAGAUGGUGAAGGAUUCAUAUAGAGAUAAUUUAGAAGCUUAGAGUAAUUUUGAGGGGAUGUUAAGAGAUGAAUUUUUUGAUAAAGUUUUGAAUAGGAUCAGAAAGAGUUCAUUUUUGGAAUUAAUUGAGUAACAAUCGGGGAGGUCUAUAGCCUUCAACAAGUUACUUAGGAAUUUUGAGAGAAAAUUCUCUCAAUUAUCAUCUUCAAAAAGACUUUUAUUGGAUGCAAGGAAGAUCAAGCUGUUCUUGCAAGUAAUAGAUGAAGUAUUUGGAGAUAUGUUUUUUGUCCUCUUUUUUGAUAAGUCUAUCAAGGGAGGUUUAACUCAUGAUUGGAAGAGAGUGGAGGAUGCAGUGCUAUUGGUGACCAAGCAAUAAUGUAUGAAGGUAAGAAAAGGAAAUUUUAAGCAUGAAGUUCUAUGACCUAUGAUAUCAAUUAUUCCAUUAAGUUCAAUGACAUCUACUCUAAUCCAAGAGAUAUAUAAGAUCCUUCUCAAAGACAUCCUUAAGGAAUUGAUUAAAGACAUGAGAGAUUUGAGAGUGGAGAUGAAUGAAUUGAAGAAGAGCUUAAGGUUUACUUCUUUGCAUAUAUUAGAGAAAUCAAAGGAAUUUAUUAAGAGGUGCAUGUAUUAUAAUAAUUUCAAAGAUAAAAGAAAAGAUUGUAUUAAUUAUGAUGAGGAUUUGAAAAAGAGAGUUAUCUUCUUCAAAGAAGGUAAAGUUUGUUGGAAGGAGAGGUAUAAAGAAGCUUCUCAAAGACUUUGUUGGAAGAGUAAGUGAAUUUCAUAUAAAGAAGGCCUAGUCUUAUUUCAUUAAAGUAGAGAUUGGAGGCACAAUAACUAUUUCUAGGCCAUCAAAGAGGGCUCUAAUUAGAAAUGUAAAAGUUAUUAAGAAGAAAAUAGAUUGAAAUGACCCAAUUGAUGCUAUUAAUAUUAAACUCUUUUUAAGUAGUAAUAAAGAUUUAGAGGACCAACAUGCCAUUGUAAAAGAGAAGAGGACUAGAUCCUCUCAAGAAGAUGUGGUAGGGCUUUCCAACAAGAAGAUGCCACCAAAGAUUAGGGACUCUACUCAAGCUGAAAAAGGACCUUUCUAUCCAAAAGUUCAAGUAGUGCCUUCAUAUCAACUAAGGAGUGGAACUGGAGCUCAAGAAAGUGGAGUAAAAGACAAGAAAAAGAAAGGCAUAAACAAGCCUAAACAUAAAGGUCCUUCAUAUAAGCUUCAAUUGAAUAUUGAAAGUUCUAUUGAUAUGAAGGAAAUUUUAAAAGAAAAGAUUUUUGAUCCAAAAAUUGAAUUCACCUUGAUGGAAGUACUUGGCGUUGUAAAGAAGGACUUCUAUGAAUUUAUCAUUAAUGUCAUAAACAAAAAAGAGAUAAAGGAUGGUAGACGUAGUUAUGGUAAAGACAUUGGAUUCCUAUUUGAUGAAAAAAGAAGAUCAAGUCUUUUUCCAACUUUGUACACCUAUGUUUCAAGAGAUGCUACUUAAAAAAAAGAAUGUAAUUAUUCAAGGCCAUGGUAGAGGCAAAAAUAAAGGAAAAAAAAGAAGCUGUAAAGAGAUGGAAUAUAAUAUAGACAUAAAUGAGGUAAAUAUGCUUAGUUGUACUUUUUAUAGAAGGUUUGAGAGUGAGAGGAUGAGUGCUCAAUUUACACAUCUUAUUUAGGCUAGGACUACCAUGAAGGCUCAAAUAAGACUAGGAGACCUCAAGGAACAGACCUUGGCACUUAUUAAUUAUAGGUUGGAGAUUAAUAUCAUAUCAAAGAGAAUUUAUGAAAUGAGCAAGUGGUCUAUUGAUAUUAAUCAUACAUGGGUGUUGAAGACUGCCAACAAUGAAUGAGGUGAUUUAUAUGAAGCAUGUCUGAAAAUUAAGAUAAAGAUUGGAGAUGUAGAAAUAGAAUAUAUAUAUAUAUAUAUAUAUAUAUAUAUAUAUAUAUAUUUUUUUAUAAUAAAAUUCAAUUGUUUAUCUUAUCAUUUUAGAAAAAUUUCAUAUCAUGGCUACAAGGAUAGAAAUCAAGGUUUUAAAUGAUGGCUUUUAUUAUACAAGGAUUAAGGACUAUGAUAGAAAAAAUUAGUAUAAUUCUUCACAAUAAGAUUGGAUCUUGAACAAAAUAGAGACUAAUUGAAAGAAGCUCUUUUAAGGACCAAUGAGAAGUUUUUGGAUUUUUAAAGAGCACCCUUGUAGCAUAGAGGUACAAGGCUGCAAGUAAGUCUUUUAUCCAUACACCUUUCAAUAUAGAUAGCUUUGAGUGUGGAUUUUUGGAUUUGACAACUUUGGAAAUUUUGAGAUUUCAAAAGGUUAAAAAUUUAGGUCAUAUGUAUAAAGGUUGGAUAAAAAAAAUAUGAAAAAAUUUAAAAGAAUUGGAUGUGAUUUCAAGUGGUGAGUGCAUUUUGGAUGUUAUUGAAAAAAAAGAACUUAAAGACGAUUAUAUAAAGAUUUCAGAGGGAUUGGCUUUUCAUAUGGAUAGAGGUAGAGCUAAUGUUGUUAUAGAGCUUUAUUCAAGGUAAAUAUAUGAAGAGAUUUUAGAGUUUUUUAAGAGACUUGGAGUAGUUGAUAGUCAUGUGAUAUUGCAAGAAGCUAUAGUACAAAUUAAGUAUAAAACCAUGGAUAAGAAGGUAAAGCCUAUGGCAACUCAAUUGCCUCAAGAUACCAAAGAAUAUAUCAAACAAGCUACUAAGAGGCUGAGAUUGAAGGAGUCAAAAAAGAUUAGUGAUAAAUUUAGUAAAUUAUCUUUGAAUAAAUUGAAGAUUGAAAGAGAUGAUUUUUUGACCAAAGUAGAGAAGGAGAAGUUUCUAGAGAUGUUUUUCUAAUAUAAUAAGGCUUUUAUCUUUGCAUCUAAAGAAAUUAAUUAUGUAGAUCCUAAUAUAGUAGUAUCAAUGGUUAUUUUUACUAUUCUACAUGUACCUUAGAACUUGAAGCCUAUUUUGGUGUCGAAGGCUUUGCUUCUCAAAUUAGUAGAUUUAUUGAUGAAAAAGAUCAAGAUGGGCAUCCUUCAACGAUCUAUUGCAUCUUAUUCCAAUGAAUGGUUCACCAUGCCAAAGAAUUCUAGGGCACUUAGAUUCAUUCAAGAUAUGCAACCGGCCAAUAAGAUGACUAUUAAAAAUAUGGAAUCUAGACGAAUAGUAGAUGAAGUAGCAAAAGCUUUUGAGAGGCAUGUCAUUUACUCUAAUAUAGAUUUAUACUUGGAUUAUGAUAAAUUUCAAUUAGCAAAGGAGAUUAGAAAUCUAACUACUAUGAAAAUUCUUUUGAAUUUAGUAUGCAUAUGUACCUUGUCGUAACAUGCAACUAAUUCUAUAGCUCAUAUGUAAAAUGAAAUGAACCAAAUUUUAAGAGAGUUUGUGUUAAAGAAGAUUAUAUUCUUUUUGGAUGGUAUUUCAAUAAAAAGUUACAAGGAUGAAGCUAAGGAUUUGACUUUGGGAGAAGAUGGAUAUUGUACAUUGUAAAAGAACAUAUUGAAGAUAUGGAGCACAUUUUGAAAAGACUUGAGGAAGUAAAUCUUACUUCAUUCCUUCAAAAUUUCACAUUUGGAUUUUAAAAAAUUAUAAUUAUUGGAUAUUUAUGCAGAAGCUAUAAAAGAAAAUCAAAUCUAGAUAAGGUAGAUGCCAUAACAAAGAUGAAGGCAAAUAAGAACACCACCAAGAUAAGAAGUUUUUUGAGUGCUUCUAUAUUUUAUCAUAUAUGGAUUCUUCAUUAUGCUUAUAUUACGGAGCCUUUGUAUUAGUUAUUAAAAAAAAAAAAGAAGUUAGCAUGGAGUGAAGAGUAAGAGUUGGCUAUGGAUAGAUUAAAGGUGGUUUUGAAAUCACCACUAGUAUUAAGAUAAGUAGACUAUAAUUGUAGAAGAUCAAUAAUAAUAACAGUUGAUACAAGUUUUAUAAUUAUUGGAUAAGCUAUUUAAUAAGAUGAUAAGGAAGAUAAUUGGUUUGCAAUCAGGUUUAAAGCAAGAAUUUUUACUAAGAAGCAAAGAAUUUAUUUAUAAGUGAAAAAAAAGCUUUGGGGUGCACUUAUCAUAUUGAAGAUUGACAAAAAUUACUUGAUAGGUGCUCAUGUGGUGUUGGAGACCAAUUGCUCUUCUUUGCUUCGAAUGGUUUUUAAUUGUACUAUAUUGUAUAUUACUAUGCUUAGAUGAAUUAUUUUCAUUAAGUCUCUAAAUCCUAUUUUGGUGUACAUCAUAGAAAAAAAAACUUGAUAGUAGAUAUGUUAUCUAAGACUAAGUACUUAAGAUAGAAAAAAAAUACUUACACAAGAAGAAGAUGGAAACUUGGCCCAAUGCUUUGUCUUUGCUAAAAGUAGAGGAGAUGAAGGUGAUGAAGUUCUACCCUUCAAAGUUGAUUUGUAUGAAAGGAGAUUGAGAGAAAUUGGCUUAUAUUUGAAUACAAUGGAGAGAUAAGAGGGUUGGUUGGAUAAGAUAUUUAAGGAUAUUAGGCACCAAUCCUACAACUAUCUUUUAUGUAAUGGGUUCUUAUCAAAGACGCUAAAGGGGAGAGAUGGUAUACCAUUAAGAGUGGUGGAUGAUUUGGAGAUCAAACACAAGGUAAUAGGUGAGUUUUAUGAUAUAUUGUAGAUUGGACAUAGAGGAUUUUGGACUACCUACAUCAAGAUUAAAGAGUGCUAUUGGUGGAAGGACUUACACAAUAAUAUGGAAGAAUUUAUGAGCUAUUAUAAAGAGUGCCAAUUGCAAUCCAAGGUGAAGUAUAAAGAUGGUUUAUGCCCUACCUAUCUACUUGCCAUUUAUUUUCAAUAGAUGAUUGAUUUGAUUUCCAUUCCAUUGAGGCUUUGGAAUAUGAAUUAUUUAGUUUUGGCAAAAAAAAAAAAACUCUCCAAUUAUGCAAAACAAAAGGCAUUGAGGUCAAAGUCUACGGAAAUAGUGUGCCAUUUUAUUUUGAAAGAUGUUAUAUAUUGCUAUAGAAGAAUUGGAAGAAUGAGAGUAAAUCAAGAUGAGCUUGAUGUGGCAGAGGCACAUGAUUUCUUAACAAGAUAUAGAUUACAAUUGAAAUUGACCACCUCAUAUAACUCCAAAGCUAAUAGUAAGAAUAAAAUGAGGCACCCUUUAAUCAUUCAAGCUUUAAUCAAGGCAUGUAGAGAUCAAGUAAGGUUGUUGUCCAAACUUUUACUAUUUGCUUUAUAGGUAGUUAGGAUUAUUUAUAAGACAUUUAUUGACUAUAUGCCAAUGGAGUUGAUAUUGAAACAAAAGCUCUUAAUACUUAUAGAAGAGUCUAUUCCUUCUUGGUUAUUUUUGUCUUGGAAAGAUAGCAUUGAUAGGGAGAGAUUAUUAGAACUUUGAAUUUAGUGAUUAGAAAGAUUGCUUAACUAUCACUAAGUUGCUAUAAAAAAGCUUAAAGCAAUAAGAUUAAACAACAAAGAGAUUUGAUAAAACUCAUCAAUUUAGGCCUAAGCUAAUUAAAGUGGAUGAUUGGAUUUUAAAUUUUGAUAGUGGUUUGAUGCACCAACAUUCUACUCUUUGUAAGUUUGUACGGUGUUAGUUUGUAUCUUAUAUGGUAGUUGAAGUACAUAAUAAUGCAACUUAUUUUCUUUGAAAAUCAGAUGGGAUACCAUUGAAGAUUAAGAUUGCAAGAAAGUGAAUUAAAGACUUGGAGCAGCAAGAUGAGAUGAAUUAUAUGGAGAAUUUAGAAGAUUUAGAGCAUCAAUAUUUUAAUCAAUGGUUCUAAAUUGAUACAAUUCAUAAUAAUUCUAAAUUUGAUGAUAAUGGUAUUGUAGUCUAAUUCUUUGGCAAAUAUAAGAAAAUGUAUAAGUUUGAAGAGGGUGAGUGUUAUGAUGUACUUAAUUUAAAUGCAUCAAAGUUAUUUGGAAGAUAGAUGAAGAAAAUAAUGCUAAUAUAUUUAUAAAUUUAAAUAGAAUUUAGAAUAAGAAGUUAUUGGCUUAAAUGAAUUAUUUGAGCUUAAGGAUAUUGUCUUUUAAAAUAGAUACUUGACUAUAUAGUGGUUCAAGGAAAAUAUUGAAAGAAGGUUAAGGUGGAGGUUUUAAAAUCAAAUAGGUUUAUUUUUUGUUGGAGUUUUUGAAAGAAGAGAUUCAACAUUCAUUUGGAUUAUUCUAUGCUAUUUUUUAUAUUUUUAACUUUUAUAUUGAUAUUAAAAUAAAAGCUAGAUUUAAUUAUGAAAUUUCUAAUAAGCUAUAGUGAGCAAGAAAUGGAGCUAUGAAGAGGGAGAUUCAAACAAAUUUGUAGAAAAGAGGUGGCUGGAGUUUUUGAGAGAAGAGAUUCAAUAAUGGUUUGUAUUUUUCUAUACCACUUCUUGUGUUUUUAUUUUUUUAUUAAUAUUUAAAAAAAUCUAGAUUUAAUUGUGAGCUUUUCAACAAGCCAUAAUAUAUAAGAAAUAGAGCUAUGACGAGGGAGAUAUAAGCAAAUUUGUAGGAAGAAGAUUGCUGGAGUUUUUAAAAGGGGAGAUUCAAUACUAAUUUGGAUUUUUUAUGCCACUUCUUGUAUUUUUUAUCUUUUUAUGAUAAUAUUUAAAAGAAAGCUAGAUCUAAUUGUGAGAUUUUUAAUAAGUUCUAGCACAUAAAAAAUAGGGCUAUGAAGAGCAAGAUCUAAGAAAAUUUAUGAAAUGGAGAUUGUUGGAGUUUUUAAGAGAGGAAAUUCAAUACUAACUUGAAAUUUUCUAUGCCACUUCUUGCAUUUUUAUCUUUUUAUGCUGAUAUUAAGAAAAAAAACUAGACUUGAGUGUGAGCUUUCCAACAAGCCAUGGUACAUAAGAAAUGGAGUUAUAAAGAGAGAGAUUUAAGAAAAUUGAAGGGAAGGGAAUUUCUAGAGUUUUUGAGAGAAGAGAUUCAACACUGGUUCGGAUUUUUUUAUGCCACUUCUUGUGUUUUUAUCUUUUUGUGUUGAUAUUUAGAAAAAAUCUAGAUGUGGUUUUGAGAUUUCUAACAAGCUAUAGCAUGUAAGAAAUAGAGUUGUGACAAGGGAGAUCCAAGCAAAUUUAUAGGAAAGGGUUGCUUGAAUUUUUGGACAGCAAAUUUCAAGACUAGUUUGGAGUUUUCUAUGCUAUUUAUUGGAUUUUUUAUUUUAUUAUUAUUAUUUUUAAUGACCUAAAUUUUACUUAAAUUGAAUUAAUAAUAAGUGAAUUAUAGAUAUUUUAGUAAAAAGAGGUUUGGAUUUGAAAUUAGAGUUGGAAUUGAAUAUAUCUUUGUAUAAAAAUGAAAUUAAUCUAUAAAUUGUACCUAGCCUUUGAAUUGUCCUUUAUAUUUGAUUUUAUUUGGAAUAAUAUUGUGCCAUUUGAAAAUCUACUUGUAAUAAAGGAUCCUAUGUUCUUCUGAGGAAGCUUGCCUUGUUAUCAACAUGAAUGACCUUAAUAAAGCCAUAUAAUAAUUAAUAAAUCAAUAUAAUCUAUUCUUUUCAAAUCUUCAUUAUUGAUAAAGGUGAUAUUUCAAGGAUGUUAAUUAAAUUAACAAAUAAUAGAAAUAAUUUAUAAUUUUUUAUGAUACAAUAUUAACAACCUUUAGAUAUGAUGUUAGGUUGCUCAAAUAGAUGUAAUUUUGGUAUCUACAUGAAUAUAUUAUCCAAUAAUAAAUUCAAACUCCAACACUUCUACCAAAUCUCUAUAAAUACUUAUAAAGAGCUUUAUAAGGACAAUAUCCUCAUCUAAUGGAUGAUAAUAAAUAAGUUGAAAAAAAUUAUAUAAUAAAAAAUGAUUUGAUAUCUUCAAAAUAUUCUAUAAAAAUAAAAUGUUAUAGUAUUGGUAGAAAUUUUUUGCAUGUAUUUUUUUUGGAAGAGAUUCAUCUUUUUAAUGCCUUUUAUAUAUUUUUAAAGAUAGUUGAUUAUAUGGUUCUAUAAAAUUGAAUAUAAAUAUUGAUAAAUCUAUUAAUAGAAUUAAUCUAAAAGGUAAGUCUAAAACCAAUGUUUAGCAAUUAAAUAUGAUUUUUGCCAACAUAAUGAUGGUGGUUGCUACAAAUGUGAUAAGAAUCACUUCCUUUCUUCUAUCACCAAUAGACUAUUCUAAUCUUAUCCAUGCUUCUUCAAUUCAAUUAUUUAGAAUAAAAUUAAAUAAAAAAAAUAUUUAUUAAAUAUAAUAUUAUAAUUAAUUAUACUAAUUAUUACAUACUUUAAAGAUAAGUAUAAAUAAAGUGAUCUAAUUCAAUGCAAAAAAUCAAUUGUAAUAGUUGCCUAAUAUAGCUAAUAGCUUGCUUUGUAUUUGCUAUUGAAAUAAUAAUGAUGAAAGAUAAGGAUUCAAGUCUAUAGUAGUAAGAUCUAAUUCUUGAGAAGUUACUUACUAAUCAUGAUUGAUUAAAUAUCAUAAUCCAUCACAACUUAUAAAGAUGUAGCAUAAGUCAUAUUGCCACAAAUAUGGCUAAUAACAACCAUAUUGUUGUUAUUAAAUAGUCUUGUAAUUCUUAGGUACAAAACUUGACAUUCUCAAGUAUGCUCAGUCUAAAUAUUAUACAGAAAUACUAUUUAUAUAGUCAAUGGCACCUCACAUAAAAGAUUCAUGUUUGUUUCCUUCAAGUGACUUUCAUCAAAUAUGGCAAUAGUUGUAUGUCAAAUACUAUUUAUAUAGUCAUAUGGCAAUAGCUUUGCUUACAACUUAGCCAAAUCUUCUUUUAUUGAAAGCUUUGUGUCUGCUUCAUCAACAUAUAUUAAUGGCAUUGACACCUUACCUUUUAACAUUUUACUAGCUAAUUAGAAAAUAACCAUUGGUUUAAAUUUUUCAACAUUAAAAAAUAUUCAUUUGUUCAAUACUUUAUAAGUCAAAGUGUAUGUUGUGUCUUUAAUAUUAGUGUCUUUAUUUUGUGUUGAAUUUGAAAUAGAAGGCCAUAUUGUGGAAUUAAUAUUUAUAAAGCUAAAUAAUAAUAACAAUCAAAUAUUAAUAUUAGAACUUCCACAAUUAUUUUGAUAGCCCUAUAAGGAUUUUGAUACUUCACUUGGAAUAAGUGCCAUAUUUUUUACUAUUAUCUAGAUAUAAUAUUUUAUUAUAUGAAGUCUUGCUUGAAAAUACAUUAGAAACUUGAUUAUAGAAGAUAAAUUAGAAAUUGCAAUAAUAAGAUCCUAACAAUUCUAAUAGAAUUUUAAAUAAAUUCCAAUUAAAGCUUAACAAUCAUAAUCAAAUCUUAAUCAAAUUCUAAAGAAGACUAAAACAAAAAUAAAAGAAACAUAAAGAAAUCCUAAAGAAUUUUUAAAGAAGUCAGAAAAAUAAUUUAAAAAUCUUAAAAAAAAAAACUUUAAAAAAAUAUAAAAAUAUAAAACCUAAAAAAUAUUUAAAAUUUAAAUCCUAAGUAAAUUCAAAAUAAAUCUUAAUUGAAUCUUAAUCAAAUUUUAGUUAAAUUCUAAAAAUUUCUAAAAAAUCCUUAAUAUAAUUCUAUAUAAAUCAUAAUAAAAUCUGAAGUAAAUCUUAAUUAAAUCCUAUUAAAAUUCUAAUUAAUAGAUUGAAAUAUUAAUAAUUAAUAAUUUAAUAAUAGAUUUUGAUUCAAAAUUUAUACUUCUUAAUAAUUUAAUUAAAAAAAACACAAAGUUUUCUAAAGAAUAUCAAAUAAACAAAUAAAAUAUAAUUUCUAUAAUUCACUUGGCUAUUGGCUAGCCUCCUUCUCUAAUAUUGAUGUCAAACUCUUAGCACUAAUAUCUCUUGAUUUCAUUGUUUAAUUAUUUUAAAAAUUUGAAUAGUUGUUUAAAAUCAAGUUUACUACAAGUUUGUAAAAAUUUAUAUCAAUUCAAUUAGCGUAUUGCUACAUAUCUUAAAAAUCCUUAUUAAUCUACUUAACUCUAAUUUGUAAGACUUUAAUAUCAUUGAAUAUCAUUAAUCUUCAAAUGAACCGUUCAAUUGAGCUAAAAUUUAUAAUAUACACAUAAAAUAAUAACAAUCAUUCAAUAAAAAAAUCAUUUUAGAUCAUCUAUUAAUUUCAAAAAAUUAUCUAAAAUAUAAAUUCUUUAUAUUUUAAAAAAAUUCAAAGUAAUUCUAAAAUAACCUUGACUUUGUAAAACUUUUAUAAAGUCAAAUCAUUCAAAAAUAACAUCAAAAGAACCUAUUUCUACUUUCUUCUAAAAUCCUACACUUUGAUCAAUUAAAUAAUCUCUUAUUUAUUGUAGGUUAUGCAAUUUGGUGCCUUUAAAACUAAUUUUAAUCUUAAUUCAUAAUUAUUCUUUAAAAAUCAAUUUUUGAUUUAUUAAGUUAAUUUUUUUUAAAAAUUAUUUUUAAUUCUUUCUUAAAGAUGCUCAUAUUAAUUAUUUUCCUUAUCUAUUUUAAUUUGCCUCAUUUAUGGCUAUAAAAAGUAAGUAAAAAUUUAUUUUAUAAACAUGCAAUAUUAAUACUUACUAAUUUUUAAUACUUCUUUUACUAUUAUUUAUAUUUUUAAAAUAAUUUGCUACUAUAUUUUAAAUUAAACAUUCUAUAGAAGGAGUAGAAAUUUGAUUUUGUAAGAUAUUAAUAAAGUAGAUUAAUCAUUCCUAGGAUAGUCAAUUCAAUAGGAUGGAUGAUUGAAUUAAUUGUGAAAAACAGUUAAGUAGAGAAUGAUGGUUAGAAUCUAGAAUUUCAGAAGUAAAGCAUUAGUAAGUUGAAGAAGAUAUUAUAAGGGACAAAAUCUGAUAGUCAUGAGUUGGGAUAAGCUUGGUACUACCUCUUUGUUUCUUUGUUGUUCAAGAGUAAUGGAUAGUUUUUGAAUACUCAAAAGUGAAUCUGUGGAAUAAAUCAAAUAUUGAUUUAUGAGUUAUUAAUUAUGUAAUUGGAGUAUUGUGUGAUUGAAUUAUAUGAAAAGUUAUUAGAAGAUUGAUUAUGGAUAGAAGAUUAUGAUUGUUGUUUAUUGAGAGUUGUGUGUGUUUCGAUAGAGGAAGUCUGUGAUUAUAGAAAUUGUGUGAAUCCCAAUUGGUUGGAGUGAAGUCUGUUAUUUCUAGUAUUGGAUGGAAUUUAUGUAUUUUGAACGGUCUUUUGAGAGUGUAGGGUUUUUUAUUAUUGUUAUCAGUUGAUGAAGGAGUAUUAUUACUAGGAGAAAGCAUUGUAGUGUUUCUUGGUAUUUAAGUGGUUCGAAUUAUGGUUAAUUGUAUAAUCCUAAUAUAUAAACUCAUGCAAUAGUCUUUCCCUCUGUUUGAAUCCCCCUCUGCAAAUUUAUUUUCAAAAGAAUUUGUAGAAUAAGUAAAACAAUAACCACAUUUUUGUGCCGCUGCUGAGAAACGACAAUAAUAUUGAAUGUUAGGAACUAAUAUCUGAACAAGUAGUUUUGGAUGUUGUGCGAAGAGGUUAUAAAAUUGAAAUUGGUUUGAAAGUGAAGAGAAUUAUAUAGUUAGAUGGGAGAUAGGAAGAAAAUUCAAGAAUAUAUAAUAAAAGAUUAUGGUUAUGAAGAAUGAAAAUCUUGCAAUAAAGAAAACAUGUCAAUCAAAAAAAAGACAUAAGAAAGCGUAAGCAAGAGAAUUAUUGCAAAACGAGUAAGAACGCAAGUUAAAAAAGAAGUGUUGACAAGGUUGGAUUAAGCCAUGCUUGCAUGCCUAUCAGCAUAUCCAAAAGCUGACUGACCUUUAAUAUUUCAAACAUAUAUACCAUUAAAAAAUUUGCCAAGAGCACUCUUUAGAAAUUUUAUCAAUAGCCUAGCAUAUCUCUUAAGCUCGUUAACUCCAAGUAGAAGAAACACAAAAAAAUUGGGUACUCCAUUAGAUAUCUUUUCAAUAGAAGAAACUACCAAUUUUGUCAUAACUGUUGACUAUGGCAGAGUUACUAAUUGUAUCAGCUCUAAAGGAUUCUAAUGAAACCUUGUUGUUAAAUUUGAAGAAAAUAGAAGAAAUGGCAAUCAAUAUAGCAAAGGAUAAAGAAAAGAGGCAAAAACCUACCAAUACUAGACUCAAUGUAUGGUGUAGUAAUUGUAAGGGCCAAGGUCAUUUGGUGACAGAAUGCCCAUCUCCUCCACAAAUGAUGGUGCAAUGUACAUUCUGUGAAAGAAAUUAUUUGGUAGCUAAUUGUUGGAUUUAGAAAAAGCAACAAUAGUUUGAUAAUCAGACCAUGAUUCAACCCACUCAGUAGGAUGUCAAUCAAAUUCAAACGAAAAAUACAUUUGGCUGAAACAAGACUCGUUCAAAUAGGCAAAAUUGAGCCUUUAAUAACUUUCAAGGUCCAAAUUAUAAUUUGAAUUCUGCAUCAAACUCCCAUAAUUAUGUAAAAGAACAGUCAGUAUAUCAAUAAUAUUUUCCAUCAUCGCAAUUGAUUCUAAUUUCCUUCAUACUAACAAGACAACUAGGAUAAUUUAUCAAUUCAACUUGUAGGCCCAACUGAUAUAUACUAGUCGAGACACCCAAUAUGUAUGAUGGAGGUAGAAGAAGACCACUUUGAUGUUACCAUUGCAAGCAGAUUACUUAUUACGCUAGUGAAUGUCCUAAUCCAAGAGCCAAUGAUGACUAUACUCCAGUUUGUGAAAAUUGUAAGUAGUCAGGACAUACAUAUCAAUAAUGUAAUGCUCUAUUCAAUUUCAACAACCGAGAUCAAGAGAUCCAGCUACAAAAUAAGAUAAAGGAUAAUAAUCGAGAUUUGAAGAUUUUUUGAUAAAUUGGAUAAAAUGUAUCUAAGCAAUACUUAGUAGGAGCUAGCAAAAAGACAAAGAAUCAAUUCAACACUUGGAUGAAACAAUUGCAAAGGACCAAUUCAACCUAAUUAUGAGAACGUCAAAUCCAAUUCUUGUAAUGGGCAUCUUAUCGAUGAUGAAACCUGUUUUAUCUAUGCAAACCAAUGAGGUUCCAAUCACCAAUGUCUUGACUCAGUCUAAACCAAUUCCAUCCUCUGUGCAAUUCAAAGAGAUGUCUUACUCAUUAAAAGAUCUUCUUGUGGACGGAUAUUCUACAAAAGAUCUUUUAGUUGUUUCAAUUCCGAGUCUAAAAAAAAAAACUAUAUUACUUCAAGGAGUAAAGCUGAAACAAAUAAAAAGAAUGUGGACAUUAAAAAUUUCUUUAAACAUGGAGCCUUAUGACAUUUUGAAAGAUCUAGAUGCUAUUCAACCUUCUAUUUCAAUGAAGCAACUUCUAACAAUAGCACCAAAGUGUCAUUCUAUAUUGAAUUCAUCGUUAACAUGGCUUAACCAAUGCAAUAAAGAAGUUUAUGAGGUCAGUUUGAACCUUGACCCAGGCGCACUAAUUAUCAACGUAUUAAUAGACGGCGUUAUGAUUUCUAGAGUCUAAGUGGAUGGUGGCUCCAGCGACAAUUUAAUGAAUGUAGAUAUAAUAGAUGCUUUGGACUUAGCACAUUUAGUCCCCACGACAUUGGUAUUACAGAUAGUAGAUCAUAGUCGAGUUAAACCCAUAUGUAUCUUACAAAAUAUUCAAACCAUAAUUAUUGAUAUUGAAUACAAAAUAGAUUAUAUUAUUUUUUGGUUACAAUAUUCAACUUUAUCAUAUUCGAUUUUAUUGGGACAAUCUUGGCUUUAUCAAGCGAAAGCCAAGAAUGAUUGGAGUCAUGGUACUUUGAUGAUCGGAAAAGACAGCGACAAGAUGGUGUUACAAAUGUACCCAGUAUACUAUCAUGGAGAAUCUCAAAUGUCAGCAUCUGAUUUGACAUGUGACGAUGAGCUCAAUUGUGAUGAAGAUGCCAUCGUACCAAAGGAGGGAGCAUCCUUGGAGACGACUCAGCACCAUAGGGUGGUAUAUUAAUGUAGAGGAUCGGGAGAAUAUUUGAUAUAUCUACCAGAUAUGGAAAAUUUUGAUCAUAUUUUUACAAAUUAUAUGACCAAAUAUAAUGUGCAUCGGGUCAGUACAAUGGAAUCAAAAUUGAGCACUUUUACUGUGUCAGACUUGACAAAUGGAUCAGAACCAACGAGAGAAUUGAAAUAAAAAAGGCAUCUGAACCUUUAUGUCAAAUUAUUAACUUGGCAACAAAUAAAAGGCCUCAAAAAAUUAAAAUUUAUAAAAGUAUUCAAGAUCAGGAGUUGACAUAUUAGAAAGAAUUUUUCAUUCACCAUAAAUCAACUUUUGCUUAGACUUAUGCUGAUCUUAAAGGUACCCUUGUGGAAUUCUGCAAGCAUCGGAUCAUUUUGGAAGAGAAUGCUAAACUUGUCCAUCAGCGACAAUACCGACUUAAUCCAAAAUAUUUCCUAAUAGUGAAGGAAGAAUUAGCCAAGUUUAUUGAGGUUGGUUUUAUUUAUCUAGUAUCAAACAGUGAGUGGAUUUUUUUUUAACGUGAUAGUGCCAAAGAAGAAUGGAAAAAUCAAAAUUUUCCAAGACUUUUAGAAAUUAAAUACAACUACCAAGAAAGAUUACUUUUCAUUACCUUUUACAGAUAGUAUAUUAGACGUCGUAGUAGGGCAUGAAUGUUAUUCUUUCCUAGACGAAUUUUCUUAUUAUAAUUAAGUUAGAAUUGCAUAAGAAGAUCAGCUAAAGACUAUUUUCACUACGGAGUGGGGAACAUUUGCUUAUCAUGUUAUGCCGUUUGAGUUAUGUAAUGCUAUAGCCACGUUUCAGUGGGUGAUGACUCAAGCAUUUCAAGAUUAUUUACGAAUGUUUAUGGAAAUAUUUUUAGAUGACUUUUGUACUUUCGGUACAAAACAUGAUCAUUUGAAAUCCCUAGGCAAAUGUUUGGAUUAAUGUACUACAUAUAGGAUAUCAUUGAACUCUAAUAAAUGCCAAUUUGGUGUUCUGUGUGGAAAACUCUUGGGACACAUAGUCUCUAGCCACAAUAUUGCCACUGAUCCAUAUAAAGUUCAACACAUAAUGAACUUGCCAAGAUCAGAGAUAAUGUCUAGUGUUCGCAGUUUUGUUCACCAUGUCAAUUAUUAUCCAUAAUUUGUUCAUUUGUUUGCAGUCAUUUGUCAACCUCUGACUAAUCUUUUAAAAAAACCUCUGUCGGAUAGAACCAGUCUAGUUUCGACUAAAGAGUGUAUAAUGGCGUUUGAAGAAUUGAAGCAAAAAUUGAUAUCUAUACCAGUAUUAGUGGCCCGUUGUUAGACAAAGCUAUUUCAUGUAUAUGUUGAUGCAUCCAAUGUUGCUAUUGGAUUUGUGUUAAGUCAAAAGGAUGAAAAAAAGAAUGGAUCAUCCAAUAUAUUAUGCUAGUUGAUAAUUAGUGGCUGCCGAAUAAAAUUACACUACUACUGAAUGGGAAGCUUUGGGCAUGAUAUAUUCAAUUCAAAAAUUUUGGCAUUAUUUGCUCCGUUAUCCAUCCAUGUUUUAUAUAGAUCAUGAUGCCGUAAAAUAUAUGAUUAAUAAGCCUGAAUUGAAUGGAUGUAUUGCCAGAUGGGUAUUACUACUAUAAGAUUUAAUUUUACUAUUAUCGUAAGACUUGAAAAGAACCAUGCAAAUGUUGACCAUUUAUCUCGGUUGUCUAAUAUCUUAGGCAAUGAACCUAUCCCUAAUAUACUUCUCGACAUUGAUUUAUAUGUUGUAGAUGUGAUUUCACCACAGUAUAGUGAAAUAAUUCAAUUUUUGACAUUCCAAAUAUUUCUACCUACAUUUAGCGAGAAGCUUAAGAAAUGCUUAAUUUUGAAAAGUGCACCAUAUACAAUGAUUGGUGAUGCUUUGUAUAAGCAAGGAAAGGAUGGCAUUUUACGGUGUUAUAUCUUUCAAAGUGAAGUAUAGUCGAUAUUAAAUGGUUACCACUUAGAUAGUUGUCAUAAGCAUUUUGCCGAUAGUAGUACUACUUGAAAAGCUUUAAUGGCUAAAUAUUGGUGGCUAACUAUGUUUUCAGAUGCACACCAAUAUAUUCACCACUGUGAUCCAUGUUAAAGAAUUGAUCAAUCAAUUGGCACUUCUGCCAUACCAUUAGUAUUAAUUUUGGCCUAAGCACCAUUUGAAAAAUGGAGAAUUGAUUUUGUUAGACCAAUUGUAUUGGCAUCGAGACAUAGAUAAAAGCAAUAUAUUUUAGUCGCCACGGAUUAUGUGAUCAAAUGGUCAAAGGCUGUUACAACAUGACAUGAUAAUGUAAACACUGUCGCCACUUUUCUAUACAAGAAUAUUAUCACUCAGUUUUGAUAUCCUAAAGAAUUGAUUAGUGAUCGAGGAACCCAUUUCAUUAAUUCUACAAUUGUAGCUUUGAUGGAUAUGUAUGAGAUCAAGCAUAGGAAAAUAACUCCAUAUCAUCCUAGUGUCAAUGGGCAAAUGGAAAAGACUAACGAUAUUUUAUGCAAGAUAUUAACUAAGACUAUUUUGGGGGCAGGCAUGGAUUGGGAUACCAAAUUAUUUGCAGCCUUAUGGACAUAUCGUAUAACAUAUAAAGUAACAACCAAUUCAACCUCAUUCAAAUUGGUUUAUGAGCAAGAAGUGCUCUUACCUAUUGAACUAGAAGUCUAGAGUUUAUAGAUCAUAGUGGAUGAACAACUGAGUUUUAAAGAGUCCGUACACCACCGGUUGGCAAAAUUAGAAGAAUUGGAUGAAAUUCGAGUUACUGCUCUUUUCAUAAUGGAAGCUAUCCAGAAACAACGGAAGAGUUACUACGAUAGUAAACUGCGACCUAAGAGUUUUAUAUCCUAUGAUUUAGUCUUAUUUUAUGAUAGUCAUUUUAAUGAUUUUUGAAGAAAAUUUCAAGUCCAAUGGCAUAGUCCGUAUCAGAUAGUUGAAGGAUUUUCCAAUGGGUCCAUCCAAUUGAAAGAUUUUAUAGGCUAUCAAUUCAGUAUACGUAUUAACAAGAAUCAAAUAUAGCGGUAUUAUACUUAAAACCCAAGACAAGUUUUAAUUUUUUCUUGGGACUAUAUUUAUUGCUAUAGGUGGACUAGAGACCACUCAAAGGAUAGUUAAAAAUAUAAUUAGUCGUAGGUCAAAUAGGACGACGAAAGAAACGGACAAAAUAGAUAAUAUAUUGUUCUUAUCACCACUAGGUAAAAGAAUAGGAGUAUAGCACCCAUUCAAGGUCAUUCUAUAGUGUCGCAUUCUAUAAAAUUGGAGAUCUACUGGAUGCUAAAAAAAAUAUGAGAUUUUCAAAAUGUGCAAAUGUUUCAAUUUUUGCGAAGGUGAGAUAACUUGCCAUCAAUUAAUGUGGCAUUAAUGGAAGAAUACAUCGCAAACUAUGAUUCAGAGGAUGGAUCGAGUAUAGUACAAGGACACAUUAUUGAUAUUCAUGAGAAGAUCUUAGAAAAAGUGAUGUAUCUUCCAAUUAAAGAGCUUAUGAUGGGAGCGAUGGACUCAAGUGAUUUUAGCUUAGGAGCAUUUUUUAAAGGUGAAUUGUCAUCGUUUGAGAAGAACCAAGGUUGGCGGACAGCUAAGGCAAUAACACUAGAGCUCAUAGAAUGAAUAUGCUUUGUAGUAUGGUGUUUAGGAUUGUAUCAACACAAUACGUAUAUGUCAAGAUGAUUAAUAUUUACAGCAGUAGGGACGCUUGACGGAAUGGUGUUCAAUUGGAUAACUUAUAUAGCAACCUGCAUUCAUGCAAAAAUGGGAGCCAAACAAAAAAUAGGAAAUUUUAUAGUGUUGUUCUAUUUCAAUUAUGUGUAUACCAUGAUUGCAUUUACAUUGAGUCAAGCAAUGUCAGUAGCAGAGAAAAAUGUAUCCUUGUCAGUGCCUCAACAAGAUAAUGAAAUUUAUUGGCACCGACUGCCAAUUCAAGGAAUAUAGUACACGAAAUUGGGGAAUCCAGUUGUACAUUGGUACAAGAGACAGUUCCAGAAGUUACACUUGAAUUGGCUCUUAUUUGUUUGGCAAUGGAGCAGGAGAAUGAAGUCUUGAUUUCAUUAGAUAUCAAUAAAUUGGCAUUUCCACAAGGCCAACUACCGGAAGGCAUAUAUCUUAAGAAUGUUUUAUUAAAGUAUAUUUCGUAAAUACAUUGCAUGGUACGAGGAUUAGAUACAAGGAGCAAUGUCAAACAAGAAUUGGAAGGAAGCAAAAAGAUAAUAUUAGAGUAGAACUGAAGAAUUGCAGAGAAAGAAUGCAUCAUCUAAGAGAAUGCAAAGUCUGAAUUGAUAUUGGAAUGGAGGUUCUUACAAAGACAUGAAGCUUGGACAAAAGAAAAAGAACACAUCUUUAAGAUUGUGGAAGGUCAACGGAACGAAUUGGUCUAAAACUGCCAAACAUAGAACUUGAAAUGGAAGAAAGUCAAGUACUAGUUACAAGUGGAAUGGAAAAAGGUAAAGUUCUUAGCACAAGAAAAAGCGGUAUUGAGUAACCAAUAUAGAUGUGAAACAAAAUGGUUGAGGGCUGAAAUUGAAGUAUUGAACAUUGAGGUGACAAAAUUGGUAGAUGAUUUAAUCAAUAUUGGUGAGUCACAAGUAGUGAUGAUGCCAAUUUUUAAAGUUCCAAAAUAGAUGAUUCAGCAUCAAUACCAAUUGGAAUUGAAGGAUGCCUAGAUCUUGAAAUUGGAGGCUCAAGUUCAUGAAUUGGGCAAGUAUAAUGAAGACUUUUCAGCCCAGUUGAAGAAAGAGCCGAUAGAAGGAUUGAAAGACAAUGAAAAUUUAUAUUUGGAACCAAAAUUGGUGGAACUAAGAACAUAUAAUGUAGUAGUGAUCAACUAAGUAGGUCAGAGGGAUAGCAAUUUGAUAGAGUUUUGUUUAGUUUUUUUUAAAUAUGUAUCAAUUCUGUAUUUGCGAGGAUGUUGCACAGUUAGGAAUAGGGCUAUAUAAAAAGAAUAGAAUUUUUUUUUGUAAGAUAUUGGUAAAGUAGAUUAAUCAUUCUUAAGAUAGUCAAUUUAAUAGAAAUUGUGUGAAUCUAGAUUGGUUGGAGUGAAAUCUAUUAUUUCUAGUAUUGGAUGGAAUUUAUAUGUUUUGAAUGGUCUUUUGAAAGUGCAUGGUUGUACAUUGUUGUUAUUAGUUGAUGAAGGAGUAUUAUUACUGUGAGAAAGCAUUGUAGUAUUUCUUAGUAUUUUAGUGGUUCAGAUUACGGUUAAUUGUGUGACCCUAAUGUGUAAGCUCAUAUGAUAGUCUUUCCCUGUAUUUGAAUCUCCUUCUAUGGAUUUAUAUAUAUAUAUAUAUAUAUAUAUAUAUAUAUUCUUUUAUGUGAUAUCCAUAAUAUAAUAUAACAAUAGAUAGCAACUACAAUAAAUAUUUGUCAUAGUUUAUCAAGCAUAUAAUCAUCAAGAGUAGAAGAACUUACUUCAGCUUUAGAAUUCAUAUGAGAUUGAUUGACUUAGCCUAAUAAAGCCAAAUUAUUCAAUUUUUUUUUAAAUUCAUCAAUUUUAGAUUUUAAGGCUCUUUUUUUAUUUAAAGAAAUUUUUUUAUUUGGAUAUAAGAUAAAAUGAUUAUACUUUAUAUGAUUUAAUAUACUACAAUUUUUGUUUUUAGAUUUAGCUAUAAUUUUAGUUUUUUUUUUUUUUUUUUUNNNNNNNNNNNNNNNNNNNNNNNNNNNNNNNNNNNNNNNNNNNNNNNNNNNNNNNNNNNNNNNNNNNNNNNNNNNNNNNNNNNNNNNNNNNNNNNNNNNNAUUCUAUUUAUAAAGAAAAAAGAUGGAUUAUUGCAGAUAUGUAUUGAUUAUCAAAGACUCAACAAGAUCACUAUCAAGAAUAAGUACCUAUUAUUUUUAAUAUUUGGACCUAUUGAUUAGUUGAAACAAGCUAAGAUCUCUAUAAAAAUAAAUCUAUGAGGAGCAUACAAUCUAGUAUGCAUCAAAGAAGGAGAUAAAUAGAAGACUGUAUUUGAAAUUAUGUAGAAAUAUUUUGAAUAUGAUGUCAUGCCUUUUGGACUUAUAAAUGCAGUAGUAUGAUUUUUGAGAGUUUUUGGAUGAUUUUGUUAUUUUUUUAUCUAGACAACAUCUUGAUCUAUUCAUGAAUCUCAAAGAAUGAAAUCCUCAAUAUACUCUUAUGUCACUCCAAAGACCAAAAAAUCAAUCAAAGAUGAUAUAAUAUUAAACUAGAAUAGUUAUUACUUCAAGACAAGAAAACCAAAAAGUCUUGAAAUAAGAUUAAUAACUAGAAAGAUAUUGACAAGAGUAAAGAAGGCUUUAUUUUUGCUUCUAUAUAUAUACUAUCUAAUUAAAAGCUACAGGAUAAGGUUCUAUAGGACCUCCAAAAUAUGUUGACUUUGUAAGACAUGUAUCUUAACUUGCAAGGCAAGUUUUCAAUAUGUACACUAUAUAAUUAGCUUAUUUCAAAAGCUACCAAUAUGUAAAGUAUGUGGUUAGCUUAUUGACCAGGUUUCUAAUCUACCAAUAAAUUACAAGUCAAAUUAGCUUCUAGGAAUUUUUUUUAAAAGAUAUUAUGAAAUAAAUCUACUUUAUCUAUUUCUACUUAAUCAUAUAGAUAAAUAUUAGAAUAAAUAUGUAUAUCUAUGAUAUAACUUCCUUCUUUUAGAGACGAGUUCUAUGAGAAGUGUUUAUUAUCUUUUAUAGAUCUUGUAAUUCUUUUUCUUGGUUUUUAUAGAUGUUAUUGAUGAAAAGUUUCAAUUUUCUUUGUUGCAUUUGUAAGAUGUUUUUUUGGCUCUCAUGUAUGUUCAUUAAUAUUAUAUCUAUAUCAAUAAAUGAGUUCUUUCAAUCUAUUUUGGCACCACCUUGAAUUUAAGAUUUCUUUUAUUUAAAACUUUUGAUUAUUAUCUACUUUUGUAGAAUAAGGUGGCAUUUUUCUUCUUUUCAAGAUAUUCACUAUCUUAUAUGGUUUAAGAAAAAAUAGGUGGUACCAUUCUUUAUGGAAACAAAUUAGUACCAUUUUUUAUAGAAACAAUUUGGUGCCAUUUUUUAUAAAAUUAAAUUAGUAUCAUUCUUUAUAAAAACAAACUGGUACCAUUUUUUAUAGAAACAAAUUGGUACCAUUCUUUAUAGAAACAAAUUGAUAUCAUUCUUUAUAAAAAUAAAUUAGUACCAUUUUUUAUAAAAAAAUAUAUCACAAGAUAUUCACUAUCUUAUAGACUUUGAUAGAUGUAAUUGAUAAGCAAUAAAAUUGAUUUGUUCAAAAAUAAGAAAAAUAUCCAAGCUUAUAAUAGUCCAACUUCUCAUAAAGUUAAGUAGUUUUGAUAUUGUGAUGAAGUAAGCAUAUUUUAUCACCCAUGUUGAAUUGUGGUUGUUCUUUGUAACAGGCAUCCACAUUAUUCUAUUGUCAUUCUUGAAUUCUUUUGUUAUCAUACCUUCAUUAUUCUAUAUAACUUUGACAAACGAUAUGUCAAAUCUUCUACAAUAAGAUUAUUAACUUUUGAAAAGUCAAAAGUAUCAAGUUGAGGAUAAUAAUCAUAAUUGGUAAAAAAAUAUAUAUUUUUUGAAUUAAAAAAUAUAAUAAACUAUUGUACGUAAAUUUUACCAAUGGUAAAAGAAUUGCCCAAUUAUUUUGAUGAUAGUUGAUGGUACACUUCAAAUAUUGCUUUAAAACUUGAUUCACUCAUUUUGCUUGUCUAUUACUUUAAAGAUGAAAAGCAAAAGAGAGCUUUAGAUCCACUUUUAGAAUCUUAAAAAAGAUUCUUUAAAAUCUUAAUACAAAUUAAAUUUUCUUAUUUGAUAUAAUAUCCUUGGAUAAUCCAUCAUAGUAAAAGAUAUUGUUAAAAAAAAGCUUAGUUUUUUCUUUACUUGUAAUAGAUUUUGUAUAUGGUAAAAACUAUUCAAUCUUAAUAAAUUAAUCUACUAUCAUAAAUAUAAAAUUAUAGAAACCUAAGAUUAAAAGAUUCGUGAUAAAUUCUAUAGAAAUAAAAGACCAUAAUUAUUUCAAAAUAGGCAAUAGCUAAAGAAGUCCAUAAGGUCAAUGAAAAAAAGUUUUUGAUUUUAAAUAAAUAUCACAUAAUUAUAUAAAGUCUUUAACUACCUUUCAUAUUUGAAAAAACCAAAAAUCUCUUAAUAUUAGUUCUAAAGUCUUAUUAUAUUUAAAAUAUUUGGCUAUUGAAAAGUCAUGAAAAGCUUGAAGAACAUGUAAUUAUACUUUAUCUUUUGGAAUAUAUAAUCAUCUUUCAAAAUAUAAUAGAUAAUUUUUAAAUUUAAACUUAAAAGUAUUAUGAGACUUAGAAAAAUUAUUCUUGAUGUUAUGAAUAAGAAGAUUAGAGGUCAUAAUUUGCUUGACAAAGAGUAAAUCAACAAACAAUGUUGAUUUUAUUAUUCAAAGAUGACAUUGCUCUAGCAUCAAGAAAAUUAUCCUUUUUUGAUCAAAAAUUGCAUCUUCUUUUGAUAUAAGAUAAGAAUAUUUAAAAAAGAUGUUUGAUAAAUCUUAUUGUUUUUUGGAUCAAUAAUUGAACUUGAAAUUAAAGCUUAAUAAAGACAUGCUUCAAUAGGCUUAGCAAUAAUUCAAAACAUGUGCCAAUAUAAAAUACUCAAGAUUCUUGUCAUCUAUAUAAAUGAUGAUUGAACUUGAGGUGUCUUUUAAAUAAUGAUGUCAUUCUUAAAAAGAAUCUAUGAUUGCAAGAAGCUCUUUAUCAUGGAUUUCAUAAUUAAUCUCAAUUAUUGAAAAUUUCUUAGAAUAAACAGCUACUAGGUAGAAUUUGAUAUUUGCUUCUAUUUGUGAUAAAAUGAUGCCUAUAGUAAAGUCUAAUGCAUUUGUUUCCAUAAAAAAUGCCUUAAAAAAAUUGAUACAAUACAAAAUUAGUACAAAAAUAAAUGUUAUCUUUAAAACUGUAAAAGAUGCUUUUACUUCUUUAUUCCACUUAAGUUUUUUUUUACAUAUUAAACAUAUAAGAGGAGCUAGAACUUGAAAAAAGUUCUCAAUAAAGAUUCUAUAAUAAUUGGCAAAUCCCAAAAAAUAUAAUAUAUCUUUAAGGAUUUUUGAAAUCUUCCAAUCCAUUAUAGUCUAGACUUUCUUUCGAUCCAUAUGUUUUUUUGUAUUCUUAGAAUAGAUUAAAAUGUUGUUUAAAUAAUAAAUAAUAAAAUCAUCGAAAAAUUCAUAAAAAAAUUCAUUUAUGAAAUGUUGAAAAGUAGCAUUUGUAUUUGUGAGUCCAAAAAAGAUGAUAUUGUAUUUGAAAUGUCCAUACCAAAUUUGAAAGGUAGUCUUUUAUUCAUUUUUUUUUUUAAUGUGUGUUAGGUUGUAUGCUCCUCAUAGAUUUUUUUUUUUUUUUUUUUUUUUUUUUUUGUAGAUCUUUGCUUAAUUGAGUUGAUUAAGAAGUUCUAAAAUCAAAGGUAGGAUAUACAUAUUUUUGAUGGUCUUGUUAAAUCAUUGAUAGUUUAUGCAUAUCUGUAAAGAUUUAUCUUUUUUUUUAAAAAAUAAAGUAGGAGCUCAUGCUAGGGAUUUUGAAUAGCAUAUGAAGUUCUUAGCCUAAUUUUCAUCCAUAUACUCUUUUAAUGUAGCCAAUUUAUUUUGCAAUAAGCUAUAGAUUGAUUUGAAUGGUGGUUCAAUUCUUUCUUAUAAAUUAAUUGAUCAUAGAAUUGAUGCUUUGAAAGAAUAUUUACAUUCAUCUUUUCAAAAAAAUCUUAAAAACAUGAUAUCAGCUAAAAUAUCACAUGACGUUGUCGGAGUAGAGAGAGUUUGCCUCAAAAAAAUUCUGGGCUUUUGGCUGUCACUAAUUAUUCAAUCAAGCUUGAAAAUAAGGGAAGCCCUAAGUUUAUAUAUAAUUUUUCAUUUUUUGAGUAAUUACACCAAAUACACAAUCCUCAAGUAACCCACAACUUCCAAAAUAUGAUAAAAUCUUCUAAAACCUUGUUUAUUCUUAUGUGGAGAUUUUUCCAAAUUUCAACACCUCAUAUCUCCUAAUCCGACCGUCCAAACAAACUCAAAUUUUACAUGAGAUACUGAUGUAUUCCUAUUAACUUUUCCAACAAUUUUCAACUGAAAAUUCGUUGUAGAUCUUGAGAUAUCUUGAAAACCCUAACAGCCGCUUCAAACCCUUGUCUUCAUAUCUCACAAAAUAUAAGCUCAAAUUCCACGAAAUUUAUAUUUUUAGCUUCUUCACACAAAAAUUUAUAUUCUCCAAAAAUUUUGAGCCAAAAAUUCAUCCGAAAACUCAAGUUAUGGCUCCAACCAUUAAUACAAACAAAACCGCUUACUUAUUGCCUUUGAUUUGAAAGCGCCGCCUUCAAUUCCUUAUAACUCUUUUAUAUGAAUUCCAAAAACAAUAAUUCUUUCAUAAAAAAUGUAGGCCUUGAAAUCGCUAUUCUAGUCGCAUCUUCCGAUCUUCAAAAUCUGCUGUAAAACUCCUCAUAUCUUAAAAAGAGUAACAGCAUGUCUUAAAUUAAUACCUUAACUUCAAACGGCUAUAACUUCUUCACCCUAACUCCAAAUUCCCUAAUUUUUGCACACAAAUUGUACUCCAAAUCCUAAACUUUACAACCCUAGCUUGUAAUCUCCAAAUGCUCUCUUUGAAGUCGCCGAAAUCCUUCUUAAGGUCGCGGGCAGCCUCCUCAAAUCCCAUUGGGCAUGGUAUUCGACCAAUAGGGAUGAAGUUCCCCAUUCCUUGUCUUCAUCCGACUAUGACUUGCUUUCAUCCCUCCCAAUUAGCCUCCUACUAGUUUAGAUUUUCAUCCUUAGGUUUCCACCUUCUCCCAAGGCUUCAUACUAAACAUUUAGGUCCUAUAUAUAUAUAUAUAUAUAUAUGUAUAUAUUUUAAUGUCAAAAUCAAAAGAAGUAAAGAAACAAAGUAAAGUUUCUUAUAUCAACUCCUUUUAAUUUAAUCUAAUAGCCACUCUAACAUACAUCUAGAUUUAUCAACAUAUAAUAUGUUUUAACUAAUUUUUACAUACUGUAAGCAUUUACAGUACGACAACGUUGUCAUACUGUAAAAGCUUACAGUUUGUAAAAAUUAGUUAAAAUAUAUUAUAUGUUAAUAAAUCUAGAUGUAUGUUAGAAUGGUUAAUAGAUUAAUUUAAAGAGAGUGGUUUUAAGAAACUUUAUUUUGAGUUUAUCUUUUUAGUUAUAGCAUUUCAAAAAAAAUUAUAGAACCUAAUUGUUUAGUAUGGAGCCUUGAGAGGAGAUUAGAGCCUAAAGAAGAAAAUCUUAAGUUAUAAGAGGCUUAUUAGGAGGGAUGAAAGCAAGGCAUGGUUGGAUGAAGGCAAUGAAUGGAAAACUUCAUUCCUAUUGGUCGAAGGCCAUGCCCAAUGGGCUUCAAGAAGGCUGCCGAAGGCCUUAUUAGGGAUUAGGGUUUCCCUUUCGAAGUCAUUCGAACUUUAGAGGCUAGGAUCAGCAAGUUCAGGGUUUUGAGUAUAAUUUGGGUGAAGAAUUUGUGUGAUUUCGAGUUUUUGUGAAGGAGAUAUAGGUGUUCAAAAUUAAAGUUUCAAAUUUGUACCUAUUGUCAUUCUUUGAAGCAUAACUUAUGCAUACAAAAAUCAAUGAAAGAUCGGCGACUGGAAUUGGAGAGGAUACUUUUUUGGCUACACUUUACAUAUACUUUUUAAUGAAUUUCAAGUUGGAAUGAAGGAGUUAUAGAUAUUUGAAGGCAGCACAUGUAAUUCAAAGGUAGUAAGUGAGUCAUUUUGUUGAUAGUAAUAUUUAGAGCCAUAUCUUGAGUUCAUGGGCGAAUUUUUGACUCAAAAUUUUCAUAAAUGUGUUUUAUUAAGUUAAAAAGCUAUAGAUCAAAGUUUCAUGGUAUUUAAAUAUUUAUUUUGUGAGAUAUGAAGAAAUUAGCACAUGGGUGUAUGUAAGCUAGGAUUUAAAGCUAUUGUUAGGAUUUUGGUGAUAUCUCAAGAUCCGUAAUGAAUUUGUAAUUGAAUUUUUUUGAAAAAGUUUUUGAAAGUAUAUCAGUACUUCAUGUAAAAUAUAGGGUUUUUUGAACGGUCCGAUCGUGAGAUAUAAGCUGUUGAAAUUCGGAAAACAUCUCUCACAAGGAUAUAUAAGGUUUUAAGAACUUUAUCAUACAUUUGGAUGUUUUCUUGGUACUUGGGCUUGUAUUUUGAUGUAAUUGCCUAGAAAGGGAAAAUAUUAUAUAUAUAAACUUGGUAUUUUAUAUCUUAGACUUGAUUGAGUAUUUAGUGGCAGCCAGAAGCCUAGCGCUUUCUUGAGGCAAACUCUCUCUACCUUGACAACAUCUUUCCAUCAUCAAAAAUAGACGUGGCAUAUAUAACAAAAGAUGAUCAUUUUUUGCUAAAGUAAUGAAUGCUUUUGUACCUACCAAUAAGGAUUUGAAUGUAUUAAGCUUAUCUAUUUCUACUUGAUUAAUAAAUUUUUGGAUCGAACUAUAAGAAAAAUUAAGAUUACAAGAAAUUCAAUCUAUUUUAGGAUUAUAUUUUUCUAAUCAAGAUAAAUUUAAAAUAACUAGAUUGAACAAAGAUCUUAUCACAUUAAAUAUUAUUGCAAUAUUAUGAUCUUUAAUUGCUACAUCUAAAAGAAUAGUCUCAUAGAUAAUAUCUUUAGAAGAAAAAAAAUGAUCAUCUAUGACUUUUAUAUGUAUGGAUUUAGUUUUUUUGAUUAAAAAUAUCUCUUAUUUUUUUGACAAAGUCUUUGUCUAUAAAACAUGCUAAGGCUCUUGAAUCUAAAAAGGCUAAGACUUUAUAAUUUUGUAGUCCUAAAUAAACUUUUAUUGUGAAAGGUCGAAAUCUAAAGAAAGAAUAAGAUCUUUAAUAGGAAUUAUAUAAGAUUUUAGCUACAUAAUUUCUAUUGUAAUUGGAAAAACUCUUUUUUUUAUAUAUUGUCUUCUUUGGCAAUUAUGCUCCUUAUUUUGUGAUUGCAUUGUUUCUUUAGAUAAUAUUGAAUAGUGUGCUUGGAUUCUCUACAACAUAGGCAUUAACCUUUUUGACAAUGAUGAGUCUUUUCUUGAUCAAUAAGAAGUUUAAAACAUAUUGUAUCAAUUUGUACAAGCUAUGGUUUCAACAAAUAAGCUUCUAAAAACUUAAAAGGUACUGCUAUAGCUUGAUUUGUAUUUUUUCAACUAAAUCUUUGUUCCUAACAUCUUUCAAAGAGUCAAUUAUUACAUGCAAUGGCUUCAUUAAUAAAUUACUUUAGUAAAUCUGUUCUUGGUAUUGUCAAUAAUAAAUCUUUGAUAUUAUCUUUUAAUCCAUAUUAAAAGUGAUUGAUAAGGACUUUGUCAUUUUAGUCCAUAUUACAAGCAAGAUUUUGGAAUUCUGCAACAUAUGUAGUGGCUGAAUGUGAUUCUUUUUGUAGUGAUAUAAGCUUAGUCUCUAUUAUCCUUUCAUGAUCACUUUCUCCAAAUGUGGCUAUAAAUAAUUUCAAGAAUGAAUUCAAAUCAUAGAUUAAUUAUUAAUCUUUUUUUUAUCAAAGAAACAAACCAAGAGAGAACACUUUUUAAUAGAAACACAUCUACAAAUCUUACUUGAAUAAAUCUAUUAAAGUAUUAAAAAAGAUACAACUUUAAAUAAAACUUAACUUAUUGUAAAAAUCCUCAAAAUUUUGAACUUAUUCUAUUUAACUUCUUGAGCAUAUUAAUCCUUGCCUUUCUUAUGCUUUUAGAAGUAAGACUUUUUUAAUUUGGUUGUCAGGCUGAUUAACUUUUUGCUCUCAACUGAACAACUUCUUCAUGUAGAACCUAUAUGAUUCAUAUUAAAAAUAUGUGAGAUUUAUAUUCUUAGAAUAUUGACAAGUUCGUGAAGAUUUGUAUUAGUUACAAAUCUAUUCUCAUCUUUGUUGAGAGUAGCAUCUAUAAUCUUUUUUUUUAUAAACAACUCAAACAAAUCCAAAAAAUUAAAUUAGAAGAUGAUAAUCUGCAAUCUCUAAUAUCAAAUAAAAAUUUCUACAAAAAAAGAUAAUCUGGUCUUUUUAAGAAAAAAAUAAAUUUUAAAAAAUUAAAUUAUUUGUUUAAAAGUGUAUAGUCUUCAAUCUUCAAAAUAUAAUAAUUUAAGUGAGAUAAUCCACUCAUUUCUAAAACAAGAUAAGAACUAAAAAAUUAGCAUUCUUAUCAAAUUAUCAAAGACCUAAAUCUUAAAAAAAAAAAAUCUUCAAUACACUCUUGAGUCACUCAAAAAAAUUAAAAAAUCAUUUAAAGAUGAAAUAGUAUUAAAAUAGAAUAGCUAUUGCCAAAGAAAAGAAGACUAAAAAUUCUUGAAACAAGACUAAUGACUAGAAAGGUAUUGAUAAAAAAAAAAAAAAAAAAAAAAAAAAAAUACUUUAUUCUAACUUCUGUAUAUACUAUCUAAGUAAGAACUAUGUGGUGAUAUUUUAUAGAACCUCCAAAAUGUAUUGACUUUGCAAGACAUAUAUCUUAACUUAUAAGGCAAGUUUUCAAUAUAUGUGCCACGUAGUUAACUUGUUCUGAAAGCUACCAAUACAUGUGGUAUGUGAUUAACUUGUUGAUCAAGUUUCUAACCUAUCAAUCAAUUAUAAAUACAUAUAAAAUCAAAAUAGCUUCUAAAAAGAUUUUUUAAAAGAUAUUAUGAAAUUAAUCUCAUUUUUACCUACUUCUAUUUUAUCAUAUAAAUAAAUAUUAGAGAAAAUAUAUAUAUCUAUGAGAGUAGGUAGAGUGUUGUCUAAAGAAAUUUUUAUUCUUUUUUCUUUAGCUUCUUUUAAAGAUAUCUCAAUUUUUUCUUUAAAUAUAUUUUUUUUAUUAUAAAUAUUUUUCUUGAAAAAGUAUCCUCUUUAAGAAUUGAAAUAAGCUUUAUUCUUUUCUCUUAAUAACAAUCUACUUCUCUUAAUUCAAGUGAGUAUUCUUCAUUCCAUCUUCAAUAAGUUUGAAAUACCUCAUAUUCUAAAUAAUAUAGUAAUAGCUCAAAAAUAUACCUUAUUGAAAAUGAAAGUCUUUUAAUAUAUAUAUAUAUAUAUAUAUAUAUAUAUAUAUAUUUUUUUUUCAUCCUUAUCUAAAACAUGAGCUUCCAAUUAAGAAAAAAAUGCUCUUAAUUUGUCUUGAAAAGUGAUCUUAUACCAUAUUGCAAAGAUUGUCUUUUAUCUUCUAAAAUAUGUCUAAACUUAAGUUUUAAAACCUCAUAGUUGUAUCUAACAUUGAAAUAAGUUAAAAGACUUUGAUAAUAUCUACUAUUAGCUCAAAGUCUUGAAUGUGAUUACUAUCCAAGUAAUUUAGUGAAAAAUAUCAAUAACAUCAGCUUUUAAUAUACAUCAUAAAACAUACUAGUUAAGUCUCUACAAUUAUCUAAAUAUUCAAAAGCAACUUGUAUCUAUAAUACUAUCAAGCUUUGUAAUUUAUUAAUAAUUAUCUUUGAAUCACUAUAGAUCAAAUAAACCAACAAACAAAAAGAUCUUGUUGGCCAUUAAUCCAAUCUCAUCUCUAUAAUAUGCUUAUUAAUAUUGACUAGAAUAAUGCAAAAUGAGGUAACAUUAAAAAUCUCUAAGAAUAUUAUCUACAAUUAGGAAAAUAAAUUCAUACUGAAUCCUCAUUUCUAACAACAUAGAAGCAAAAAUCACAAGCAAAUCAAACAAUUUGCAACUGCUUGUAGUUAAAGAUUACAAAUUAAAAUAUAAACCAAAGCAGCCACUAAUCUUGUGUGAUUAAUGGUCAAAAUCAAAAAACCUAUGACAAUAAAAAUAAAUAAAAUAAAAUAAAAAUAAAAAUAAAAAAUACGAUAAUAUGAAAUGUGAAGAAAUUAAAAAAAUCAAGAAUUCACUUAAAAAGGAAAUAGUAUUGAAUAAAUACUACUUUAGUGCUUUAAAUAAUUUAUACUUUAUAAAUUUAUAAUAUUAUUAGUUUUUUUAGAUAUCAUCCUCAUAAAAAAAUAAUUUAAAAAAUAUUUAGAUUCCAUAUGUUCUUAAUAAUUAAGAGUUGAAGGCAAUUUUAUUUUUUUAUUUUUUUAAUAUUAAGUCCUAUAAUUGUGCUACUACCUAUGAUCUCAUUGAUUCCAUAACUAUUCAAUUUUAGUUGCUUUGUGGUCCUAUGACUAUAUUAAAUUCGUUUAUUCAUAGAUCCUAUUGCAACACAAAACUUAUUAUUAUGUUCGCCAUAUUAACAUAUCACAUAAGAUGUCUCCACUUACUGCCAUGAACCAUCAACUUUCAUUGCUUAUUACUACAAGGUACUUUUCUUGUGUUUGAAUAGCUUGUCAAGUGAAUAUUAUCUCCUAAAUGCAAAAUAUAAAUACAUUUUGGAGGCAAAGUUAGCAUCAAGUUGCAAAAACUAUGCCUUAUAUCAAAUGAGUACUAUGUCCUACAACUUUAUAUCUUGUCUUGUAUGAAAUGACAAUUAAAAAAAAAAACAAAAAACAAAAAAUAUAAAACAAAAAAUAAUCAAAAAUAAGUUAAAAUAUGACAUUUCUAAAAAAAUUGGUAUUGCAAACAAUCUUCUUGCAUUGCACAACAAUACCUUUGUUUCUACAAAACUUUGAGUUGUAGUUUGCAUCAAAAUACACCAAUAAGUUGAACUGCACUUAAUAUUGCAAUCUAUGUCUCUUUAGUAUAAAAUACUCCUGCAACUAUAAUUUUGGUCCAACACUUGGCCAUUUUUGCUCCAACUCUUUGCAUUGCAGCUUGCCUUGAUGAUAAGAUCUAGCACCUAAUUCGAAAUAGUACCUCAAUUUCACAUAUUUUGUAAAAAUAUAGUGCCUUGCAACGUAUUUUGAUCCAUAUUCAAGAAAAGAGUAUUGCGACACAUUAGAAUUGAGCAAUAAAAUAAUACUCAAUAAUAUAAAAAUCCAAAAAAAUUAAAAUAGUAUUUUAUUUUUAUUUUUAUUUUUUAAUCUAGUCUAUUUCAAUCUCCCUUAUCACAAGUUGAAGAAAAUGAGUCAUUCUUGUCAAGUAUAAAGAUGAUGAAUUUAUACACAAAUAAGUGAGAUUAUCUUUCAUAUUACAAAAGAAGUAUCCAAAAGUGCAAGUGUGAGUAAAGAAAUUCUCUAUAACUUUAUUAAAUGGCUAAAUCUCCAUAGCCAAACAAAUCCUUACAAUACAAGAUUUUUCUCUCUCAAAAUCACUCAUAAGAUUUGACUUGAUAAGAAUAUUAAAUCAAAGAAAUUUUCCAAUCUAAUUAUUGAAAUUUUAAUUAAAAUUAUCAAAAUUAAUUAAUCAAAAAAACCAAAUAGGUAGAAAAACCACUAAAUCAAACUAAAUCACAUACAUCCAAGGAGAUUUGGUAUCCAUUGCCACCACAUAAAAUAAAAAUAGGUAUAGAUUGUUAUAAUUUUGUCUCAAAUAUAAUUUGUAAUAAUUGUCAAAAAAAUAAUAGAUAAUUGUUAAUCCUUCAUUUAUAAUCUAUAGAUUGGGCAGUUAGUGUCAUUGGGAGGUGGCAUGUAAUGGAACUCCAGCAAUACAAAAACACAAGGUAGAAGCAAUGCAUUUGCAAAUUGAAAAGGAACAAAAGAAUGAAGGGAUUCAAUAACAUGUUUGAUUGAAAGGAAGGGGCACCACCCUCAAGCCAAGCCAACUUCAUGAAAGAAGGGAGUGAAGGGAAGGAAUUGCCUCUUCAAAUUAAGUGCUAUUCUAUUGAUUGUCAAUGGUGUAAAGGCGGCAUGGCGAUAUAGGGUCUUUGGUCUAAUAGCAUGAUUCUUGAUCAAAAUACUUGAGGUGGAGAAUUUGAUUCUCUCAAUAUUCCAUCAUUUAUUUUUCUUUUUCUUGUCCAAAUUUCAUCAACUUCUCAAUCAUUAUAUUGUUGAUUAAAGGCUAAUUGUUCAGGAAACAGCUUUGAAAGCAAGCACAACAUAUGAACUACACAUCCCAAUUGUUGGUGUGUUGUUCACAAAUGAAGGACUUGAUCAUUCACAUAUACAGAAAGGCUCUUUGGCUCUUCACAUCAAUUAAGAUGGGAGAGGUCUAACUAACUUUUUGAUGAUUUACUGGCAGAAAGUUCCAAAUAAGUGGUGUGUCUCUACAUGUGAGAACAUGUAGAAAUUCCAUGUGCAAGCAGUGUAUGUAUAAUUUUAGAUUGGUGUUUGUUACAUAGUGUCAUAGCAACUUAUUACACUAAAGAUGGUGAUAGGUACAAGGUUUUGACUUCAUUACAAUCUAACAAGUCCUAUGAUAUAGAGGUUGCUACUUUUUUUUAGUUAGUUUUCAAAUGGUGGUACCAUAAACCUUAAUGUUAUUAAAAGGUAUCAUAUUAAACUAUGCAAAAAAAUCACUUCAAAAUUAAACUUUUAAGAAUCUUUUGAGAAAUAACUUAUUUUUACCUCAUAUUAGAUAUGUUCAAUUUCAAUAUAAUUGUGUAGUAUGUUUCCUCAUAAGAAGAGUUUUGUAGCAAACAAUUUGAGACACAAAAUAUAAUUGAGUGUAAAUAUUCCUAUGUUUCUUUCUUCUCUUACCAAAUGGCUAGAACUAGCUUGUAGCAUUGAGAAAAUCUACUAUCAAUUGUUGUGGCAACAGCAACGCUCGAAAUUGACCGUAUUGUCAUGUUUCAACCUAAAGUAUUGCAUAUUGAAUGUUUUGAGAUUAAUAAAUUAUUUUGCUAAUAGAGAGUUAGAUUAGAUUGAUUAUUUUAUAUGUAUUUUAUCAACUAAAAGCUUAAUUUUUUUUUCUAACAAUUACAUGCUUCAUUUAGAGAUGAUUUUGAAUUGACUAUGUUUUAUUUUGUUAUCAAGCUUACAUUAUCUUUACCAUUCCUAUAAUGAAUGAAUAUAUUAGUUAAGUAAGUAAAAAUAUAUAGGAAGAAGCAUACAUAUACUAAAUAAAUAAUAUUAUUCUCAAAAACAUUAAUGAAGUUUUUUAGAUGUAGAUUAGAUCUUCAGAUUUUUCUAGAUGUGCUACAUGGUUAAAGAGAUUAUCUUAUAAGUUUUUUGCUUUUAGGAAUGAAGAUCGGAAGCAAUUUAUAACUUUGACACUCUAGGCCACAUGCCUUGUGGUCUUUAAGAACCUUUCACAAGUUCUUUUUGAUAAAUAGUAUAUACAUAGGUAAAAUUAAUACCAUUCUUAAUCUUAUCAACACUUUCUUCAUAUUCAAAUCUUGACUUAAGACUCUUUUGUUUAUUUGCAUUUGACAGAGGUCAUUCUAAUUUUCUUAUUUAUCUCUUCAAUUAUUUCCACCUAACUUAGAAACAUCCAAGUAUACUAUUUUUUUAGACUUUUGUCAUGAUUCAUGUCUCUCACAAUUACAAACAAUCAAAAAGUGUCACAAAUAUGACUAAGAUUAUAGAUGUUCAAGUCUAUCACAUUUCAAUAAAAACGAUUAUGUAAACAAAAAUACUACAUAUUAUCUACUCUGAACAAUCAUUAAGUACCUUCCAAAAGAACAUUUUAAAGUUAAAUUCUUCUUCCAUCCUAUCCGUCUGAGUCAAUAAUUUGAAUUAUGUGAUUUUAAAAUUUCAAUCAGGAAUUUACAUAGUCUUGUGCUUCCUAGGGCGAAUAUAAUGCCCAUUGUGUAGAGAUCUUAUGACAAGGUUUGCCAUAGAUCCUCGAUAAUCAGCUUACCGAUGGUAAUUACUGCAAAUAAUAAUUUUUACAACUUCGACGCAUUCGCAUUCCUAAGCCCUGUCACACGUUUGGCUGUCGGUGUUCAUUAUCUCUUACCUUCAUCCAACUCCACUGGAUUCCAGUAUACGCAAUAUAAAGUACAAAAACUUCGACCCGCAAAUUCACUCCUACUCUGCUCCGUCAAUUACGCCCAACAUGUGCACACCUCAAGGCUACAUACAUAACUCGAAUGGCUCAUUUGCUAAGCUCUCUCACCCGAGAUGAAGGUGCUGCAACUGCACUCUCGUCCUGUUGCAAUACAACUCCAAAAGCUUCCACAAGCUGAAUACGCAUACUGUGUAAAUCGCGCCGAUUUCACGGCAUGGAAGUCCUGCGAAAAUCAACUCGACUUCUUCCCUUCUUGGUUAAAAACUCGAUGACUGAACUCCAGGUCGCGCAGAGUAUCCAGUACCUCCGCACGUUUCACAUCUCCGUGCCAAAUGAUCUCAGAGGCCACUGAGCGUCGAUUCCUUCCUGAGGGCAAUCUAUCCGUCUGCGCUGGCUCCACACCCCCCUUGCUUCUUUCUCUCCACAUUCUCAACGCUGCGAUGCAACACUUCGCACCCACCUACGCUUUGAGCGCAGUCCCUGUUGCCCGACCAUCUCGAAAAACUAGCCUCC
rnacentral:lncRNA from 1 species